AUAUAACGCAGGGCCAAAGCGAUAGCGAAACAUCAAAUUGUUUCUGUUUCAACUAAACUUUGCAUGCAUUAUUAUUUUAUUUUUGUUAUUCAUUCACACAUCCUUCUUUUCUUUUCUCUUUUGCUGUAAUUUUUUAUGAAACACUCUUCUGUUUCUGGUUUUGUUUCAGUUUAAUAUUAUUGGUUCGGUUCUGUUCUGCUCUGUUCUACGUCGUAUGUAUAUAUGUAUAUAUUUUUGGCCUCGAAUUGCUUUGAUCACCGGUUUUGUUAUUCAUUUAUCGUGAAUUUUAGAUGACUUGUUUGGCCAUGUAUUCACUGUAUUGUUACAUUCAGCUGCCAUUUUCAUGGGGGGUUUGUAAGAUGGUCUCUGACUAACAUUUGGCAUUGAUUAUGAAUGAUGGUUUUGUGAGAUACAUCAUCCAGAUGUUAACUCCUAUUAAUAUGUACUUACUUCAUUCAAAAGAUUAGUGUUUUUCUUUUCUUUUUUAAUUUGAAAUGCCCCUCUUCGCAUUUUAUAGGUGAAAGGAAGGAACAUAAUAUCGCAGAACUAGAAUAAAGGGUCCUAUUCUGGUACCUAUCGUCCAAGGAAGCUUCUGUAUGUUCAUUAGGAACUACCAUGGAAGUCAAAUCUUACCAGAGCCAGGCGGAGUCAUUGCUGAAGGAAUAUAUAUUAGCAGAUCCAUUUGUCCCGUACACUUCAAUUGUUGGUAGCAUUUUUGCUUGCAAGAUGGUAUGUUUUUCAUCGUUACUGCAUGCUGAUAUUUACAAGAAAAUAUUUUGAAUGCGUCGUUUUUUAUCUAUAAGAAUGUGUUCCUUUUCAGGUCUAUGAUCUUGCCCAAUUGAUUAGUGCUGAUAACUUUAAAUGUUAUUCCAGUUUCUCCAACAUACAGCGGGUUGAGUGGAGUAACAGGUGAUUGAAUAUUUUCAUGUAGUUCAAUUGUCAUUUCUUUUUCAAUCGGUAAAGUUUAAUCAUUUCUCUUAAAUCGACAACUUAUGCAGGGCCAUAUCAACCGCCCGUGCCAUUUUUAUUACAGCUAUGUCUUUGUAGUUCGUGUUUUGGUCGGAUCUCAGAGUUUGUGCAUAGCACACUUGGUUCUACUGUUUGUUUGUCCCUUCAUAGACAUUUCGAUAAACUGUUAUUUUUGUUCUUUGGAAGUGAAUAUUUUCAGCAACUAGAACUCCGAAGCAUCUGGAGUGAUCCAAGUGUGAUGUGCAUGCCUUGUGCGAUUCCCGCAAUUGGCUUGGCGGGUGAGUUCACAUCCUUCAUUGUGCCUCCUUCCUUGGUGGCCUUGAGGCCUAAGCGCUUGGCCUCGUCUACGGACACGAAAUUGUGUGUUGCUCCCGUGUCUAGCAGCGCGCGAACGGACUGACCGUUUACCUUUGCGCUUACAUACAUGAGUCCUUUCUUGACGAGUGCGGGCUGUUGGCGAUUGAGUGCGCCGAGGCGUUGGAGAGAACCCAUGCUGAGUUGGGGUUCCUCCGUGGACAUUGCGGGGUUGCUCUUGAGUUGGGCAGCAAGAGCAUUAAGCGACCUCUUCUCUGGACAGUCGCGUACCCAAUGAGGACCAUUGCAUAUGAAGCAUGGGCUUCGCGGCUUUGGCGCCUCCUUCUUGCCCUCCGAUUUUCCUUGCCAACUCUUGUUGCUAGGCGGCUUUUUCUGCCCCCAAUCUUUGCGGUUGUUGCCCUUGUCCUUGCGACUCUCUCCCCCACCUUUGCCUUGGUUGGCCUUUUUGUCCUUGGAUUGGGUAGAGUAUUCGGUGAGCGACUCCGCAACGGCAAUGGCGUCGUUAAGUGUUUGAACACCACGCCUAUCAAGCUCGGUCUUGGCCUAAUCCUUGAGGCCAUCUUGGAAGUAGAAGAGUGAAUCCUUGUCGGACAUGUCGCUUAUCUCUAACAUGAGGGUAGUGAACUCGUUGAUGUAGUCCCGAAUGCUACCCGAUUGCUUGCGGCGACGUAAGCGCACUCGCGCUUCCUUCUCCGCAUUGCUUGGGGCGAACUGCUUUCGGAGUUCUUGCUUGAAGUCGGCCCAAGUGUCGAUGGCGCAAAUGCCCUUGCCCAUCUCGCCAUGCUUGCGACGCCACCAUAGUUGUGCAGCGCCUCUAAGAUAGGUGGGUGCAGUGCCCACUUUCGAUGCCUCAUCUCGGACACCCAUGGCAUCGAAGUAUUGAUCCAGCCCAAAGAGGAAAUUGUCCACGAUGGUGGCAUUGCGUGUGCCAUCGUAGGUGUCGGGCUUUGGCACGUCAAUGCGGCGCGCAUCACUCGAGUUUGCGGAAGCUGGACUUGUGGAGAGUGUGCGCUUGUGCCAUGCCCAAUCCGAGCGGACUUCAUCCACUUCCGCACGGACAGCACGUAGUUCGUCCUGAACAAAACUACGAAGUUUGAGCAACUCAUCAGGGAAAUAACGAAACUCACCUCGGAGAAUGUUUGCUUGCUCAUGGAUGAGAGCUUUUGUGGCCACCGUGAACUCGGCGUAUUCUCCCUCGAGACCAUCCACUCUUUCCUCCAAUCCCACGAGGCUAUCUUGAGCGGCGGACAAUGCUAUUUCGAGAGUGCCUACACGAGGCUCCAACGCAUCCACGGAUAGGGCCUUGGACUUGCCGCGAGUCUUGCCUUGGGCGCGUUCUCCCUCUUGGCCACGGCUUGGUUCCGGUGGAACAUCCACACCAACAACACCCUCUUGUGCUACGUUCGAAGGGUUGGCCAUUGCUUCGUGAGCUAAUUUGCGUGCGUGCAAACCUUAGCUCUGAUACCACUUGUCACGGGAUGAGUGUUUUGCGCAGCUAACCCGUGCGGCACUUAGACAACUUUGCCGAAUGUUGCUAAGUAAGCCUAGAGAUUCUCGAACAAGAGAAGAGAGCAAUUGAGCCAAAGAAACUUGUAUUACACAAAGAGAGAUUACAAUGCUUGUUGGAUACAAAUGCCUAAUGCCAUCCCAUAUUUAUAGGGGAGGCUUUGCCUAACUUUACCUAAUUUUGCCAAACUUGGUCAAACUCUAGAGUAUUUUACAAUUUCCUAGCUAUUUGCAUGUGCUGGAAUUGUAUAAAGUAUUCUAGAAUAUUUACAUGUUCACAUGUGCUAGAGUUGCCUAGAACCUUCCGGAAUUGGGCCAAGCUAGCACUCUUGGCCUUGUGUUGGCUCUCUAGCCCGAAAUUGUGGGCAAUUGGGCUAGCGAAUUGGGCGGUCCGCAACAUUACGCUGCUUCCUUCUCAGAAAAUCAUCUUUUGGCUUUUUCUAUUUUUAUGCUUUUUAAAAGUUUUUUUCAAGAUUUUUUUUUAUUGCUUUACCAAGUGGGCAGUUAAAAAAUCUUUUUUUUUUUUUUUGUGUGUUGCUUUUGAUAGAAACAUAUGAUUCACCUCUGUUUCUUCGAUGCUUGCUUGCUUCAUGAUUGGUCAACUUGGGUCAAACUUUCAUCUUUAAAUCACAUAGGUAGAUCAUGAUUCAAGCUUCAGUUAUAAGCCUUUCAUUGUGACUGAUAUUAUUCUUUCUUGAUGUACAUAUAUAUAUAGAUUCAGUUUGAAUGUGGUCCUUGAUCGUUUCAUGGAAAAUGCAAACGAAAUGUCAGCAUCUUUGAGUUUUGUCUCAUCAUAUCCGUCUUGUUGGUCUACUAAUCAACCAACAGGCUCUGAAACUUGCUCUGAUCUUGAUAAUUUGAACUUAAGGAGGCAAAGCAGCAAUCCUGAAGAGCCAUUGCUUGAUGCUGAGAUUGUUGUUGAGGGCAAAUCAGUGGCAGUUAAUCGCUGCAUAUUGUCUGCACACAGUCAAUUUCUUCAUUGGCUUUUUAAUUUGAGAAAUGAUGGUUCUGUGAGUGAGGGGAAACCCAAGUAUCUUAUGACUGAUUUGGUGCCUUAUGGGAAGGUUGGAUAUGAAGCUUUCAAUGAUAUCUUGCAUUAUCUUUACACUGGGAAGGUUAAGCCAUCUCCUCUAGUAGUGUCCACGUGUGUUGACGAUGCUUGUGCUCAUGAUGCUUGCCCUCCUGCUGUCAAUUAUGCUAUUGAGUUGAUGUAUGCUUCUGCUGCUUUUCAGAUGAAAGAACUCGUUUUGCUUUUGCAGGUAAUUGUGCUUCCCUGCUAUUUGUAUUGCUUAAAUUUAUGCUUCUUGGUAUAGUUUUAACAUUUCGGUAUAGUUUUAACAUUUAUGGAAUUGAAAUCAAUUUCAAUUGUGCGAAAGCAAGUAAAUGUGAAGCAACUUCAGUGAUUCGCAAUAUUAGUCAUCGCAGGAGAUCCAAAAUUUGUAGAUACUGUAGAAUUGUAGAGCCCAAAACUUCAUCUUAUCUUGCAAGAGUUUGUUGUUUUAUUUUCAAAUAGACAAAAAAAAAAUGAUGAUGGGCAGCGAACUCUAGGGAUCAAUGCUUGCUGACCCUGACACCCAAUGCUUGAUGUCUAGCUUGCUUAUUUUUCCAACAAUGACACUACCUUUCUAGUAAAUGAAAUAUUAUUCUACAUCUAUGUAUUGGAACUUUGACAAACUUCGGUUUUCCUUUGUUGAUUCACUGGUCUCACUUUUAUUCAAUUGCCCGAUUAUGAAAUGGUCUAUUGGAGACUAGAAAUGGAAGGUUUCUUGUGGAAAAAGUUUUACUUGACCACCGAUUUUCAUUUUGGUGGGUGUCAGCGCAUGCUCUGGCUUGACUAUUCUGUUAUUUAGGCUGUUUUAUCUGAUCUUCUCACUCACUUGAUAGUUAGUUCUCUCAUGCUUCCAAGCUCAAAGAUUAAUGCAAGAGAUUCUCUUUUUCCCCUCUAGACUAUAACCUAUCAAAUCAUUAAUGCUAUAGAAUAACAUCUUGUGUAGGCGGGCUUAUGUCUCUGAACAUUUGUCCAUCGGCAUUUGCAAUAAGCAUGGCCCUGAUUUUUCGUCUCAUUAUUAUUUUCCUACCCAGAUUGUCCCCUUUAAGUAGCAUAUUGAAGGAGAGCAACAUUCUUAUAUAUGUUUUAUGAUGUUUACCAAUAAAACAUGUAUUAUUCUGACUCAAAACUCUAUCUGUCGGUGUAGCUUCAGCUUCUGAACUUUGUUGAGAAGGCUGUUGUAGAAGAUGUAAUCCCAAUCCUUGUGGCUGCCUUGCAUUGCCACCUGAACCAGCUUCGUUCUCUCUGCAUCCAGAGAGUUGUAAGUGUUGUGCGCGGAAUGCAGAAUCAAGCGCACCAAAUAAUUACAGAAAAAUAAAGGACACAAGAAUUUAUGUGGUUCGGUAAUUAAAUUUACAUCCGCGGAGGCAAGAAAGAAUAAUUGUUUAUUUAAUAAUUAAUAGAGUACAAUAUUUAAGUAACGAAUUUCACUUCCCAGACACCCAAAUAUACCCAGUACUCUCACACUCUGCAGGAAAGAUAAAUUCCUCAGACACACUUCUUGUACUUCUCUCAAAAGCUUAGAAACUUAUAAGCUUAACAAUUUUGGGAUGAUUUUAAAUGAAUGAAAUCCUUAGCUAUUUAUAGGAGAAAUGAAUUACUAUGCUAAGAAUAAAAUAAUUAAAAAUAUAAUUUUUAAUUAUUAUUAUUUUUUCAAAUCCAUCCCCCAUUCUUUCUUUUCGGCUUUACAAAAUCAACAAAUUGUUGGUGCACCAACAAUUUGUUGACUUCAACAAAUUUGCUUCCUGAGGAAGUUUCAAGCGAAAUCAAAUCAAUCCGCUUCAAAUUUCACCAGGAGUCCGAAGAUAAUGCAGCAGAAGUAGACCCUGUGCAUGCAAAAAGAGUCAGAAGAAUCCACAAGGCACUGGACUCUGAUGAUUUUGAACUGCUGAAUCUUCUUCUGAAUGAAUAUGAAGUCACUUUAGAUGAUGCUUAUGCUCUGCACUAUGCCGCUGCCUACUGCAGCCCUAAUGUUUUUGUGGAAGUGCUCAGUAUGGGCUUGGCUGAUCUCAAUCUUAAGGAUGCAAGAGGUCAUACGGUGCUUCAUGUGGCUGCACGGCGUAAGGAGCCAGCAGUGCUGCUGGCCCUGCUGAGCAAGGGAGCAUGCGCAUCAGAAACUACAUCAGAUGGACAAACAGCUGUAGCAAUCUGUCGGAGAAUGACAAGGCGAAAGGAUUAUAUUGAAGCUUCGAAGCAGGGGCAGGAAAUUAACAAAGACCGGUUAUGCAUUGAUGUCCUAGACAACUUCAUGUCUGGGAACUUGACAAUGUCAUCCGAGGUGAUGGAUGAUGAUUUCCAAAUGCAGCUGAACUAUCUGGGAAAUAGAGGUGAUAUUCCUUUAUUGGUAUUAGUAAAUCAUCUUCUCAGAGUUUGUGUGUUUCUUCAUCUUAGCAUGUCAAACACACAUGGGCUCAUUGCUUGGGGCCAGUCAUGUGAUUUUUUCCACUUUUUUGGAAUAGACAAUUGCGAAUCCAUUUGAUCUAUGCUUGGUGGUUUGCACUGAACUAGUUUUUGAUAAAUAAUUGUACAAGACUUUGUCAUCAAAACUUUUUCAUUUCCAAAAGUAAUGAGGGACAAAAAAAUUUAUGCCUAUCCUGGAUGAGUGCCAUAACAGUUUCUUAAUAUUUUGCAGUGGCUUUUGCACGGUUGUUGUUUCCUUCUGAAGCUAGAAUAGCUAUUCGUAUAGCAGGUGCAGAUACCGCCAAUUUCAAUACUGGCCUGUCAGCAUUAAAUCCUAUAGGACUGAGUUGGAACUUGAAGGAGGUUGAUUUGAGUGAAACGCCUUUGUAAACUCCGCUUAAAACAAGUGUUUAUGUACUUUAUUAACUUUUACACCUUUCUAUUUACUGAUUAUCUUUAUAAUUAAAUAAUACAUGUAUCAAAGUUUCUCCUUACAUUUCAUUAGAAGUGAAUUGGAAUCUCUUCAUGGUGCUCUGUUAGGUGUAAUGAGAUGUAGCAAAAGAGAAAGGGUAAUUGUUAGUACAUUGAUAUCUCAACAGAAUGGUAGAACCUUUAUUUAUAUCACGAGAGACAUUUGUUGUAGGGAUGCCUCCAUAAUCAGUGUGCUUUAAAACUUUCCAGGAGUUAGCUACGCCUACCUCCGGACCUAAGGCGUGACACACAGACCCAAUUAGUGCCUAAAACACAUAUCGAAUCUGAGCAAAACUAAAUGCUUGUAAAUCCAAAUCUCCAAAAUAUCAAAAGCUCAUCUACUUUCUCUUUUCAUGGAUUUCACCAAAUGUUUUUAAAAAUUCAUUCUCAAUCAUAAACUAUGCGCAUCUAAAUAAUCACCAUAUCAAUAUACAACAAUACUUCCUCAUAAGCAAAUAAAUCUUACAUUCCUCUUCUUACAUGAUUUAAAAAAAAAAAAACUUUUAGAAGUCCCCUAAAUACGAACAUAAACAGAAUUCAGCUGCUAAAACUAUGCAAACACAAGCUUCAAUCAGUAAUACAUACGACUAAUUAUUAAAACAUCUAGCUAGAAGCCUUACAGAAGCUCAAUCCUUCCGAAGCUUGUUUCCAAAGAACCUUCAAAUUAAUAAUCGCUACUAUCUGCGAAAAAUAAUUGAUAAUGGGGCAGUUGUUAAUAAGUAAUUAAGUAGAACCAUUCAUAACGAACGAAAAGAAUUCUUUGCGCAAUAUUUUCAGAAAAUUCAUUUAACUUUUCAAAUGAAUCAGAGUAAUUUUUCAAACGCAGUCAGGAUUUGUGUCAACAUAAACGUUUGAGACAGAAGCUUUUUGGAACAUAAAUUUUGCUUUUAAUAUAAAGUUAUACGUUGGUUUGAUUUUAAAGGGAGGUUAUUGGGAAGUUAAAAUACACAGUUGUGGUAACAGGGUAAUAGCAGUUAUAAAAUCUCUUUUAAAACAAAUUCGAAUCAAGUUUCAAAUUUAGGAAGUAUUUAAUUCAAUAAAAUAAAGAAUAAAUAAAGUUUUCGUUGAAGCGAAACUAAGUAGAUUCAUUUAAAGCAAAACAGGAUGCGAGAAUUACAUAAGGGUUCUUGACCCUACCAUGCAGUCAGAUAUCUGGCACCUUGUUAGCACUUGAUUGUGCCAUGUUCUCCACAGCCAGAUAUCUUGUUCUUCAUUAUUUCCUAGACAUCUUUGGAUAAGGAACCCUAAGCCUAUUGAGAAUAAAUUCUGUAAACCAAGACUCUCUUCAGUUCUUUCAUUUGUGGCUAAUUAGUUAUAAGAUUUGUGAAUUUCCUGCCCCAUGGCCCCUGCAAAAUGCAUUUUAUAUCCUUAAGAUGCCAAUGGUUGAAUUGAAAUACUAAAAACCGGAAAACAGACUUAAUGAGAUGUUUAGAAUUUUCUUAGAGCAUUUGCUGAACUUUUUGUGAUCGCAGUCGAGAGGGGUCGACGCUACUUCCCUCAUUGCUCAGAGGUGGUUGAUAAGUUUUUGGAUUGUGAUUGGCUCGAUGCUUCCCUUCUAGAAUCAGAUGCUCUGGAAGAGCAGAAACUUAAAAGGGCACGCUUAAUAGAACUUGAAGAAGAUGUGCAGGAGGCAUUCUGCAAGGACAUGGCUUAUGACAAUCGUUCAGGGCUGCCAUCCUCCUCGUCGGCAUUUUACGAUUACAUGGCUGAGAACAAUCGUUCAGGCAUGCCGACAUCCUCCGCAUCGAGCAAUUAAGCAUCACCUUUUCCAGGAAGUGAUACUUCGACGCCCGGGAAACUAGAAGAGUUUAGUGAGCUCGACUGGUACUUGAGAGAUGGUCAGAGCCUAUGUUAUGGCUAUGUAUUGUCUAGUAGCAGAGAAUAUAUUAAUGAAUGAUGGAUGACUUUCUUGUGACUCUUUGAUGCAAUCAUGUAACGAUUUGAGUAAUGCUAACAUUAUCUCAUAUAUAUAUAUAUAUAUAUAUAUAUAUAUAUAUAUUUUUUUUUUUUUUUUGAGUGAUCUGACAUUCAUCAAUUAGAUUGUAAAAUUAUUAUAUUGUUUCAAGUCCAGUGAGACACAACUUAUAACAUUGAUGGAAUGAAUCGCAUUAUUCAUAAACUCAUUUCAUAAAAUAUUUUUAUAUAAAAUUGUAUAAUUUAUAGGUUAUGGUUAAAAAGUUAAGAAAAAAAAAGGUGUACUACAAUUGGGAUGAGGCAUGCAUGAGUAGUCACAUUAGUUGCUGAACAAACUUUGCCUUUUAAUUUUGGAGACAUUACUAUCUCAAAUUUUCUAUUAUCGAUUAAGAUAAUCUUUUUUUUUUUUUAAAAAAAAAGAAAGCUGGAGAUUCUUUUUUCCUUAAAAAAAUGAAGAAAAAUUUAGAAAGUUGUGAGAGAGGGAGAAACAAAGUAAUUAUAUUAACAAAUAUAAUGUGUUUAAGGUGCGUUUGGCACACUGUAUUAUAUUAUGCUGUUUUGCAUUAUUUUAAUGCAGGUGUAUUGUAUUAUUAUGUAUUGUAUUAGCAUUGUAUUAUAAUAAUGUUGUACAACGUUUGGUGCUACACUGUACUGUAUUAAUUUUUUGUGAUUAACUUAAAUUAUAUAUUUAGAAAAUAAUAUUUAUUAGUACCUAGAAAAAUAUUAAAUAUAUAAGUCUUAAAUUUUAAAAAUUUAACAUUAUUUUUUAGUAUAAAUGUUAAAAAAUAUCACAAUGUUUUGUAAAGAUCGAAACUUAUAGCCUUAUAUUUUCGACAGCGUAACAUUUAUUUUUCAGUAUUUCCUAAAUAUAUAACAUGUGAAAUAAAGAUCGAAGUAAAUAAUUUAAUCAAAUAAUCUCUAAAUAAUAUCAUAACUUAAUGAUAUUUUAUGUUAUUAUUUUUAUUGGUAUUAAUUUUAAAUUAAUAUUAUUUAAAUUUAUUCAUACAUAAAUAUUUAUUGUUAGUUAUAUUAAAUUUUUAAAUAAUAAUCAAUUUUUAUAUAUUAAUUAUUAUAAAAUUAAAUAAUACAUUAUUUAGUUAUAUUUUUAAUAUAAUGAAAAUUAAAAUAUGAAUAAUAAAUAAUAAAAUUAUUAAUUUAUUUCUAUAAUUAUGAUGUGAACAGUGUUAUAAUACACUAUAAUCACAUGCACCAAACACACCCUUAAUGCAGCAAUACAAACUAAUAAAUUAUAAUUUAUAAGAUUAGUUUAUAGAAUCUUACAUAUAAAAUUAUAUCCUCUAAAUAAAAAUAUUCACACCUCUUUUGACUUCUCAGUUAGAUGAUCUUUCUAACGUCUCUCUAGCGAUAAACACAUUUUUAUAAAACAAAACAGAAAAAAUUAUAUAUAAUUGUUCAUAAGGACUAUUUGUACAUAGUACACAAUUGGCCACUAAAGUUAUUUGAGGAGAAAAGUUAUAUGACAUGGGUACAUCAUAUUAUCAGUAUAUAUUAGCAGAUCCAUUUGUCCCGUACACUUCAAUUGUUGGUAGCAUUUUUGCUUGCACGAUGGUAUGUUUCUCGUCGUUACUGCGUGGUGGUAUUUACUAGAAAAUUUUUGAAUGCAUAAUUUUUAUUUAAUUAGUUAUAAAAUUUUUAUACCCUCCGUUUUCCAUAAGAAUGUGUUCCUUUUCAGGUAUUCUUAUGCCUUAUUAGUUUUUGUACCUUUACAAUUAGUGAUUUUUUUUUCAAAAGAGAGAGGUUAAAUUUUAGUACAUUGAUAUCUCAACAAAAUGUUAGAACCUUUGCACCACUAGAGAUAUUUUCUUAGAGCAUUUACUGAGCGUUCUAUGAUUGCAGUUGAGACGGGUCGACGCUACUUCCCUCAUUGCUCAUUUUUGGACUGUGAUUGGUCUGAUGCUCCCUCCUAGAAAAUGGUACUCCCGAAGAGCAGAGACUCAAAGGGCACGCUUCAUGGAACUUAAAGAAGACUUGCAGAAGGGAUUUUACAAGGACAUGGCUGAGAAAAAUCGUUCAGCUUGUUGAAAGUCAUGGCUGGCACCGGCCAUCUAGAUGGCCGGUGCCAACCAUUCAACAUUCAACACGGCCCGCCAUUAUUGGUGGUGCUGUGUUGAAUUACUCUAUAAAAAAAAAAAAAAGAGCCAAAAUUUUGGCUAUAUAAAGAGGGCUUCCCACCCUCAUUUUUCAUCCAAGUUUUGUAGAGAGAAUUGAGAAUUCUUUGUUAGCCUAUAUGGCUAUAAAUAUUGAUUUUGAUGAUAACAAACCACAUGUAUUUUAAAAGCUUUGAUAAUGUUUUUAAAGUUUUCGGAUUUGGACUUAUUUGAAAUUAUUUAAAUGUUUUUGGGGUCAUUAUAUAAUUUCACAAAGUUUGGGCAAAGUCAUAAUUUCAUAAAGUUUUGGGAUUAACGAAGCAUUACUUAAAAAUUCUGAAAUUGGACAUAUUUGCAAAGUUUCAUAACGUUUUGGGCCAUACUACAGUUUUUAUAAAGUUUUGGGGUCAAACAGAAAAUAUGGGAAAAAUUUCACUGUAGCAGGUUACUGUAGCAAGCGGCUUACCGGAUACUGAUAAACGGCAGGCCGAAUUCGGGCAGUAAGCACCAGAACGAAAACGGCUUACCGGAUUCCGAAUCCGGCAAGCCGGUUAGGCAAAAUUUUGAAUUUUGCCUUAACGGUAACAUAAAUCCGGCUUACCGGAUUCCAUUAAACAGAAAACCGGAUAGUCCAGAAUGUGAGUAACGGCUAGUUUUCGAGCUCAAGCUAUAAGAACUCAAAUCCAACUCAUUUUGAAGCUCUCCAACAAGCAAAAACAAAAGGCACACGUGAUAUCUUGAGUGUUCAAACUUGCGAAAUACAAACAUUGAAUCUUUUCUUGUUCUUCAUCAUUGUAUAUCUACUCAUUGAGUGAGUUUCAUUGUAACCAUCAUUUGUUCAUCUCAUUUGUAAGAAUUUGAGUGUGUGAGACACUUGAGUGAAAUGAUUGGGAGAUAAUCUCUUUGUUGUAAAGGUUUAUUGACACCUCGAAGUCAAUUGUAAUUGUUGAAGCCUUGAAAAGGCUUGGAUAGUGAAAUCCUCGAGCUUGGAUCGCUUGGAGGCGUGGACGUAGGCGGGGAUUGCCGAACCACGUAAAAAUUCGUGUGUUUGUUUCUCUUCUCCCUUACUCUUUAAUUAUUGUAUUAUUGAACUUAUUGUUUUCAAUUAUUGUUAAGACAUUAGAUUGCUUGUUGUGUGGAUUUGUUAGGAUAGAUUUUAAAAAUCCAAUUCACCCCCCUCUUGGGUUGCACACUUGUAUUUCAAUUGGUAUCAGAGCAAGGUGCUCUUAUUUAGAUUUAACCAUCUAGAGCUAAAGAUCAAUGGCAACUCAAAAUGAUUCCACAUUUAGGGAAGGGCAGUCCACCACUAGACCACCUUACUUUGAUGGAAACGAUUACCCAUAUUGGAAAACUAGGAUGAGAAUUUACUUGCAAGCCUUAGAUUAUGAGAUUUGGGAAAUCGUUAAUGAUGGUCCUUUCAUGCCUUUGACUAAAAAUGAAGUCGGAGAAGAUAUUCCAAAACCUUCACGGGAUUGGAAUGAAUUCGAAAAGAGAAAAGCUUCUCUAAAUUCCAAGGCCAUGAAUGCCUUAUUUUGUGCACUAGAUAAGAAAGAGUUUCAUAGAGUGUCUAGUUGCGAAAGUGCUAAUGAGAUUUGGCACAAACUUGAGGUUGUCUAUGAAGGCACGAACCAAGUGAAAGAAUCUAAAAUAAGUAGGUACACUAGACAAUAUGAAUUGUUCCAAAUGGAACAAAAUGAAAAUGUGUACUCUAUGUAUACUAGAUUCACGGACAUAGUGAACACUCUAGGAGCCCUAGGAAAGAUUUUUUCAAAUAGCGAAAAAGUCAAGAAAAUCAUUAGGUCUCUACCUAAGGAAUGGAGACCAAAAAGGACUGCCAUUGAGGAAGCCAAGGAUUUAAAUGUGUUACCUAUUGAUGAUUUAAUUGGCUCUCUUAUUUCAUAUGAAGAAGAUUUGGCAGCUGAAAAAGGACAUGAGGAAAAGAAGAAGAACAUUGCUCUCAAGGCUUCAAAACGUGAGAGUGAUGAGGAAAGCGAAAUGGAUGAUGAGGAGCUGGCUAUGUUAGCUAGAAGAUUCAGAAAAUUUUACAAGAAGAAUAAUGAGCAGAGAAAGUUCAGAGGCUACAAGAAUAAGAAGGAGAAGAAGGAGCCAAUCACUUGUUAUGAAUGCAAGAAGCCCGGACACAUACGACCGGAAUGUCCUCUUCUCAACAAAUUCAAGAAGAAGGCUAUGGUGGCCACAUGGGAUGAUAGUGAUGAGGAAACAAGUGACGAUGAUGAGCAACAAGAAAUGACAAACUUAGCUCUCAUGGCCAUUGGGGAAGAAUCAUGUGAUGAACUUGAUGAGGUAAGUGUUCCUUCUACAUAUGAUGAAUUGCAUGAUGCUUUUAAUGAUUUGCAUGAUGAGCUAAUGAAGAUUGGUAAAAAGAAUAUAAGUCUUAAAAAGAAUAUGAUAGAGCUUAAGAAUGAAAAUGAUUCAUUUAGUGCAAAGAUUACAUGCCUAGAAUUAGAAAACAAAACAUUACAUGAUAGUAUUGCAUUAUUUGAGAACUCUAGCACUUCACAUGAGCACUUAGAGUCACACAUGAAUGACUUGAAAAAUGAGAAUGAAAUGCUUAGAAAGAAGAGUAAUGAAUUAAAUGAAAUUGUGCUAAAAUUUACAAAUGGGCAAAAGAUGUUGGACAAUUUGCUAAACUCACAAAAAUGUGUUUUUGACAAAAGUGGCAUAGGUUAUAAACCGAAUUUGAAACAAAAAUUUUACAAGAGUUAUUUUGUGAAGAAUACAUCUAUUAACAAUAAAAUUGUAUGUCAUUAUUGCAAUCAAGAUGGCCAUAUGAAAAAUAGAUGUGCAGUGAAGAGAAAUGCAUAUUAUGGUAUGAAAUGUGUUUGGGUUCCGAAAGGAACCAUUGCUAACUUUCAAGGACCCAAAAAGGUUUGGGUACCUAAAGCUUGAGAUUUUCUCUACAGGGCUCAAAGAAGAAGAAGAAUAAGUGGUACUUGGACAGUGGCUGUUCAAGACACAUGACAGGGAAUUAUUCUUGGUUUUCAAGCUUUACCAAGAUCGAAAAUGGUGGAGAUGUUUCGUUUGGGGAUAAUUCAAAAGGAAAAAUCAUUGGGAUUGGAAAUGUCGGUAAUGUAUCCUCUACUCUUAUUGAAAAUGUGUGUUUGGUUGAAAACUUGAAACACAAUUUGCUUAGUAUUAGUCAAUUAUGUGAUAAAGGAUAUAGAGUUAUCUUUGAUGAAUCAAAGUGUGUUAUUGAGAAUGCAUGUGAUGGGAAAGUCUUGUUUGUAGGAAAUAGAUGUGUUAAUGUCUAUACCAUUAAUAUAGAUUGUGCAUUAACAAAUGAGAAAUGUCUUUCCGCAUUGCAUGAUGAUGGUUGGUUAUGGCAUAGAAGAUUAGGUCAUGCAAGCAUGGAUUUGAUUUCAAAAAUCGUGAAAAAUGAUUUAGUAAAAGGUCUUCCAAAAAUCAAUUUUCAAAAAGAUAGAACUUGUGAAGCAUGCCAAUUUGGAAAACAAAUCAAAACUUCAUUCAAAAGCAAAAAUCAUGUUUCCACUUCAAAACCACUUCAAUUGCUUCAUAUAGAUUUAUUUGGACCUUCUAGAUAUGCUAGUUUAAGUGGCAAGUUUUAUGCAUUUGUAAUCGUGGAUGAUUAUUCGAGACACACAUGGGUAUUGUUCUUAGCUAAUAAGGAUGAUGCCAUUGAUGCAUUUCGAAUUUUCUGUAAAAAGGUUCAAAAUGAAAAAGGUUACUCCAUCACUUGUAUUAGAAGUGAUCAUGGUGGAGAAUUUGAAAAUCAUGCAUUUGAAAAUUUUUGUAAUGACCUUGGCAUUGAACAUCAAUUUUCAUCACCUAGGACUCCACAACAAAAUGGAGUAGUAGAGAGAAAGAAUAGGUCUAUUCAAGAAAUGGCUAGGACCAUGUUGAAUGAAAAUUCUUCGCCUAAGUAUUUUUGGGUCGAAGCCGUCAACACCGCUUGUUAUGUUUUAAAUUGGGUGUUGAUUAGACCUAAUCUCAAUAAAACUCCAUAUGAGCUUUGGAAAGAUAGAAAACCCAACAUUGAUUAUUUUAAAGUUUUUGGAUGCAAAUGUUUUGUUUUAAACACAAAAGAUAAUCUUGGUAAAUUUGAUCCAAAAUCUGAUGUUGGUAUCUUUCUUGGUUAUUCAAAUUCAAGCAAAGCUUAUAGAGUUUAUAAUAAAAGAACUUUAGUUGUGGAAGAAUCUAUGCAUGUUACAUUUGAUGAGUCUAACCCCUCCUCUACGGAGAAAGUUAUUGUUGAUGAUAAUGCAGAAGAAGAACAACAAGAAGAAGCAUCAAAUGGCAACCAAGAAGACACACCACCUGGAAUUCAAGAGGAACAUCAUGAAGAAACAAAUGCAGAGCAAAAUGAAGGUACUUCACAAACACUCCCCAAGGAGUGGAGGUAUGUGUCCUCUCAUCCUAAGGAUGUAAUUUUAGGAGAUCCCUCACGAGGUGUUACCACUAGAUCAUCUCUUAGAAACACAUGUGAGCAUGCUGCAUUUAUUUCUCAAAUUGAACCAAAAUCCUUUGCGGAUGCGGAAAAUGAUGAAUCUUGGAUUAUGGCAAUGCAAGAGGAGUUGAAUCAAUUUGAGAGAAAUAAUGUGUGGGAGUUAGUUCCUAAUCCGGAACAUCAAUCCAUUAUAGGUACUAAAUGGGUAUUUAGAAACAAAAUGGAUGAAUCCGGUGUGGUUGUAAGAAAUAAAGCUAGAUUAGUGGCUCAAGGUUACAACCAAGAAGAAGGAAUUGAUUUUGAUGAAACUUUUGCACCUGUAGCAAGAUUAGAAUCCAUUAGGAUGUUGUUAGCAUAUGCAUGUCAUAAGGAUUUUAUUUUGUAUCAAAUGGAUGUCAAGAGUGCUUUCUUAAAUGGAUACAUUAUGGAGGAAGUUUAUGUGAAACAACCUCCUGGUUUUGAAAAUGAAAAAUUUCCAGAUCAUGUGUAUAAGUUAUCCAAGGCUUUGUAUGGUUUAAAACAAGCACCUAGAGCUUGGUAUGAUAGGCUUAAAAAUUUCUUGUUGGAUAACGAUUUUUCAAUGGGAAAAGCGGACACAACUCUUUUUGUUAAGCAUAAGAACCAAGACAUACUUAUUGUUCAAAUAUAUGUUGAUGAUAUUAUUUUUGGUUCUACUAAUGAGUUGUUGUGUAAAGAUUUUUCAUCAUGUAUGAGCCAAGAGUUUGAGAUGAGUAUGAUGGGAGAAUUGAAGUACUUCCUUGGUCUUCAAAUCAAACAAAACGAGGAAGGAAUUUUCAUAAACCAAGCCAAGUACGUGAAAGAUCUACUCAAAAGAUUUGGCUAUGAAAAUGGAACGGCAAAAAGCACUCCUAUGAGCACUACCAUCAAGCUGGACAAAGAUGAGAAAGGUAAGGAAGUUGAUAUCAGGACUUAUCGAGGUAUGAUCGGAUCCUUACUCUACUUGACUGCUAGUAGGCCUGAUAUUAUGUUUAGUGUUUGCUUGUGUGCUAGAUUUCAAUCUUGUCCUAAAGAGUCUCACAUGCUUGCUGUCAAACGCAUUUUUCGGUAUUUAAUUGGUACUAUUAAUCUUGGCCUUUGGUAUCCUAGAGGAACUCACAUUGAUUUAACUUGUUAUUCGGAUGCUGAUUUUGCUGGGUAUAAGGUUGAUAGAAAAAGUACUAGUGGAACAUGUCACUUCCUAGGUCAUUCUCUUGUCUCUUGGUUUAGUAAAAAACAAAACUCAGUUGCGCUUUCAACCACCGAGGCAGAAUAUAUUGCCGCAAGUAGUUGUUGUGCACAAAUUCUUUGGAUGAAACAAACCCUUAGAGACUAUGGCAUUAUACUUGAUCAAAUUCCUAUCUUAUGUGACAAUACUAGUGCUAUAAAUCUUUCCAAGAAUCCCAUUCAACAUUCUAGGACUAAGCAUAUAGAGAUUAGACAUCAUUUCCUUAGAGAUCAUGUUCAAAAAGGGGAUGUUGUAAUUAAAUUUGUUUCCACUGAAAAUCAACUUGCGGAUAUCUUUACAAAACCUCUUAGCGAAGAGCAUUUUAUAAAGAUUAGGCAUGAGCUUGGAAUGAUGAAUGUUGAAUCUUAAUUCAUGUUUUAAUUCAUGGCUUGAUAUGAUUGUUAUCAUAUGGUUUUAUGCUACAUGAAUUAGAUAACUUGAUGUGCUUGUAAAUUUAUGAUUUUAUGAUUUUAUAUUACAUGCAUUAGAUGGCUUAUUGAAAAGUUUUAAAUCUCGAAAUGAUUUAAAAUUAAUCAAUUUUUAAAGUCGGAAAUAAAAUGGUGUGUAAUACAAGUACAAGAGCUAGCAAAUAUUCCCUUUUCAUUCUUCCGGAAAAUUAUUUCUCCUUAUUGAUCCCUCUCGGGACAAAUUCCGGAAAACCGGAUUAGCUUUGGUUGGUCUCUGGACAACAUUCGGAUGACCGGAUUUUCAAUCCAGAAAACCGAAUUUGGAAGGAUAUUUACUGCCUCAUAACCGGUCAACCGGUUAUCAAUAACCGGAAAACCGAAUUCGCAUGCAUGCUUUGCUGGAGCAAAACCGGAUUUCCGGUUCAAGACAUCCGGAAAACCGAUUAUUUUUGGAGGCUCUCGAAACCGGCCAGCCGGUUAAGGAAACCGGCCAGCCGGUUAAGGAAACCGGCAAGCCGAAUUGCCUCUUGCAUCUCUCGGUCCAUAUCCGGUUUACCGGAUUUCAAUUUCGGAAAGCCGGUUUCGGCUUUCUCCUUUUCUGCAUGCUAACCGGCUUGCCGGUUAGGAAAUCCGACAAGCCGGAUUCGUGCCUUUUAUAUUUGCUGAAGAUGGCUGUUCUCGGGUUCACAACCGGCCUACCGGUUAGCAAAUCCGGCAAACCGGAUUCGUGAUCUCUUAAGCACUAUUCAUCUUCCUCAAGCAUUCGGCAUACCGGUUCUUCAUCUCUCUAAAACCCGUUUCCAUUUUCUCUCUUUCUCACUCCAACAUCCUUCUUUUUCUUCCAUUUUCACAUCAAAUUGAAUCAAUAAAAUCAUUCCCCAUCUCAUUAAGAUCACAAAACCAUCCUUGAAACCCGUUUUCAACAUCUAAAUCCUUAGAUCCCAAUUCCAACCUAGGUUUUGAGCUGAAUUUUCUCUCUCUAGAUUUCUCACUCUCAAGCCGUUUUUGAUCAAUUUUGUUUCACCAAAUCACCUCCAAUCUUCAUCUUCUUCAUUCUCUUUAGUGUUUUUAUCUUCAAAUCAAUCAAAAUCAAUAUGUCAAGCUCUCGGCCGGUUCGAAGAAAAGGCAAGGAACCGGUUCAACCAUCCACACGGCCACGGGAAGCAAGGGGCACCUCCAAUCAAUCCACCUUUGAGUCCAUUCACUUUCAGAACAGAACACGCAACACUUGAUCAAAAGGUUUCAUCAAAACUUUCGGACUCGUGAGGUACUCAACACUUUCUUUGUUUUACCGGAUGUUUUACAUUCUCUCCAGAUUAGUCAUAGAACUUUAUUUCAAUUGUUGGGAGAUGUUGGUUGGAUUGAUGCAUUGUUGAUUGAGGAGAAUGUGUAUCCCGACUUGGUGAAAGUAUUUUACUCGAAUAUGGAUUGUUCCGCGGAGAAAGAGAAUCGAGUAAUCACCAAAGUUGGAGGAGUUUUGAUUGAAUUUGAUGAUUCGGACUUGAACAACAUCCUAGGAUCUUCUGAUGAUGGCUUGGACAUUUUUUCUCUUAGGAAACCUCGUGAAAUUGAUGAUUAUGUUCAUGUUGAUGCCGUUCGUAAUAUUUGUCGGCGUAAUGAUCUCUCUGUUGAAGACUGUACCAUUCAUUUCCGUACUCAGUGUCUUUGUCUUCAAACUCGUUUUUUGCUUCGUAUCAUCCAGUCCAUUGUACUUCCUAGAUCAGGACAUUUGGAUGAGGUGUCUCACAUGGAUGUCACCAUGAUUGACUGUAUUCUUAGAGGUCGCCCGGUUGACUUGGGCUAUUCCAUUGUUCGCACCAUGUUGAGCAUUCCGGCCUUGAUUACCCGCUCUCUCCCCUAUGGUCACUUCAUUACUCGUAUUCUUAAAUUCUUUGAAGUGCCGAUUCUAGAACCUUCUUGUAGGCCAUCCAAGGGUAUUGGGGAUGAGGUUAUUGUUGGGUUAGGCUUUGAGUGGAAGGAUGACACUUGGGUCAAAUAUAGCGAUAACAAGUUUACCUUUCUAGCCCCAAGUGAUGAUCGGCCACUUAAUGCCGUGAUUCUCGCUGAUCAGCUUCCAGUAUUCUCACUAUCAUUUCGAGGGCAGCGUAGACGCCGAGUUUCUUCUACGGUUGCUUCGGCUCCUAGUGCAUCUGCAUCCGCUUCAUCACCUCCACGGCCUCCUACCUCUGGAGAUGUCACUCUUCAGCAGCUUAUGGAUGAGGUUCGGACACUUUCAGUGAGGCAGACUAAGCUUCAGCAGGAGCAGCAGCAGCAGCGGCAGCUGCAGCAGCAGCUCAUUCAUGGACAGCGCCUCCUCUUCGAGCACUUCGGCAUUCCAUAUCCGUUUCCACCUCCAUCACCUCCAUCCUCACCACCUGAGUAGUAUUUUGUGCUUGUACUUGGACACACCUACAUUUUAUUUACUGCAUUGUGUGUUCUUUUAUUUUCGACUCUAUGGAUGGUUGUUAUGCUUUCGGUUUAUGUAUUUGUUUUGGAUUGUAUGGAUUUGUUAUGACUAUCUAUGUUGAUGUUAUGGAUUUUGUGUUGCUUGAUCAUUAUGGAUUAUAUGGAUUUUAUAUGGAUUUUCUUAUGCUUAUGAAUUUUUUUUACUAAUGUACUUAUGUUGUGAUUUUAAUGAUUGAUAGGGGGAGUCUUUAUUCUUUUUGAUGAUGAAGGGGGAGAAUGAUUUAAUAUAUGUUAUGAAAAUAUGCAUGUAUCUAGGGGGAGCAUGUAUGCAAGGGGAGUUUUUUAUUAAACUAUUUUCAAAUCAUUUUUUUAACUUGCAUUGAUUAAGGGGGAGCUUUUUCAUAACAAAAUUAAAGUUUUGAAUGUGCUUUGUCAUCAUAAAAAAGGGGGAGAUUGUUAGCCUAUAUGGCUAUAAAUAUUGAUUUUGAUGAUAACAAACCACAUGUAUUUUAAAAGCUUUGAUAAUGUUUUUAAAGUUUUCGGAUUUGGACUUAUUUGAAAUUAUUUAAAUGUUUUUGGGGUCAUUAUAUAAUUUCACAAAGUUUGGGCAAAGUCAUAAUUUCAUAAAGUUUUGGGAUUAACGAAGCAUUACUUAAAAAUUCUGAAAUUGGACAUAUUUGCAAAGUUUCAUAACGUUUUGGGCCAUACUACAGUUUUUAUAAAGUUUUGGGGUCAAACUGAAAAUAUGGGAAAAAUUUCACUGUAGCAGGUUACUGUAGCAAGCGGCUUACCGGAUAAUGAUAAACGGCAGGCCGAAUUCGGGCAGUAAGCACCAGAACGAAAACGGCUUACCGGAUUCCGAAUCCGGCAAGCCGGUUAGGCAAAAUUUUGCCUUAACGGUAACAUAAAUCCGGCUUACCGAAUUCCAUUAAACGGAAAACCGGAUAGCCCAGAAUGUGAGUAACGGCUAGUUUUCGAGCUCAAGCUAUAAGAACUCAAAUCCAACUCAUUUUGAAGCUCUCCAACAAGCAAAAACAAAAGGCACACGUGAUAUCUUGAGUGUUCAAACUUGCGAAAUACAAACAUUGAAUCUUUUCUUGUUCUUCAUCAUUGUAUAUCUACUCAUUGAGUGAGUUUCAUUGUAACCAUCAUUUGUUCAUCUCAUUUGUAAGAAUUUGAGUAUGUGAGACACUUGAGUGAAGAGAUUGGGAGAUAAUCUCUUUGUUGUAAAGGUUUAUUGACACCUCGAAGUCAAUUGUAAUUGUUGAAGCCUUGAAAAGGCUUGGAUAGUGAAAUCCUCGAGCUUGGAUCGCUUGGAGGCGUGGACGUAGGCGGGGAUUGCCGAACCACGUAAAAAUUCGUGUGUUUGUUUCUCUUCUCCCUUACUCUUUAAUUAUUGUGCUAUUAUUGAAAUUAUUGUUUUCAAUUAUUGUUAAGACAUUAGAUUGCUUGUUGUGUGGAUUUGUUAGGAUAGAUUUUAAAAAUCCAAUUCACCCCCCUCUUGGGUUGCACACUUGUAUUUCAUUCUUUGCAAGAGCAAAGAAUUUUGUGUGCUUAGUGAUUUGAGAGUUUGGGUGUAUUGGGGUUUUGGGUAGUGAGCUAAAAUACUACAAUACUUGUAACUCCUUUUCACUAGUAUAAUAUUUCUGUCUGUCUUCGCCCGUGGACGUAGGUUAAAAGCCGAACCACGUAAUUUCUGGUGUCCUCUUUUUGUGCUUGUUCUUUAUUUUUCUUCCAAUUUUACUUUAGCUGCGUGUCUGCUUUACCCAAUAAUUUCCUAACAGUGGUAUCAGAGCUAUUGGUUGUAUUUUUUGGAGUCGGGUACUGUUCACGUAAGGGGUACUAUUCACGUAUACGGUAUUGUUCACGUAUACGGUACUAUUCACGUAUACGGUACUAUUCACUUAUACGGUACUAUUCACAUGAAACGGUGAGAGCGAUCCAAGAAUUUUGCGGUGCAAAGCAGGGAAUAGUGGUGUGAGUAAAACAACUGUGUGGCUUUGUACAUGUCUAGGAAAGUUCUGUCACAAAGGCGAUAAGAGCUUAAGGAGUCUGGGUUUUAAGUGGGACCAUUGUGACCCCUCCAGUCUUUCCUGGGAACUUUUUUGGUGUGCAUUCUCACACAUACUCACAACUAUUCAAGGUGAUACACUAGCUUGUGUACAGUAUUUAUCAAUAAAAUGGCGGCAAAGUAUGAAAUUGAGAAAUUUAACGGAAAUAAUUUUUAUCAAUAAAAUGGCGGCAAAGUAUGAAAUUGAGAAAUUUAACGGAAAUAAUUUUUCGUUGUGGAAAAUGAAGAUGAAAGCUGUAUUGAGGAAAAAUAAUUGCUUGGCAGCAAUUGGAGAAAGGCCCAUGGAGAUAACUGAUGACAAGUGGAACGAGGUAGACAACAAUGCCAUUUCUGAUCUACACUUGGCACUUGCGGAUGGAGUAUUAUCCAGUGUGGCAGAGAAAAAUACGGCGAAGGAAAUAGGGAUACUCUCACAAAAUUGUACGAGGCCAAGUCACUACACAACAAAAUCUUCUUGAAGAGAAAACUCUAUACUCUUCGAAUGACAGAAUCUACAAUGGUGACCGACCACAUCAACACCUUGAAGACUCUAUUUUCACAACUCACAACGUUGGGUCAUAAUAUAGAGGAAAAUGAACGUGCAGAGCUUCUACUUCAAAGUCUACCAGAUUCAUAUGAUCAACUCAUCAUCAACCUGACGAACAACAAUCCAGUGGAGGGUCUAGUUUUCGACGAUGUUGCAGUCUCUGUAUUAAAUGAGGAGAGCAUGAGGAAAAAUAAGGAAAAUAGACAAGCAAGUUCGCAGCAAGCAGAAGCGCUAUCAGUGACGAGAGGGAGAUCAACGGAACGUGGCCCCAGUGGGAGUCAAAAUCAGGGUAGAUCAAAAUCCAGAAGUAAGAAGAAUGUUAAAUGCUACAACUGUGGCAAGAAAUGGCACGUCAAGAAAGAAUGUUGGAGUAACCAGAAGAGAAAAGAGGGCAAAGAACCUGAGUCAUCAAAUGCUCAGAGUUGUGUAGCAAGCACCUCGGAUGAUGGCGAAAUUCUUUACAGCGAGGCAACAACUGUUUCAGAAGGCAGAAAACGACUUUCUGAUGUUUGGCUUAUAGACUCGGGAGCUACCUGGCACAUGACCUCUAGGAGAGAAUGGUUCCACACAUAUGAACCUAUCUCAGGAGGAUCUGUAUAUAUGGGUAACGAUCAUGCCUUGGAGAUCGCUGGUAUUGGUACUAUCAAAAUAAAAAUGUUUGAUAAUACAAUUCGCACAAUUAGAGAGGUACGACAUGUCAAUGGCCUGAAGAAAAAUCUAUUGUCUUUGGGACAAAUGGAUAGUCAUGGGUACAAAACUCAUGUGGAGAAUGGAAUUAUGAAGAUCGUUAAAGGCGCGCUUGUAUUGAUGAAGGCAGAAAAGAUCGAUGCUAAUCUAUUCAUGCUUAAAGGAGAAACACUACAGGAGGCUGAUGCGUGUGUCGCGUCAAAUGGAGAAGAAUCAACGAUGGUGUGGCAUCUCAAACUUGGCCACAUGUUAGAACAAGGCUUGAAGAUUCUCUCUGAGCGAAAAUUGCUUCCGGGGCUCAAAUCGGUAAGUUUACCAUUUUGCGAGCAUUGUGUUACAAGUUACAAGUAAGCAGCAUAGAUUAAAAUUCAGUAGAUCUAUUGCUAGAAGUAAAUGCAUUCUAGACUUGAUUCAUUCUGAUGUUUGGGAAUCACCGGAUAUAUCCAUGGGAGGUGCAAAGUACAUGGUGACUUUCAUUGAUGAUUAUUCCAGAAGAUGUUGGGUGUAUCCGAUUAAGAAAAAGUCAGAUGUAUUUCCAGUGUUUAAAGAAUACAAAGCGUGGGUGGAACUUGAAUCUGGUAAAAAGAUCAAGUGCUUAAGGACAGAUAAUGGUGGAGAGUAUACAGACGGCGAGUUUCUUGCUUUCUGUAAGCAAGAGGGUAUUCAGAGGCAGUUCACGGUGGCGUACACUCCUCAACAAAACGGAGUGGCAGAGCGGAUGAAUAGAACUCUUACAGAAAGAAUAAGAGCUAUGUUGAGGACUGCUGGUCUACCCAAUUCAUUCUGGGCAGAAGCAGCCAAAACUGCCUGUUAUAUAGUAAAUCGAUCACCAUCUACAGCAAUUGGGUUGAAGACGACGAUGGAGAUGUGGACUGGAAAGCCAGCUGAUUAUUCCUACCUACAUGCAUUUGGAUGUCCUGUGUACGUGAUGUACAAUGCCCAAGAAAGAACAAAGCUGGAUGCAAAAUCUAGAAGAUGUAUCUUCUUGGGGUAUGCUGAUGGAGUAAAGGGGUAUCGUCUGUGGGACCCCACUGCCCACAAGAUCAUUAUCAGUAGAGAUGUUAUUUUUGUAGAAGAUCAACUGCAAAGAAAAUAUGGAGAUGAUGGCACUGGAAAAGAAAAGUCAGAGACUGUGCCGGUAUAUGUCGAAAAUAAUCCAGAAGAUUCAGAUUCUUCUGAAGCAGCACCAGAGCACGAGGAACAAGAACCAGUUGAGUCCGAGGCUCCAGAAGUUCGUCGGUCAACUCGUGAGAGACGACCACCGGCGUGGCACUCGGAGUAUGUCACAGAGAUCAACGUUGCAUACUGUCUUCUAACAGAGGAUGGAGAGCCUUCAACUUUCCAUGAAGCUUUAAACAGCUCAGAUGUUGCUUUGUCAUCAUGUUGCUUUGUGGAUGACAGCAAUGCAGGAAGAAAUUGAAGCUCUACACAAGAAUAGGACAUGGGAACUUGUACCACUACCACACAGAAGAAAAGCCAUUGGAAACAAAUGGAUCUACAAGAUCAAACGUGAUGGCAAUGAUCAAGUGGAGCGGUAUCGUGCGAGAUUGGUGGUGAAUGGAUAUGCUCAGAAAGAAGGUAUUGACUUCAACGAGAUAUUUUCUCCGGUGGUUCGACUCACAACAGUCAGAAUAGUCUUGGCGAUGUGUGCUACAUUUGAUCUACAUCUUGAGCAGUUAGAUGUGAAAACUGCAUUUCUUCAUGGAGAACUUGAAGAAGAAAUAUAUAUGCUCCAACCAGAAGGUUUUGCAGAAACAGGAAAGGAGAACUUGGUUUGCAGGUUGAACAAAUCUCUGUAUGGUCUCAAACAGGCGCCGAGGUGUUGGUAUAAGAGAUUUGAUUCCUUCAUCAUGAGCCUUGGAUACAACAGACUCAGUUCAGACCAUUGUGCAUAUUACAAGAGGUUUGAAGAUAAUGAUUUUAUUAUUUUGCUGUUGUAUGUGGAUGACAUGUUGGUAGGAAGUCCCAACAAAGAUCGAAUCCAAGAAUUGAAGGCACAGUUAGCUAGGGAGUUUGAAAUGAAGGACUUGGGACCAGCAAACAAGAUUCUAGGGAUGCAAAUUCACCGAGACAGAAAUAACAUGAAGAUUUGGCUUUCACAGAAGAAUUACUUGAAGAAAAUCUUGCGACGCUUCAACAUGCAAGAUUGUAAGUCAAUUUCUACCCCACUUUCUGUUAAUUUCAAAUUAUCCUCAAGUAUGUGUCCUAGCAAUGAAGCAGAGAGGAAGGAGAUAUCUCGAGUACCGUAUGCAUCAGCAGUGGGAAGUUUAAUGUUCGCUAUGAUAUGUACAAGACCGGACAUUGCACAAGCAGUGGGAGCAGUCAGUCGAUACAUGGCGAAUCCUGGUGGAGAGCAUUGGAUAGCUGUGAAGAGGAUUCUGAGAUACAUCAGAGGAACCUCAGAUGUUGCAUUAUGUUAUGGAGGAUCAGAGUUUACUGUCAGGGGUUAUGUGGAUUCAGAUUUUGCAGGAGAUCUUGAUAAAAGAAAAUCCACUACUGGUUAUGUGUUUACACUUGCGGGAGCAGCUGUAAGCUGGGUUUCGAAACUGCAGACCGUUGUGGCAUUAUCUACAACAGAAGCAGAAUACAUGGCAGCUACACAAGCUUGCAAGGAAGCUAUUUGGAUACAAAGAUUAUUGGAGGAGCUCGGGCACAAACAACAGAAAAUUCCUGUGUUUUGUGACAGUCAGAGUGCCUUGCACAUUGCAAGGAAUCCAGCCUUUCAUUCCAGGACAAAGCACAUAGGAGUCCAGUAUCACUUCGUUCGAGAAGUAAUGGAAGACGGAAGCGUGGAUUUGCAGAAAAUCCAUACCAAGGAGAACCUAGCAGAUGUUUUGACCAAGCCGAUAAAUGCUGACAAAUUUAUCUGGAGUAGAUCCUUUUGUGACCUAGCAGAAACGUAGGCAACAUGAUUAUGGCGAAGCAGAAAGGAUGGUGUGGAGAUUGAUUGCUUUUCAAUCUAACCUCCAAGUGGGAGAAUGUUGAAAGUCAUGGCUGGCACCGGCCAUCUAGAUGGCCGGUGCCAACCAUUCAACAUUCAACACGGCCCGCCAUUAUUGGUGGUGUUGUGUUGAAUUACUCUAUAAAAAAAAAAAAGAGCCAAAAUUUUGGCUAUAUAAAGAGGGCUUCCCACCCUCAUUUUUCAUCCAAGUUUUGUAGAGAGAAUUGAGAAUUCUUUGCAAGAGCAAAGAAUUUUGUGUGCUUAGUGAUUUGAGAGUUUGGGUGUAUUGGGGUUUUGGGUAGUGAGCUAAAAUACUACAAUACUUGUAACUCCUUUUCACUAGUAUAAUAUUUCUGUCUGUCUUCGCCCGUGGACGUAGGCUAAAAGCCGAACCACGUAAUUUCUGGUGUCCUCUUUUUGUGCUUGUUCUUUAUUUUUCUUUCAAUUUUACUUUAGCUGCGUGUCUGCUUCACCCAACAAUUUCCUAACACAGCUUUGUCAUCAUCCUCGUCGUCGUCGUCUUCUCCGAAGGAAGGAGUAAAGUGUAAGGGUAGGAAAAGGUGAUGCUUAGCUGCUUGUCUUUGUUAUUCAUUUCUAGGAAACUAAGAGAGUUUUACCGAGUUUGAUUGUUACUUGUAGAGAGAUACUCUUAGAGCCUAUGUUAUGGCUUAUGUUGUAUAAUAGCAGAGGAACUUCAAGCUUGCAUUGUUGUAUUUUCCCUGGUAUUUGGCAUGUAAUAUACUAAAUGACAAAGAAUUUUCUAAUUUUAGAGGGGAAAAAUGUGUCAGUUAAUUAUUUGUUUAUUUUAUCUGUUUAAUUCAGUUUAUAAUAUAGCUUUUCUUUUAUAAAAAAAAAAUCUCCUAGCUUCAUCUGCAAAUUCAGUCAUGUGUAACUUCUUUCAGGGAGAAAAGAAGGGAAAAAAAAAAAAAAAAGCAUUUGUACCUAUAUUUUAGAGUACUGACUCUCAUACAGAAAUUGGUUAAGAUGACAUUAAUGUUCUUUAAAAUAGAUGGAUAUGCAUAAUUUUCAUCGAAAUUGAAAUUAGAAAUGGAUCAAUAUGAAUGAUAUAUAUACAGAACUUUUUAAUAGAAUUUUUAUACAAAAAUUUGUAGCUCAUUACUCUCCAGAAGAAAAAUAAAUUUUUAAUUGUAGAUAUUAAGUUUUAAAUUUAUAAUGUAAUAAAUGUGACUUAAGGUGCACAGCACCCAUAUAAUAAUAAUUAACAAAAUAAAAUUCAAAACCAAUUUUUUAAAAUUAAUUAUUUUUAUACCUAAAUUCUCAUGCUCGACGGCCGCUGGAAUUGGCUAUUGUAAUUUUGUCAUCCUCAUUAUUCACUGGCCAUUUUUGGACCAUGACAUAAUAGAACUUGGGUCAAACUUUCAUCUUUAAAUCACAUAGGUAGAUCACGAUUCAAGCUUCAGUUAUAAGCCUUUCAUUCUUUCUUGAUAUAUCUAUAUAUAUAUAGAUUCAGUUUGAAUAUGGUUCUUCAUAGUAUCAUGGAAAAUGCAAACGAAAAGUCAGCAUCUUUGAGUUUUGCCUCAUCGUAUUCAACUUGUUGGUCUACUAAUCAAUCAACAGGCUAUGGAAAUAGCUGGUGCAGAUACCGCCACUGGCCUUUCAGCAUUAGGACGAAAAGGACUAAGUGGGAACUUGAAGGAGGUUGAUUUGAAUGAAACGCUCUCUAUGCAAGCCAAGAGAUGCCAAUUGAGACUGCAAACUCUGCUCAAAACAGGUAUUUAUAUACUUUUUUAACUUUUGCACCUUUCUAUUUACUGAUUAUCUUUUUAAUUAACUAAUACAUGUAUCCAUGUUUCUCCUUCCAUUUCAUUAGAAGUAAUGUGCAGCUAAUUAAUCAGCAUAUCAGUAUACAACAAUACUUCCACAUAAGCAAAUAAAUCUUACAAUCCUUCUUACAUGAUUUAAAAAAAAAUACUUCUAGAAGUCUUCUAAAUACAAACAUAAACAGAAUUCAACUGCUAAAACCAUACCAAGAUUCAAGCUUCAAUCAGUAAUACACACGGCUAAUUAUUAAAAACAUCUAGCCAGAAACCUUAUUGAAGCUCAAUCCUUCCGAAGCAUUCUUCAAAUUAAUAAUUGCUACUAUCUGUGAAAAAUAAUUGACAAGGAGUCAGCUGUUAACUCAAUCAGUAGAAACAUUCAUAACGAACAAAAAGAAUUCUUUGUGCAAUAGUUUCAGAAAAUUCAUUUAACCCUUCAAACGAAACAGAGUAAUUUUUCUAACGCAGUCAUGAUUUAUAUAAAACAUAAACAUUAGUUUGAUUUUAAAGGGAGGUUAUUGGGAAGUUAAAAUUGGCAGUUGUGGGAAAAGGGUAAUAGCAAUUAUAAAAUCUCUUUUAAAGCAAAUUCAAAUCAAGUUUCAAAUUUUAGGAGUACUUAAUUCAAUAAAAUAAGGAAUAAAUAAAGCUUUCGUUGAAACAAAACUAAGUAAAUUCAUUUAAAGCAAAACAGGAUGCGAGCAUUACUACGGGUUCUUAUGUUUACCCGCAGUCAGACAUCCGGGACCUUGUUAUUUGGAGACAAGACUUGAUUGUGGCAUGUUUCCGCAGCCAGAUAUCUUUUACUUCAUUAUUUCCUAAACAUCUGUGGAUAAGAGAACCCUAAGCCUAUUGAGAAUAAAUUCUGUAAUCCAAGACUCUUCAAUUCUUUCAUUUGUGGCUAAUUAGUUAUAAAAUUUUGGAAUUUCAUGCUCCAUGGCACUUGCAAAAUGUAUUUUAUAUCCUUAAGAUGCCAGUGGAUGAACUGAAAUAAUAAAAAUGGAAAACAGACUUAAUGUCGAUAGCAUUUCUUAAGAAAAAAUUGGGAUGUUUAUAAUUUUCUUAGAGCAUUUGCUGAACUUUCUGUGAUCGCAGUUGAGACGUGUGACCGCAACUUCCCUCAUUGCUCAGUAGUGGCUGAUAAUUUUUUGCAUUUCAACUCCCCUCAUUGCUCAGAAGUGGUUGAUGAGUUUUUGGAUUGUGAUUGGUCCGAUGCGUCCUUCCUAGAAAAGGGUACUCCUGAUGAGCAGAAACUCAAAAGGGCAGGCUUCAUGAAACUUAAAAGUAGACAUGCAGGAGGCAUUCUGCGAGGACCUGGCUUAUCACCGUCGUUCAGGGCUGCCAUCAUCCUGGUCGGCAUUUUACAAGUACAUGGCUGAGCGCAAUCGUUCAGGUAUGUCGACAUCCUCGGCAUCGAGCAAUUAAGCAUCACCUUUCCCUAAAAGUCAUAUUUGACAGCUAGGAAACUAAAAAGAGUUUAGCGCGCCCGAUUGGUAUUUGUAUUUUUUUUUUUUUUCCCUCAAGUGAUCUGGUAUGUAUCAAUUAGUUUGUAAAUUAUUGUAUUGUCUCAAGUCCCGUUAGACGCGAACGUAUAGCAUGGAUCACAAACUCAUUUCAUAUAACAUUGAUUUUGUAAAAUUAUAUAAUUUAUAGGCUAUGCUCAAAAAAUUAGAAAAGAAAAAAGAAUUGUAUUACAAUUGGUACGAGGCAUGCAUGCGUAUGUCAUAUCAGUUGCUGAACAAACUUUGCCUUUUAAUUUUGUAGGCAUUACUAUCUCAAAUUUUCUAUUAUCAUAAAUGAAUUUUCUUUUUCUUUUUAACAAAUCAUAAAUGAGAUUAAGAUAAUUUUUUUUUUUUAAAAAAAAAGAAAACUGGAGAUUUCUUUUUAUAUUUCCUUAAAAAAUGAAGAAAAGUUUAGAAAGUAGUGAGAGAUGGAGAAAUAAAGUAUUUAUAUUCAUAAAUAUAAUUUGUUUGGUGCAGCAACACAAACUAAUAAAUUAUAACUUAUGGGAUUAGUUUACAGAAUCUUACAUAUAAAAUUAUAUCCUCUGAAUAAAAAUCUUCACACCUCUUUUGACUUCUCAUUUAGACCCCCUUUCUGGAACCUCUUCAGCGAUAAACACAUUUUCAUUAAGCAAAACAGAAAAAAUUAUAUAUAAUUGUUCAUAACGACCAUUUCAUUUGUACAUAGUAUGUAAUUGGCCACUAAAAUUAUUUGAGGGGAAAAUUUACAUGAGAUGGGUGCAUCACAUUAUCAAUAUUUUAGUCUCAAUUUGAACAUACAUUCGCUGCACGAAUCUUAUUAGAAUGGUCUCUCAUAAAUUUUUCUCCAAUUUGAGAGAUAGUGGGGAGUGAUCAAAGUGCAUCUAUACAGAAUUAAUUAAAAUAAAUUUUAUUUUUUAACUAUUUUUACUCAAAGUAGUAGUUCUUCUUUUUAUUAGUGUUCUUCCAAUUAUAUCAAAUUAAGUAGUUCAUUAAAUUUUUUAAGUAACGUAUGGUCUGGAGUUUUUAUACAUCCAAUAUUAGUGUUAUUCCUUUUGCCCUUUCGAGCACGAAUUCGAAUCCAAUACUUUAUAAUAAAGAUAUAAAAUUAUUCAGUUCAAAAGAUAUAACAUUAUUAUAAUACUAAUAAUAACAUUAAAAUAUUAAAAAAUAAGUAAAAAAAAAAUCCAAAAUUUUUACUGGUAUACAACGCAUAGCCAAAGCGAUAGCGAAACAUCAAAUUGUUUUUAUUUCAAUCUUCGCGCAACUGCCGGUGACAUAUUUUUUCUCUGUUUCACGUAAAUACCCAAAACUAAACUUUGCAUGUAUCAUUCUUGUAUUUUUGUUAUUCAUUCACAGAUCCUUCUCUUCUUUGCUUUUCUUUUUUGCUGUAAUUUUUUAUUAGACACUCUGUUUCAGUUCUGUUUCUGGUUUUGUUUCAGUUUAAUAUUAUUGGUUCGGUUAUGUUCUGCUCUGUUCUCUGUUGUAUAUAUAUAUGUAUAUAUUUUUGGCCUCGAAUUGCUUUGAUCACCGGUUUUGUAAUUCAUUUAUCAUGAAUUUUAGAUACCCAUUAAACUUGUUUGGUCAUGCAUUCACUUGAUUGUUAGAUUCAGCUGCCAUUUUCAUGGUGGGUUUGUAAGAUAGUCUCUGACUAACAUACGGCAUUGAUUAUGAAUGAUGGUUUUGUGAGAUACAUCAUACAGACGUUAACUCGUAUUAAUGUGUACUCACUUCAUUCAAAAGAUUAGUGUUUUUCUCUUCUUUUUUUUUAAAUUUGAAAUGCAUCUUUUCGCAUUUUAUAGGUGAAAGAAAGAAAAAUAAUAUUGCAGAACUAGAAUAAAGAAGCCCAUUGUGGUAUCUAUUGUCCAAGGAAGCUUCAAUCGAAGUCAAAUCUUAGCAGAGCUAGGCGGAGUCGUUGCUGAAGGAAUAUAUAUUAGCAGACCCAUUUGUCCCGUACACUUCAAUUGUUGGCAGCAUUUUUGCUUGCAAGAUGGUUUGUUUUUCAUCGUUACUUACAAGCAAAUAUUUUGAAUGCAUAGUUUUUAUCUAAUUAGUUAUAAAAUUCUUAUACCCGCUGUUUUCUGUAAGAGUGUGUUCCUUUUCAGGUCUAUGAUCUUGCCCAAUUGAUGAGUGCUGUUCACUUUAAAAGUUAUUCCAGUUUCUCCUGCAUACAGCGGGCGGAGUGGAGUAACAGGUGAUCGAAUACUUUCAUUUAGUUCAAUUGACAUUUCUUUUUCAAUUGGUAAAGUUUAAUCAUUUUUGUUAAAUCGACAACUUAUGCAGGGCCAUAUCAACCGUCCAUGCCAUUUUUGUUACAGCUAUGUCUUUGUACUUCGUGUUUUGGUCUGAUCUCAGAGUUUGUGCGUAGCACACUUGUUUCUAUUGUUUGAUUGUCCCUUCAUAGACAUUUCGAUAAACUGUUAUUUUUGUUCUUUGGAAGUGAAUAUUUUCCGCAACUAGAACUCCGAAGCAUCUGGAAUGAUCCAUUUUAUGAUUCUUAAUACCUAUAAAAGAAUGUCAUAGAAAACAGUUUCCAAAGCAAGUUGCAUGUGGUUUGAAUUUGUCUUUGGAAGCCCUAAUUGCUUGGAGCACACUGUUAGCCAGUCGUGAUUCCAUCCACUUUUUUGGAUAGACAAUUAUGCAUCCAUCUGAUCUGGUCUAAACUAGUUUUUAAUAAAUAAUUGCCCAACGGUUUAGUCUGAGUGUUACAGCCCAGUCUUUGUUGUCAAUACUCUUUCCCCCGUCGUGGAUGAGCGCCAUAACAGCUUCUUAAUGUUUUGCAGUGGCUUUUGCACGGUUGUUUUUUUCCUUCUGAAGCUAGAGUAGCUAUGGAUAGAGCAGAUGCCGAUGCCACCAAUUUUUAUACUGGCCUUUCAGCAUCAAAAUCAAAAGGAUCAAGUGGGAACUUAAAGGAGGUUUAUUUGAAUGAAACACCCUCUAUGCAAGCCAAGAGACUCCAAUUAAUACUGCAAGCUCUGCUUAAAACAGGUAUUUAUCUCAACAAAAUAUUAGAACCUUUGCACCACUAGAGACAUUUUCUUAGAGCAUUUACUGGACUUUCUAUGAUUCCAGUAGAGACGGGUCGACGCUCUACCGCAAUCCAUCUGUCUAUUUAUUUUUUGUUUGGAAAUGUAACAAUUUAUAGCUGGCAAAGUAAUAGAGUUGUAUACUUGUAUUUAAUUUAUUAUUAUUAUUUUUUUAAUGACUCGGUAAUGUCAUUGUCCAUGGUGUUUUGUCAUUUCGAAAGUACUUACCCCUUUGACGCUAAGGCACAUUACAGCAGCCGAAAUUUUGAGCUUUCAGUUCUUGAUUUUAGCGUGAGGGGUAUCUUUGUCUUUUCAGUAGUCAACACACGGUCAACAAAACAGUCUACAAGCAAUCAGGGGGCAAAUCGGAUCUUUGAGUUUUCAGUAGUCAACAAAACAGUCUACAAGCAAUCGGGGGGGAAAUCGGAGAUAAGCUGAUACUUUCUAUCAUAGUGGAGAAACGCCAAACCUCAGGGGAGGAAACUGGAAAUUACCCCUUCGCGACCUGUGAACUUGGGUCAAAACUUUCAUCUUUAAACCUAAUAGGUAGAUACCAAUGGGCCUUUGGUCCAGUGGGAGAGCCCUUGCACUUAGAAUAAUGAGUGCAAGGGUUCGAGCCUCCAUAAAAGCAUUUAUGGGGCUUAUUUACAAUCCUUCCUCAAUUAUCACACAAUUGAGUGGAGCCAGUCUAUUCCUCACGAAAUGUGAGUAGAGUGGACAGCCCUCGAAUAUUUGAGAGGGUUUGAAGAAUUUGGGCAGCGCUUCAGAGGAGUACAUGCCACGAUGAAGGUCCCAAUUGUAGAAUCUGUGUGUAAAUAUUAAUUGUAAUACCUACAGUCCUGUAUAAACAGUAUUCAAAAAAAAAAAACCUAAUAGGUAGAUCGCGAUUCAAGCUUCAGUUAUAAGCAUUUCAUUGUGAUUGAUAUUAUUCUUUCUUGAUAUAUAUAUAUAUAUAUAUAUAUAUAUAUAGAUUCAGUUUGAAUAUGGUUCUUGAUGGUAUCAUGGAAAAUGCGAACGAAAAGUCAGCAUCUUUGAGUUUUGUCUCAUCAUAUCAAACUUGUUGGUCCACUAAUCAAUCAACAGGCACUUGUGAUCUUGAUAAUUUGAACUUAAGGAGGCAAAGCAGCAAUCCCAAAGAGACAUGGCUUGAAGCUGAGAUUGUUGUUGAGGGCAAAUCAGUGGCGGUUAAUCGCAGCAUAUUGUCUGAGCGCAGUCAAUUUUUUCGUCGGCUUUUUAAUUUGAGAAAUGAUGGGAAAGCCAGGUAUCUUUUGACUGAUUUGGUGCCUCAUGGGAAGGUUGGAUAUGAAGCUUUCAAGGAUACCUUGCAUUUUCUUUACACUGGAAUGAUUAAGGAAUCUCCUCCAGAAGUGUCCACGUGUGUUGAUGAUGCUUGUGCUCAUUUUGCUUGCCCUCCUGCUAUUAAUUAUGGUAUUGAGUUGAUGUAUGCUUCCGCUGCUUUUCAGAUGAAAGAACUCGUUGUUCUUUCGGAGGUAAUUGUGCUUCCCUGCUAUUUGUAUUGCUUAAAUUUAUGCUUCUUGGUAUAGUUUUAACAUAUAUGGGAUUGAAAUCAAUUUCAGUUGUGAAGCAACUUCGGUGGUUCCCAAUAUUAGGCAUUGUAGUAGAUCCAAAACUAGCUUAUUAAAAAGUGUAGAUAUCGUAGAGCCCAAAACUUCGUCUUAUCUUGCAAGAGUCUGUUGUUUUAUUUUGAAAGAGACAAAAGUGAUGAUGAUGGGCAGCGAGCUCUAGGAAUCAAUGCUUGCUGACACUGACUCCCAAGAAUCAAUGAGUCUGAAUUUGAUAAGUGCACCUAUCCUAUCACAAAAGCUUUUGCGUUGAGUUUCUAACCAAGGAAAAUUGUCACUUCUGUCUGUAGGCUUCAUAGAUUUGUUCAAGCCUUCAAGGAUGUCUAGCUGUUACUUACCGUCCAACAAUGGUGCUACAUUUCUAGUGAAUGAUAUGUUAUUCUACAUCUGUAUAUUGCAACUUUGACAAACUUCGCCUUUCCUUUGUUGAUUCACUCGUCUCACUUUUAUUAAAUUGCCCGAUUAUGAAAUGGUCUAUUGGAGACUAGCAAUGGAAGGUUUCUUCUGGAAAAAAUUUUACUUGACCACUAAUUUUCAUUUGGGUGGGUGUCAGUUCAUGCUCUGGCUUGACUGUUCUGUUAUUUAGGUUGUUUUAUCCGUAUUUUCUCACUCACUUGAUAGUUAGUUCUCUCAUGCUUUCAAGCUCAACAGUGAAUGCGGAUGCGAGAGAUUCUCUUUUUUCCCGUACAGGCUAUAACCUAGCAAAUCAUUAAUGCUGUAGAAUAACAUCUUGUGUAGGUGAGCUUAUGUCUCUGAACAUUGGUCCAUCGGCAUUUAGGUUCGAUAAGCAUGGCACUGAUUUUCCCCCUCAUUAUUAUUUUCCUACACAGAUUAUCCCUGUUAAGUAUUUGAAUUUUGAAUAUAUUAUUCUGAAUCAAAACUCUAUCUGUCUGUGUAGCAUUUUGUAUAUGCUUUAUGAUGUUUACCAAUAAUUACCCACUAUGGGGUAUUUGAAUUUUGAAUAUAUUAUUUUGAAUCAAAACUCUGUCUGUCCGUGUAGUUUAGGCUUCUGUACAUGGCUGGGAAGGCUCCUGUGGAAGAUGUAAUCCCAAUUCUCGUGGCUGCCGUCCAUUGCCAACUGAACAUGCUCCAUUCUUACUGCAUCCAGAGAAUUGCAGGGUCAAAUCUUGACAAUCUUUGUCUCGAGAAAGAGCUUCCUGAUGAAGUUUCAAGAGAAAUCAAAUCACUCCGUGUCAAAUCCAACCAGGAGUCUGAAGCUAAUAUAGCAGAAGUGGAUCCUAUGCAUGCAAAAAUAGUCAGAAGUAUCCAAAAGGCGCUGGACUCUGAUGACGUUGAACUGUUGAAGCUUCUUCUGGAUGUAUCUAAUGUCACUCUGGAUGAUGCUUAUGCUCUGCACUAUGCUGCUGCCUACUGCAGCCCUAAGGUUUUUAAGGCAGUGCUCAAUAUGGACUUGGCUGGUCUCAAUCUUAAGGAUGCAAGAGGUCGUACGGUGCUUCAUGUGGCUGCAAGGCGUAAUGAGCCAGAAGUGAUGGUGACUCUGCUGAGCAAGGGAGCAUGCGCGUCAGAAACUACAUCAGAUGGGCAAACAGCUGUAGCAAUCUGUCGGAGAAUGACAAGGCGAAAGGAUUAUAUUGAAGCUUCAAAGCAGGGGCAGGAAACUAACAAAGACCGGUUAUGCAUUGACGUCCUUGAGAGAGAGAUGAGAAGGAACUCCAUGUCUGAGAACUUGGCAAUGUCAUCGGAGGGGAUGGAUGAUGAUUUCCAAAGGAAGCUGGACUUUCUGGAAGAAAAAGGUGAUAUUUCUUUACGGGUAUUAGUUCAUCACCUUCUCAGAGUUUUUGCUAUGCACACUUCUUUGUACUGUUUGUUUGUCCCUUCAUAUGGAAAAUAGAGGUGAUAUUCCUUUACUGGUAUUAGUAAAUCAUCUUCUCAAGAGUUUGUGAGUCCCUUCAUUUUAGCAUCUCGAACACGCAUGGGCUCACUGCUUGGGGCACACUGUUGGCCAGUCAUGUGAUUUGAUCCCCUUUUUUGGAAUAGAGAAUUCUGAAUCCAUCUGAUCUAGGCUUGGUGGUUUGCACUGAACUGGUUUUUGAUAAAUAAUUGUACAAGACUUUGUCAUCAAAACCUUUUUUUUUUGUUUUUUGUUUUUUGUUUUCCAAAGGUAAAGAGGUACAAUACAAUUUAUGCCUAUCCUGGAUGAGUGCCAUAACAGCUUCUUAAUAUUUUGCAGUGGCUUUUGUACGGUUUUUUCCUUCUGAAGCUAGAGUAGCUAUGGAAAUAGCAGGUGCGGAUACCGCCACUGGCCUUUCAGCAUUAGGUCAGAAAGGACUAAGUGGGAACUUAAAGGAGAUUGAUUUGAAUGAAACGCCCUCUAUGCAAGCCAAGAGACGCCAAUUGAGACUGCUAACUCUGCUUAAAAUAGGUAUUUAUAUACUUUAUUAACUUUUGCACCUUUCUAUUUACUGAUUAUCUUUAUAAUUAACUAAUACAUGUAUCCUCGUUUCUCCUUCCAUUUCAUUAAAGGGAGGUUAUUGGGAAGUUAAAAUUGGUAGUUGUGGGAAAAGGGUAAUGGCAGUUAUAAAAUCUCUUUUAUAGCAAAUUCAAAUCAAGUUUCAAAUUUUAGGAGUACUUAAUUCAAUAAAAUAAGGAAUAAAUAAAGCUUUCAUUGAAACAAAACUAAGUAAAAAUAUUCCCAACGAAUGAGCACUUCUUAAUUUUCAUUUAUAAGAAAAAAGAGAGAGAGAGAGAGAGAGAGAGAAUUUAUAAUAAAAAAAUAUAACUACACAUUAGUUAAACCCUAAUGAGCUACGGGAAAGCUUCUCCACCGCCGCUGGCGAGCGACCGUUUCACCAAAAAGACAAAGUUUAGGGCUGAAGGGGCUGAUGGAGAUAACCCUAAGCCCUUAUCCUACCGUGAUAUUGCCAUGGAGGCGAAUGGGGGUUCUGCAAAUAUGGGGUUUGGCAUGAGGGACGAGUGGGAACUGGAAGAGGAGGAUGUCUGUUGCAAGGAGGACGAAUCUAUGCCCUAUAUUGCUUUCUCACAAAGGGUUCACGAUCGACUAGCAAAACCUUGGGCGAACUCAGUUGUCGUUAAAACUCUUGGACGAAACUUGGGAUAUAGAGUUAUCAGCGAGCGUUUGAAAAGACUCUGGAGUUCUACAAUGGGUUUCUCCAUCAUUGACUUAGCUAAUGAUUACUACUUGGUCCGUUUUCAGAACGAGGGAGAUGUGGAAUAUGCUCUUACUGAGGGGCCUUGGACCAUCAUGGGGCAUUAUCUUUUUGUUCAGCAAUGGACACCGGAGUUUGAUGCUACCACGAAUAGAGUUGAUCGGAUUGUGGCUUGGAUUCGUUUGUCUGGCAUGAAUAUUCACUUUUAUCAUAAAACUAUUAUUCGGCGGUUAGGGCAAAUUGUUGGCCCGGUCAUCAAGAUAGACUAUCUCACUGCCGCAGCCCAAAGGGGAAAAUUCGCUCGCAUUGCGGUUCAACUAGACCUUGACAAGCCGCUGGUUUCUCAAUUUAAUUUUGAGGGAAGAAUCCAAAAGGUGGAGUAUGAAAAUCUGCCCAUGAUUUGUUUUUGUUGUGGCAAGUUUGGCCAUUAUCAAGAUGCUUGCCCUGACGGUGGUACCACGCAUGUGGAAGCGGCACAGCCAACUUCUUGUCCUGUUGCUGCAAACCAGAAUAUUGUGGUGGAGGAGGGUUCUAACCAAAAUGAGUCUAAGUUUGGAUCGUGGAUGGUGGUAACCCGUAAACCUCGCCCUCGUAGAUCUACAGAAAGGGUUUCUUCUAAGGUCUGGGUUCAGGAUCAACAGGGGCUGAAUGUUCGUGUGUCGCGGUUUGAUGUUUUAGGCAAAGUGAUGGAUGACGAAAUUGUACCACAAAAUCAGGACAACACUUCGGUAGUCCAUCAGGAAAUCCUGGAGCCAACAGUAGAAAACCCCAACACAUUAGCCCCAAAAUCCAGGAGCAUGAAAAAGAAACAAGUGAGUCACUUUAUGCGGAAAUAUCCUACCAAGAAAAUUUCAGUUUCGGCAAACAACUCCAUAGCUGAAAAUAUCAACCCAAACAAUCAUAGCCGUGGCCAGACUUUCCAACCACAUAAGCCUACCCUAGCCAUGCAAGGCAUGCACGCACAUCUCAAGGUUCUUACAACAUCUGAACCAAGUGCCACCUCCGAUGUUCCCUGUAGCUCCAUGCAUGGCAUGCAUGCCCAUCCCAACACACUGGCUGCUUCUCCGAUGCCUGUUCAUGUAACCCUUAACCCGUUAAACCACAGUGCAGUUUCUUUCCCCAACCUUCAGCUACAAUUUCCUCAUCCUCGGUCUCAUCAUGAACACUUGCCUGAGGGAGUUUUGGCCCUAAAUUUGGAUAAAGAGCCUCCCGAUGAGGAUGGAAUGGAGAGCCCUAAGUUCCGGGGGGGAGAUUUUAGGGAGCUUGAUUCAGAUGUUGCGGGUAGGAUUUUGCCUUCAACUGAUGACGAUAAUUCAGGGGUUCCUGACACCUUCAUGGAUGAUGAAGCUGAAGCCAUAGGGCUGUCUUAGUUUCGCCCCCGUUCCCCUUUUAAAAUAUUUUUGUUAUGUGUAUUACAACUAUGUUUUGGAAUGCUCAAGGUGCUGCCUCACCGUCCUUUCGUCGUUCUUUCUCUGCUGUGGUUACCAAUUACAAGCCCAUAAUGGUGGUGUUAAUGGAGCCUCGCAUCAGUGGGUCCAAGGCGGAUAACUUCAUCAAGAAUAGUGGUUUUGAAAAGUCUCACCGAGUGGAAGCUGAGGGUUUUUCGGGCGGCAUUUGGAUCCUUUGGAAAAAUUUAUUUGAUGUUGAGAUAGUGGAGAAUCAUACUCAAUUCAUUCACCUCAAGAUUUCAAGGAACAAUAAUCUUCUAACUUGGAUGACGGCAAUCUACGCUAGUCCUAAUCCAAGCAUUAGGAGGCAUCUUUGGAAUGAGUUGGCAAAGAUUGCUUUGACUGUCCAGGGCCCUUGGUUGUUAGGUGGAGAUUUUAAUACUAUUCUGUAUAAUUCUGAGAAGAAAGGAGGAUCUCCGAUGGGCGCAGGAGUGUGCAGACUUUUUCAGUCUUGGUUUCAUAGUCACGGCAUGCAUGACCUUCCUUUUCAUGGGCCACGUUUUACUUGGUCUCGCGGCAAUCUUUUCAAACGUCUUGAUAGAGUGAUUUGCAAUGGAGAUUGGGCUCAGACUUAUGCUGCCUCUACUCUCCUUCACCUUCCAAAGUUUAUUUCUGAUCAUCGGCCUCUUCUAGUGAAAGAGAAUAUUAAUCCUCCGAGAAAUUUGAAUUCUAGGCCGUUUCGUUUUCAGGCGGCUUGGCUCACGAAUGAUGGUUUCAAGGAUUUUGUGGCCACUUCAUGGGAUCGGAACGUCACCUAUAUGGAGGCGGCAAUUUUUGGCGGAAACGACGAUUAAUGGCUCGGCUGGGGGGAAUUCAGCGGGCCUUGGAGAAGUAUAGUUCUCAAGGGCUCCUUGAGGGGGAAUUCAGCGGGCCUUGGAGAAGUAUAGUUCUCAAGGGCUCCUUGAGCUUGAAUUAAAGUUGAGAACCGAGCUUGAAGGCUCCUUUUAGGUGAUCGUAACACUUCCUACUACCAUCAGAAAACUUUAUCUAGAAGGCGUCGGAAUCAUAUUACAGCCAUUAAAAAUAAUGCGGGCACUUGGAUUUAUGAUAAAGAGGAAAUUAAGCAGCAUGUGAUUCAGUUCUAUUCAUCCCUGUAUUCUUGCGACUCGCCAAAUUUCCGGGCAUAUCCGCAUCCGAACUCUUUUCCUAUUAUUAAUGAUAAGGAGCUUCAAUAUCUUCAGGGGAAUGUGGAUGAUGAUGAAAUUAAAAGAACCAUCCUUGGCAUGCACCCUCUCAAGGCCCCGGGUCCGGAUGGCCUCCAUGCCAUUUUCUAUCAAACACAGUGGGAUACGGUUGGCCCAUCUCUUUGCUGCUUAGUGAAAGAUGUUUUUCAGCAUAAACGUUUGCCGGGGGAUCUAAAUGCUACAUUGCUUGCGCUUAUUCCAAAGAUUGAGAAUCCCUCUUCUUUGAAGUUGUACCGUCCCAUCUCUCUCUGCAAUGUAGCGUACAAGACCAUUACCAAGAUUAUUGCCAAUCGGCUCCAAUCGAUUUUACCUCAUCUGAUUGGCCCCCACCAAACUAGCUUUGUUCCCGGUCGUCACAUAACGGAAAAUAUUGUGAUCGCUCAAGAAGUCAUCCAUUCCAUGAGGAAAAAGACUGGUGCUAAAGGUUUUAUGGCGAUCAAGGUUGAUCUUGAGAAGGCGUAUGAUCGCCUUAGUUGGGAAUUUAUCAAUGAUACUUUGUGCGAAGCUCAAAUUCCCCCCGAUCUCAUUCAGACUAUUAUGGCUUGUAUUACCUCAGUCAAAAUGCGGGUUUUGUGGAAUGGGGAAGUGACGGAUGAAUUCGUUCCUUCCCGUGGAAUUCGCCAGGGUGAUCCGUUGUCUCCUUAUCUUUUUGUUCUCUGCAUCGAACGCUUGAGCCAUGGGAUUCAUAAUGCCGUGACUGCUGAUAAGUGGAAACCGAUUCAUUUGGCUCGCAAUGGUAUCCCUCUCUCUCAUCUUUUCUUUGCGGAUGAUCUCCUGUUGUUGGCUGAAGCUUCUAUUGAGCAAGCUCGUAUUCUAUCGGCAGUCUUGGAUGCUUAUUGUUACAGUUCAGAAGCUAAGGUUAAUGUUAACAAGACUAUGUUAUACUUUUCCAAGAAUGUAAGGGGUAUAGAUGUGGCCAGGAUCUCGGGUAUUCUUGGUUAUUCUGUCACGCAGGAUCUUGGGAAGUAUCUUGGGGUCCCUCUCCACCACUCACGGGUCACCAAUAAAAUGUUCCAGGAUAUUAUUGAUAAAGUUGAAAAGCGGCUCUCUGGCUGGAACGCUUCCCAUUUGUCUCUGGCUGGCCGCAUUACUCUGGCUCAGUCGGUCCUUCAGGCUAUUCCCAUUUACGUCAUGCAAACUGUUUCUAUUCCGGCUAGUAUCAGAGAGAAGAUUGAUAGGGCAUGCAGGCGCUUUAUUUGGAGUGGCUCUUCACCUAAUCAAAGCCUUAGCAUGAUCAGCUGGAAGGAUAUUUGUAAGCCAAAGUCAGCCGGGGGGUUGGGGUUCAAAUCCUUGGCUAUCAUGAACCGGGCCCUUCAUAUGAAACUUGCUUGGGGUCUCCUCUCUUCCCCAAACAGCUUCUGGGUUCAGGUCCUUGUCUCUAAAUAUGGGGUUGACAUUCGCAAUCCGCCUCUUUUGCUUCCAACGCGCUAUGGUUCUCACUUGUGGAAGUCUAUCGGAAAUGUGUGGAGUGAUGUUUUGGCAAGCCGACGCUGGUGCUUGGGAGAUGGUAAAUCCGUUUGGUUUUGGUGGGAUCUUUGGGUGACUAAGGAUGUCCCUCUUGCGGCUUAUACAACCAAUAAUCUUCCUAGCAAUAUCUUAAACGGUAAAGUGGCUGAUUUUGUUAAAGAAGAUGGUUCCUGGCACUGGGAGCGUUUUGAACAAUUUCUUCCUGCUAAUAUCAUUAUUCAGAUUGCGGCUUUUCAUCCCCCAUCCCCUGAUAAGGGUACGGAUUCUUUGUUUUGGACUCACUCCAAAUCUGGGCGUUUCACUACUCACUCGGCCUACUUGGCCUUUUCGAAUGAUACUCCCAUGAAUGAUGACAGGCUCUGGCGUACGGUUUGGAGUUGGAAGGGUCCCCAAAGUGUGAGGAUCUUCUUAUGGCAAGCAUUUCACGAUCGUCUGAAAACUAAGGCCGAAUUAGUUCGUCGUCACAUCCCGGUAUCAACCUCCUGCGACCGGUGUGGGGCUGCGACUGAGGAUGCUAUGCAUGUCUUGCGGGACUGUGCUUUGGUUAAGCGUUUCUGGCUCCUGAUUCUCCCAGAAAAUAAACGACAACAAUUCUUCAAUUGGCGGCUCCAUGAUUGGCUUCGUACGAACCUGGGAAUGGUCGGAGGGCUAGGGAGUGUUUCUAAUUGGGCCAUCUUCUUUGGUAUUGCUCUCUGGAGACUUUGGUUUUGGAGGAACCAAUUCAUCUUUAAUCAAGUUUCUAUGGAUCCGAAUACUGUUUUAAUGGAUGUUUUUAUGCGCACUGCGGAAAUGCAUAAGAUUCAUUCUCAUCCGCUUACCUCAGGACAUACAAGAGUGAUGAGAUGGAUUUCUUGGAAACCUCCAGAUUGGCCUUGGUGCUCUCUGAACACGGAUGGUGCCCAUAACAGGGAGGGAAUUUCUUCUGCUGGGGGAUUGAUUCGCGAUCACAUGGGUCGCUGGAUAAGUGGUUUUGGGAUGAUGAUAGGUUCCUGCUCUGUUACAGUAGCGGAGCUUUGGGGUUUGUAUCAAGGGUUGCAGCUAGCCUGGAAUUCUGGUAUAAGAAAGCUUAAAGUGGAAAUAGAUAGUCGUUGUGUGCUGCAGUUGGUGACCAAGCCAACAUUGGAAAUCAAUCACUAUACUCCUCUGAUUCGAGCUAUCAAGGAUUAUCUAAAGAUGGAUUGGCAAGUUUCUGUUUCCCAUAUUUACAGAGAAGCUAACUUCGCAGCGGAUUAUAUGGCGAGCCUAGCCUUCUCUAUCCCUCUUGGUCUUACUAUCUACCAUACUCCCCCGUUGGGUGCUAGACCCUUUUUGUUUAAGGAUGCUUAUGGGGUUGCCCAUUCUCGCUCGAUUGUUCUUUAGCUCUGCCUAGAGCCCCUUUUUACCAAAAAAAAAAAACUAAGUAAAUUCAUUUAAAGCAAAAAAGGAUGCGAGCAUUACUAUGGGUUCUUAUGUUUACCCGCAGUCAGACAUCUGGGACCUUGUUAUUUGGAGACGAGACUUGAUUGUGCCAUGUUUUCCAUAGCCAGAUAUCUUUUAGUUCAUUAUUUCGUAGACAUCUGUGGAUAAGAGAACCCUAAGGGUGCGUUUGGUACAUUGUAUUGUAUUAUGCUGUAUUGUAUUAUUUUAAUACUAAUGUAUUGUAUUAUGUUGUAUUGCAUUAGCACUGUAUUAUAAUAAUGCUAUACAAUGUUUGAUGUUACACUGUACUGUAUUAGAUUUUAAUUAUAUUAUAUUACAAUUGUUGUAACAUAAACACGACCAAAAUAAAUUGUACUAAAUAAUCUAAGUAAGAGUUCUGUAGUAUAUGUAAUAAUACUAUUUAUAUUAUUAUUAUUAAUAAUUCUAAAUUAAUAUUAUUUAAUUUUAUUCAUAUUUAAAUAUGUAUUAUUAGUUUAUUAAAUUAUUUAAAAAUAAUUAAUUUUUAUAUAUUAAUUAUUGUAACUUAAUUAAAUAAUGUAAUGCUAUAUUAUAUUUUUAUAUACUAUUUAAGUAUUUAUUAUUAAUUAUAUUCAAUUAUAAAUUUAUUAAUAAAUUAUAAUGUAAAAAUAAAAAAAAUAAAAAUUAAUAUGUAUAAUAUUAUAUUAAAUUAAAGUUUUAUUUUUAUUACUAUUAUUAUAAAGUAAAAAAAAAAAGGCAAGCUACUGACUUUUGAAACACAAAAGUCAGUAAUACAGCCUAAUCACGAGGGGGGGCGCGAGUUUUGAUAAUGCGGCAAAAGCUGCAUUGUAAUGCUGCUCAAUAUAAUCCAUUUGAUCACCAAACACAUGUAUAUUUUAACUAAUGCUGGGCCCACAAGAUAAUACAAUGCAAUACCACAUGCCAAACAUACCCUAAUGGUGCGUUUGGUACACUGUAUUGUAUUAUGUUGUAUUGCAUUAUUUUAAUAUUGGUAUAUUGUAUUAUGCUGUAUUGCGUUAGCAUUGUAUUAUAACAAUGUUGUACAAUGUUUGGUGUUAUACUGUAUUGUAUUAAUUUUUAAUUAAACUAUAUUUGAUGUUACAUUGUAUUGUAUUAAUUUUUAUGAUUAAUUAAAUUAAAUAAUUAAAAAUUAUAUUUAUUAAUACUUAGAAAAAUAAUAAAUAUAGAAAUCUUAAUUGUAGAAAUUUAACAAUUUUUUAGUAAAUAUUAAAAAUUAAUGAUUAAAUUUCUAAAAUUUGUAUUAUAAUUAUGAUAAAAUAAAUUUAUAAAAUUUAAUAUUAUAUGUAAAUAAUAAAUUUAGAUUAUAAUUAAUAUUAUAAUUGUUAAUAUAAAUUAAUAAAUUAUUAUUCAACAAUAUUAAAUUAUAUUUUAAUUUACAAUAUAUUAUUAUUUUUACAUUUUAAUAUAUUAAUAAAUUUAUAAUUUAAUAUAAAUAUUUAUAAAUAUUUAAAUUUGUAUAAAUUUAAAUAAUUUUAAUUUUAAAAUUAAUAUUAAUGUAAAUAAUAUUAUAAUAUUAAUAUAAAUAAUAUUAUAAUAUUAAUAUAUUAUUUACAUUAAUCAUUAAUAAAUAAAAUAAUAUUAUCAUAUAAUUUGUUUUUAUAUUUUAUUCAUUAUAUUAGUAUUUAAUAAUAAAAUAAUUUAUUUUUAUAAUAUUUUAAUAAAAUAAAUUUGCCUCAAUUGAGGCAUUAACUGUUGCCUCAAUUGAGGCAAAAAGCUUCCGCAUUACGCAAACCCAUCGGGUUUGCGUAAUGCGGCCCCAUGCCUCAUUAUGCUGCAUUAUAAUGCAGUAUAAUAAGGUCUCAAAUUUUACCAAACAUCUUUUUGGCAAUAAACUAAUGUGAAUAGUGGUAUAAUACCACACAAUCCCAUGCACCAAACACGCCCUAAGCGUAUUGAGAAUAAAUUUCGUGAUCCAAGACUCUUCAGUUCUUUCAUUUGUGGCUAAUUAGUUAUAAAAUUUGUGAAUUUCAUGCCCCAUGCCCCUUGCAAAAUGUAUUUUAUAUCCUUAAGAUGCCGGUUGUUGAACUGAAAUAAUAAAAAAUGGAAAACAGACUUAAUGCUGAUAGCAUUUCUUCAGAAAAACUUGGGAUGUUUAUAAGUUUCUUAGAGCAUUUGCUGAACUUUCUGUGAUCGCAGUCGAGACGGGUGAACGAUACUUCCCUCAUUGCUCAGAAUUGGUUGAUCGCUUUUUGCAUUGGCCCUAUGCUUCCACCCCAGAAAUGGACGAGGAGAAACUUAAAGUAUACGUGCAGGAGGCACUCCGCAAGGACGUGGCUUAUCACCGUCGUUCAGGGCUGCCAUCAUCCUGGUCGGCAUUUUACAAGUACAUGGCUGAGAGCAAUCAGUCGGCAUUUUACAAGUACCUGGCUGAGAGCAAUCGUUCAGGAAUGUCGACAUCCUCGGCAGCGGAAAACUAAAGGAGUUGAGUGAGCUCUGCUCGAUUGGUUUUUGUAGUUUCUUUUUUUUUUUUCCUCAAGUGAUCUGGCAUGUAUCAAUUAGUUUGUAAAGUUAUUGUAUUGUCUCAAGUCCGGUAAGAUGCGCGAACGUAUAGCAUGGAUCACAAACUCAUUUCAUAGAUUAUUUUUUUGUAUAAUUAUAUAAUUUAUAGGCUUUGCUUAAAAAAUUAAAAAAGAAAAAAAGAAUUGUAUUACAAUUGGUAUGAGGCAUGCUUGUGUGUGUCAUAUCAGUUGCUGAACAAACUUUGCCUUUUAGUUUUGUAGGCACUACCAUCUCAAAUUCUUUGUUAUCAUGAAUGAGUAUUUUUUUUCUUUUUUUUCUUUUUUAACAAAUCAUAAAUGAGAUUAAGAUAAUCUUUUUUUAAAAAAGAAAAAAAAUGGAGAUUUCUUUUAUUUUUCCUUAAAAAACUGAAGACAAAUUUAGAAGGAAGUGAGAGACGGAGAAUUAAAGCAAUUUUAUUCACAAAUGUAAUGUAUUUGGUGCAGCAAUACAAACUAAUAAAUUAUAAUUUAUGAGACUAGUUUACAGAAUCUUAUAUAUAAAAUUAUAUCCUCUGAAUAAAAAUCUUCUCACCUCUUUUGACUUCUCAUCUAGUUUACAGAAUCUUAUAUAUAUAACACAUUUUUAUAAAACAAAACAGAAAAAAAAAUUAUAUAUAAUUGUCACAAGGACUAUUUCAUUUGCACAUAGUACGCAAUUGGUCACUAAAGUUAUUUGAGGAGAAAAUUUACAUGAGAUGGGUACAUCAUAUUAUCAGUAUUUUAGUUUAAAUUUGAACAUACUAGAAUGGUCUCUCAUAAAUUUUUCUCCAAUUUGAGAGAUGGUGGGGGAGUGGGGUUAAAGUGCAUCUACAUAGGAUUAAUUAUAAUUAAAUUUAUUUUUUAAAACUAUUUUAACUAGAAGCAGUGGUAAUUCUUUUUAUUAUUGUUAUUCAAAUUAUAUCAAAAUCUCGUGACUCGUGAUCAAAUUAAGUAGUUCAUUAAACUUUUUUAGGUGACGUAUGGUAUGGAGUUUUUAUAAAUCUAUAAAUAUAGUAAAAUAUUUAAUUUUGCUUGUCGUAAACUUUUAAUUUGCAUGGGUUAAAAAAGAAAAAAAGAAAUUCACUUAUUACUUAAUUAACAAUUAUAGAAAGAAUAAAUAGAAAAUUAUAGUUGCGUGAGAAAACCCUCGUGAAAAGGGCUCCGGAUUUCCUUUCCAUGGCUUCGUGCGUUUCCUUUUGCCCUUUCGAGCACGAAUUCGAAUCCAGUACUUUAUAAUAAAGAUAUAAUAUUAAAAAAUAAGAAAAAGAAUCCCAAUUUUUACUGGUAUAUAACGCAUAGCCUGCAUUAUGAAACACUCUUUUACUAUUCUUUUCUUUUCUUUUCUCUUUUGCUGUAAUUUUUUAUGAAACACUCUGUUUCAGUACUGUUUCUGGUUUUGUUUCGGUUUAAUAUUAUUGGUUCGGUUCGGUUCUGCUCUGUUCUACGUCGUAUGUAUAUAUGUAUAUAUUUUUGGCCUCGAAUUGCUUUCAUCACCGGUUUUGUUAUUCAUUUAUCGUGAAUUUUAGAUGACUUGUUCGGCCAUGUUACAUUCAGCUACCAUCUUCAUGGUGGGUUUGUAAGAUAGUCUCUGACUAACACAUGGCAUUGGUUAUGAAUGAUGGUUUUGUGAGAUACAUCAUACAGACGUUAACUCGUGUUAAUUUGUACUUACAUCAUUCAAAAGAUUAGUGUUUUUCUCUCUUUUUUUUAAAAAAAAAAAAAAUUGAAAUGUCCCUUUUCGCAUUUUAUAGAUGAAAGGAAGAAACAUAAUAUCGCAGAACUAGAAUAAAGGAGCCUAUUGUGGUACCUAUUGUCCGAGGAACCUUCUGUAUAUUCGGUAGGAACUACCAUGGGAAGUCAAAUCUUACCAGAGCCAGGCGGAGUCGUUGCUGAAGGAAUAUAUAUUAGCAGAUCCAUUUGUCCCGUACACUUCAAUUGUUGGUAGCAUUUUUGCUUGCACGAUGGUAUGUUUGUCAUCGUUACUGCGCGGUGGUAUUUACUAGAAAAUAUUUUGAAUGCAUAGUUUUUAUACCCUCUGUUUUCCAUAAGAAUGUGUUCCUUUUCAGGUCUAUGAUCUUGCCCAAUUGAUUAGUGUGCUGUUCACUUUAAAUCUGAUUCCAGUUUCUCCAACAUACAGCGGGUCGAGUGGAGUAACAGGUGAUUGAAAAUUUUCAUUUAGUCCAAUUGUCAUUUCUUUCUCAAUCGGUAAAGUUUAAUCAUUUUCCUUAAAUCGAUAACUUAUGCAGGUCCAUAUCAACUGUCCAUGACAUUUUUAUUACAACGAUGUCUUUGUACUUUGUGUUUUGGUCGGAUCUCAGAGUUUGUGCAUAGCACACUUGUUUCUACUGUUUGUUUGUCCCUUCAUAGACAUUUCGAUAAACUGUUAUUUUUGUUCAUUGGAAGUGAAUAUUUUCAGCAACUAGAACUCCAAAGCAUCUGGAAUGAUCCAUUUUAUCAUUCUCAAUACCUAUAAAAGAAUGUCAUAGAAAACAGUUUCCAAAGCAAGUGGCAUGUGUUUGGAAUUUGUCUUUGCAAGCCACUAAUUNNNNNNNNNNNNNNNNNNNNNNNNNNNNNNNNNNNNNNNNNNNNNNNNNNNNNNNNNNNNNNNNNNNNNNNNNNNNNNNNNNNNNNNNNNNNNNNNNNNNCGGGUUUUUUUUUUCUUUUAAAACAAGGGGAGUUUGGGAACCCCCCCCUUUUUUUUUUUUAAUUUUUUCCCCCCCCCCCCCCCCCCCCCCACCACACCAAAAAAAAAAAAAAAAGAAUUGAGAUACAAAAUAAUUUAUUCCUAUCAUGUAUGAGUGCCAUAAAAGCUUCUUAAUGUUUUGCAGUGUUUUUUGCGCGGUGGCUGUUUCCUUCUGAAUCUAGAAUAGCUAUGGACAUAGCAGAUGCAGAUGCCACCAAUAUUUGCACUGGCCUUUCAGCAUCAAAAUCAAAAGGAUCAAGUGGGAACUUAAUGGAGGUUGAUUUGAAUGAAACACCCUCUAUGCAAGCCAAGAGACUCCAAUUAAGACUGCAUGCUUUGCUUAAAACAGGUAUUUAUAUACCUUAUUAGUUUUUGUAUGUUUAUAAUUACUGAUUUUUGCAUCAAAAGAGAGAGGUUAAUUUUUAGUACAUUUACUGAACUUUCUAUGAUUGCCGUGGAGACAGGUCGACGCUACUUCCCUCGUUGCUCAGAAAUGGUUGAUAAAUUUUAGGAUUGUGAUUGGUCCGAUGCUUCCCUCCUAGAAAAAGGGUACUCCUAAAGAGCAGAGACUCAAAAGGGCACGCUUCAUGGAACUUAAAGAAGACGUGAAGAAGGCAUUUUACAAGGACAUGGCUGAGAAAAAAUGGCUCAGGUUUGUAGUCAUCCUCGUUUCUCCGAAGGAAGGAGUAAAGUGUAAGGGUAGGAAAAGGUGAUGCUUAGCUGCUUGUCUUUGUUAUUCAUUUAUAGGCAACUAAAAGAGAUUUAGUGAGUUGGAUUGUUACUUGUAGAGAGAUACUCUUCGAGCCUAUGUUAUGGCUUAUGUUGUAUAAUAGCAGAGGAACUUCAAGCUUGCGUAGUUGUAUUUUCUCUGGUAUUUGGCAUGUAAUGCACUAAAUGACAAAGAAUUUUCUAAUUUUAGAGGGAAAAGUUAUGUCAGUUAAUUAUUUAUUUAUUUUGUCUGUUUAAUUCAGUUUAUAAUAUAGCUUUUUUUUUCUUUCUAAAAAAAAAAAAUUCUCCAUAUCUUCAUCUGCAAUUUAAGUCAUUCGUUACUUGUUUCAGGAUGGGGAGAGAAAAAAAAAAGAAAAAAAGAAAAGAAGCAUUUGUAAGUAUAUUUUACAGUACUGAUUUUCCUACAUAAAUUGGUUAAGGUGACAUUAAUGUUCUUUUAGGUAGACGGAUGUGCAGAUUUUUCGUCGAAAUUGAAAUUAGAAAUGAAUGGAUAUGCAGAAUUUUUUAAUAGAAUUUUUAUACAAAAAUUUGUAGCUCAUUACUCUCUAAAAGGAAAAAAUAAAUUUUUGAUUGUAAAUAUUAAAUUUUAAAUUUAUAAUAUAAUAACUUUGUGAGUUAAGGUGCACAAUACCCAUAUAUUAAUAAUUAAGAAAAGAAAAAAAAUUAAAAUUUGUAAAUUACCAAUUUUUUCUUGAAAUUUGAUAUUCUAUAUUAACGUAGGUGUUGCAUGGACUGGGUUAGUACAAUUGAAAGAAACUAACUAAAGUAAAACAAAAUAUCAUUAAAAAUAUGGCAAGCUUCUCAUAUUUUUUAAGUGAAAAAGAGACGAAAACUAAAAUUAAUUAUUUUUAUACCCAAAUUCUAGUGCUUGAAGGCCGCUGGAAUUGACCAUUGCAGUUUUGUCAUCCUCAUUAUUCACCGGCCAUCGUGGCCUUCCUCCAUUAAAAAAAUAAAUGACCAUUUUUUUGGACCACGACAUAUUAAAAAUAGUAUUGAUUAGUACUAAUAAAUCUCUUUUUUGAUUAUUUUGCAGUGUGAUAGUCGAGUGAGGGCAGUGCCCAUCGUAGCACUUGAACAUGUGGUAAAUUUCUGCCAGUCUUUGUAAAAUAAUUUUUAAAUUAUGUAUUAACCAGAUAGCUCAAUGAAGAUUAUCGCUCACUAAAUCAUUACUUUAUUUUGUAUAUAUUUAUGGGAAUUGUUGAAAAGAAAAAUGUAAAGUGAGAUUAAUGAACGUUUAUGAAUGUGGAAAUUAACACAACCAGGAUUUAUGAUGAAAUAAUUUUAAGUCAAAUGAGCAUAAAUUUGUAUAAAUAUUUUUUGAAUUGUCAUAUAUAUACAAGUUUGUCACUAAUAGUAAACUUAAUUAUGAAUAUUUUAAUAAUUCAAAAUUUUAUUUAACCAUCGGUGUUUAUAGUGUUUUUCAUAAUACAAAAUUGUAAACAGUCUCAUCCUGAAUAGUAUAAUGCCAAACUUUUUAAAAAAUUUAUUUUAUUAUAAUCGUCUUAGUCAGUUAUAUUUAUUUCCAAAUUGAAGAUAAAAAUAAUACUUCAUAUAUCAUACAUUACUUCAUACAUUACUUAAAAGUUUUUUUUUCAAUCAAAUUAUGAGCAAGUGAAAGGAUGCAAUAAAUUACGACUAAAAUUGUAAAAUUUACCAAUGGCUAUAUACAAAGUCUGAUUCUUAUGAGCUUAAAAGAUGGGCUUUGAAUGAUGUAUGGUUCUCAAAACUCUACUUUUAUUAAUAUGAUUGCCCUGCUUCCUUCAUGACGGGUAAUUUUUAGUUUCUUCCCCUAAAGUUUGGCGUAUCUCCAUUUUAAUAGGAAGUAUUAGCGUAUCUCCCACUUUUCUCCCCUGCCGUUAGGGAUGGCAAUUGUACCCGCAAACCCGCAAACCCGCCCAAACCCACCCGCCAAAACCCGCCCGUUGCGGGUAAUUUUAUCCGUUGCGGGCGGGUUUAGUAUUAUAAAUUAAAACCCGCAUAUGGAUGCGGGUGGGUUUGGUAUUAACCUUAUACCCGGUGGAUACCCGCAUGGAUAUCCACCAAACCCGCAAUAAUUUUUUUCAAAUAUUUUUAAUUUAAUUUAAAUAUAAAAAUAUAUAAAGAAAAUAAUGUAAUUAAUCAAAUUACCAAAUAGUAAAAGGCUCAAAGUUGUGUAUGUGUGUAUAUGGCUCAUCUCUUAUUCUAAAGUCAUAACCUAAAGAAAACUAAAGGCAUUUCCCUUCGAAUUAAUAUUUGAAAAUAUUAAUCUUAAUUAUUAUUUUAGGCAUUGUGUUAGAUGGGUGCUUAUGGUGGUGAAUAAAAUAAAUAUAUUCUCUUUGAUCUUGUUUUAAAUGAUAAUAUGAAAUGUAAUUAUUAUUUUUAGAUAUUAGUUUGUGUUUUUUAAAUAGAUUUGUAUAAUUUAUACUUAAAUUUGAGAAUUUGUGUUGAAUUGAUGUGGAAAUUUUAAUUUUUCAUUUACAUUGUUUAAAUAUAAAAUUGAAUAUGUUAUAUGGAACUUGAGGUUAUUAUUAUAAAUUUAUAUAUUAAAUAUUUGUGAUUUUAAAUACGGAAACCCGCAAAAAAUCCGCCGGAUACCAUUGCGGGUUUGGUAAUUGUUAAAACCCGCUGCGGGUGGGUUUUUUUAAAAAAAUUAAAACCCACUGCGGGUUGCGGGUGGGUUUGGUAAUUUAAAUUUUGUGCGGGUUUGGGUUUGGUAAUGGCAAACCCGCUGCGGGCGGUGCCCAUUGCUAUCCCUACCUGCCGUUUGUAUACCGUUUCAUAUUGUUAAUGGACGAAGCUACAAGUCUUCUCUUUCAUCAAAUCGAUCCAUAACAAAUACGAGUCUGCUUCACCUAACCAAAACACACACAUACUCCAUCUCUAAAUGCUUUGAAGAUAAACAAAUCAACCGUAAUCCUGCAACUUUAGCUCAGAGAAUCGGAUAAGAAAAGAACAGGUGAUGAAUCAAGGGUAAUGGCGCCGAGUGAGUGUCGCCUGCGGUCGGCGUUAGAGGCGACUGUCACUCAAUCGCGUACAAGGUUAGUCUUUGAAAAAACUCUUUGCACGUUAGAAAUCAGUGAUUGGGCAUUAUUUUUUUUAUUUAAAAAUGAAAAUGGGUUUAUUAGUUUGUCGAAGAAUCUGCUCUGUUGCCGGUGUUGUUUGUUGAUUAAAAUGAAAAUGGGUUUGUUGAUGUGUUGAAGAAGUUGCUCUACUGCUGGUGUUUUUUUAUUAAUUAAAAUGAAAAUGGGUUUGUUAAUUUAUUGAAUUGUGACUUUAUUUAUCCAAUUGAUGAGCUUAUGAGCUAAUAGUAUUGUUUGAUCAAGCUUGUGUUCUUAAUAGUGGAGUUGAUAUUCUUAAAAAUGAAUUUAUGAUUAUGAGAAUAUGAAAAUUGAAUGGCAUCGUAGAGGUCUGGAUUAAUCACCAUCGAAUAUGUUUCUAAAUAAAGGAAUAAGCAGCAAUCUGAUUUGAAACUUAAGACUUUAGGGAUAUGUAUGUGCAACUGAAUGAAUCAUCAGUUGCUAUCUUGUAAGUCAAUACUAGCAUAUUACUUAAUGGCAAGUGAAGCUAUUUUAUGUGUAUUGCUGCCUAUCAAAAUGUUUAUGUUUGAAGUUAUCUCCUUUUAGGAAAUUGAAUGCUUCUGUGAGUUCUCUGGUAAGGGCUAUACAACUAGCUCUAAUAGAUUCCUUCAUGUGCAUUAAUUAGCUUAGUAGUUUAUUGACCUAUAUCCAAUGUCUAUUCUCCUUUUCUGUAGCCGUCUAGUUUUAUGAGUGUGUGAAGUGAACUUUUGUUUUAUGUUUCAGGACUUGGGAUUAGAGUGUAUAACAUUCAAUAUCUUUAUAUCAAAGAACUGAUAUAUGUCAAUGUAGUGCGAUCUGGUCUUUAUUAGCUUCUUGAUUUGCCAGGAUGUUUGACAACCAUCUUUGACUAUGAUUGCCAACAUAUAAGCUGCUACAUAGUGUCUCAGGAAUCACAGCAAAUUAUUAUCAUAAUAUGGUGAUUUUGAAUCCAAAACUUGGUAGUGUCAAGAAAAUAGACCCAUGUUUAUUUAUCUUCAUGUUUUGUAUGCGCCUGCAAUAGACUAUUAUAAGUUACUUUUAGUUUUAUCAAGUUUUUUUUUCCUUAAAUUUCAUCGAGUCUUGGAGUCUUUGUAAUAUAGAGUCUAAGUGAAGAAUACUUGGGUGAAAUCUUGUAUUCUCUCUUCCAGUAAUAUAAUCAUCCUUUGUGUUUUUAUCUUUUUAUUUUGGUAUCAGAGCAUACUUUAUUAUAGAAGGACUUGGACUCUAUAUUACAAAGACUCAGUGGUUUCUUUUAACUGAGUUAAUAGUGUUGUUAGGUUAAACUAAGUUUGGCUUCAUAAGAUUCAUAGUAGAGUGUAGAACUGGGUACAAUUUUGGGUUAAGACAAGUCAAAAGUCUUCUCAAGUAAUUGUUCUGCUUACUGAUUUGGUAAUUGCAACAUUGCUAAAUAGUUCAAUUUGUCCUUUUUUUUUGUUGAAUUUAUUGUAUGUCAUAUUACUUCAUUUAAUUAUUUUCUCAGAUCUUGUAGGUGAAAAUUUCAGCUUCAAAGGCCAAGCUAAUCAUCCAGCAAUUCAGUGAAACCAAGACACAGUGGCUCAUAAAUUGUUGUUGGUGAUCGAGCCAUUCGGGUGCUUGCCAGUCCUAGAUGAGAGAACUUUCAACGCGGCGCAUAAAUUGUUGUUGAUCUGUUUUAUAUAUUUUGACCUUUGUGAUUUGUGAAUACAUGGUUUGAUUCCAGUGUUUACAACUNNNNNNNNNNNNNNNNNNNNNNNNNNNNNNNNNNNNNNNNNNNNNNNNNNNNNNNNNNNNNNNNNNNNNNNNNNNNNNNNNNNNNNNNNNNNNNNNNNNNNNNNNNNNNNNNNNNNNNNNNNNNNNNNNNNNNNNNNNNNNNNNNNNNNNNNNNNNNNNNNNNNNNNNNNNNNNNNNNNNNNNNNNNNNNNNNNNNNNNNNNNNNNNNNNNNNNNNNNNNNNNNNNNNNNNNNNNNNNNNNNNNNNNNNNNNNNNNNNNNNNNNNNNNNNNNNNNNNNNNNNNNNNNNNNNNNNNNNNNNNNNNNNNNNNNNNNNNNNNNNNNNNNNNNNNNNNNNNNNNNNNNNNNNNNNNNNNNNNNNNNNNNNNNNNNNNNNNNNNNNNNNNNNNNNNNNNNNNNNNNNNNNNNNNNNNNNNNNNNNNNNNNNNNNNNNNNNNNNNNNNNNNNNNNNNNNNNNNNNNNNNNNNNNNNNNNNNNNNNNNNNNNNNNNNNNNNNNNNNNNNNNNNNNNNNNNNNNNNNNNNNNNNNNNNNNNNNNNNNNNNNNNNNNNNNNNNNNNNNNNNNNNNNNNNNNNNNNNNNNNNNNNNNNNNNNNNNNNNNNNNNNNNNNNNNNNNNNNNNNNNNNNNNNNNNNNNNNNNNNNNNNNNNNNNNNNNNNNNNNNNNNNNNNNNNNNNNNNNNNNNNNNNNNNNNNNNNNNNNNNNNNNNNNNNNNNNNNNNNNNNNNNNNNNNNNNNNNNNNNNNNNNNNNNNNNNNNNNNNNNNNNNNNNNNNNNNNNNNNNNNNNNNNNNNNNNNNNNNNNNNNNNNNNNNNNNNNNNNNNNNNNNNNNNNNNNNNNNNNNNNNNNNNNNNNNNNNNNNNNNNNNNNNNNNNNNNNNNNNNNNNNNNNNNNNNNNNNNNNNNNNNNNNNNNNNNNNNNNNNNNNNNNNNNNNNNNNNNNNNNNNNNNNNNNNNNNNNNNNNNNNNNNNNNNNNNNNNNNNNNNNNNNNNNNNNNNNNNNNNNNNNNNNNNNNNNNNNNNNNNNNNNNNNNNNNNNNNNNNNNNNNNNNNNNNNNNNNNNNNNNNNNNNNNNNNNNNNNNNNNNNNNNNNNNNNNNNNNNNNNNNNNNNNNNNNNNNNNNNNNNNNNNNNNNNNNNNNNNNNNNNNNNNNNNNNNNNNNNNNNNNNNNNNNNNNNNNNNNNNNNNNNNNNNNNNNNNNNNNNNNNNNNNNNNNNNNNNNNNNNNNNNNNNNNNNNNNNNNNNNNNNNNNNNNNNNNNNNNNNNNNNNNNNNNNNNNNNNNNNNNNNNNNNNNNNNNNNNNNNNNNNNNNNNNNNNNNNNNNNNNNNNNNNNNNNNNNNNNNNNNNNNNNNNNNNNNNNNNNNNNNNNNNNNNNNNNNNNNNNNNNNNNNNNNNNNNNNNNNNNNNNNNNNNNNNNNNNNNNNNNNNNNNNNNNNNNNNNNNNNNNNNNNNNNNNNNNNNNNNNNNNNNNNNNNNNNNNNNNNNNNNNNNNNNNNNNNNNNNNNNNNNNNNNNNNNNNNNNNNNNNNNNNNNNNNNNNNNNNNNNNNNNNNNNNNNNNNNNNNNNNNNNNNNNNNNNNNNNNNNNNNNNNNNNNNNNNNNNNNNNNNNNNNNNNNNNNNNNNNNNNNNNNNNNNNNNNNNNNNNNNNNNNNNNNNNNNNNNNNNNNNNNNNNNNNNNNNNNNNNNNNNNNNNNNNNNNNNNNNNNNNNNNNNNNNNNNNNNNNNNNNNNNNNNNNNNNNNNNNNNNNNNNNNNNNNNNNNNNNNNNNNNNNNNNNNNNNNNNNNNNNNNNNNNNNNNNNNNNNNNNNNNNNNNNNNNNNNNNNNNNNNNNNNNNNNNNNNNNNNNNNNNNNNNNNNNNNNNNNNNNNNNNNNNNNNNNNNNNNNNNNNNNNNNNNNNNNNNNNNNNNNNNNNNNNNNNNNNNNNNNNNNNNNNNNNNNNNNNNNNNNNNNNNNNNNNNNNNNNNNNNNNNNNNNNNNNNNNNNNNNNNNNNNNNNNNNNNNNNNNNNNNNNNNNNNNNNNNNNNNNNNNNNNNNNNNNNNNNNNNNNNNNNNNNNNNNNNNNNNNNNNNNNNNNNNNNNNNNNNNNNNNNNNNNNNNNNNNNNNNNNNNNNNNNNNNNNNNNNNNNNNNNNNNNNNNNNNNNNNNNNNNNNNNNNNNNNNNNNNNNNNNNNNNNNNNNNNNNNNNNNNNNNNNNNNNNNNNNNNNNNNNNNNNNNNNNNNNNNNNNNNNNNNNNNNNNNNNNNNNNNNNNNNNNNNNNNNNNNNNNNNNNNNNNNNNNNNNNNNNNNNNNNNNNNNNNNNNNNNNNNNNNNNNNNNNNNNNNNNNNNNNNNNNNNNNNNNNNNNNNNNNNNNNNNNNNNNNNNNNNNNNNNNNNNNNNNNNNNNNNNNNNNNNNNNNNNNNNNNNNNNNNNNNNNNNNNNNNNNNNNNNNNNNNNNNNNNNNNNNNNNNNNNNNNNNNNNNNNNNNNNNNNNNNNNNNNNNNNNNNNNNNNNNNNNNNNNNNNNNNNNNNNNNNNNNNNNNNNNNNNNNNNNNNNNNNNNNNNNNNNNNNNNNNNNNNNNNNNNNNNNNNNNNNNNNNNNNNNNNNNNNNNNNNNNNNNNNUACCCCCCCCCCGGGCGGGGGGUGGGGGGUUUGGAGAUACGCUGAUACUUUCUAUCAUACUGGAGAUACACCUAACCUCAGGGGAAGAAAACUACACCUUUACGACGGGUGAACUUGGGUCAAACUUUCAUAUUUUAAUCAAGUAGGUCGAUCAUGAUUCAAGCUUCAGUCAUAAGCCUUUCGUUAUGAUUGAUAUUAUUCUUUCUUGAUAGUAUCAUGGAAAAUGCAAACGAAAAGGCAGCAUCUUUGAGUUUUGUCUCAUCAUAUCCGACUUGUUGGUCUACUAAUCAAUCGACAGGCCCUUUUGAUCUUGAUAAUUUGAACUUAAGGAGGCAAAGCAGCAAUCCCGAAGAGCCAUUGCUUGAUGCUGAGAUCGUUGUUGACGGCAAAUCAGUGGCAGUUAAUCGCAGCAUAUUGUCUGCACGCAGUCGUUUUUUUCAUUGGCUUUUUCAUUUGAGCAGUGAUGGUUCUGUGAGUGAGGGGAAACCCAAGUAUCUUAUGACUGAUUUGGUGCCUUAUAGGAAGGUUGGAUAUGAAGCUUUUAAUGAUAUCUUGCAUUAUCUUUACACUGGAAUGCGUAAGGCGCCUCCUUCAGAAGUGUUCACGUGUGUUGAUGAUACUUGUGUUCAUCUUGUUUGCCCUCCUGCUAUUAAUUAUGUUAUUGAGUCGAUAUAUGCUUCUGCUGCUUUUAAGAUGACAGAGGUCGUUUCGGUUUAUGAGGUAGUUGCGCUUCCCCGCUACUUGUAUUGCUUAAAUUUAUGCUUAUUGGUAUAGUUUUAACAUAUGUGGGAUUGAAAUCAAUUUCAGUUGUGACUUGCAAAGAGCCAAAGAAUCUGUUGUUUUAUUUUGAAAGAGACAAAGAUGAUGAUGAUGGGCAGUGAACUCUAGGAAUCAAUGCUUGCUGACACUGACACCCAAGAAUGAUAAAAACUAACCAAAAAGGUAUAUAGAUUACAUGAGUCUGAAUUUGAUAAGUGCACCUAUCCUAUCACAAAAAGCUUUUGCGUUGAGUUUCGAACCAAGGAAAAUUGUCACUUCUGUCUGUAGGCUUCAUAGAUUUGUUCAAGCCUUCAAGGAUGUCUAGCUGUUACUUAGGGUCCAACAAUGGUGCUACAUUUCUAGUGGAUGAUAUGUUAUCUACAUCUGUAUAUUGCAACUUUGACAAACUUCGCCUUUCUUUUGUUGAUACACUCGUCUCACUUUUAUUAAAUUGCCUGAUUAUGAAAUGGUCUAUUGGAGACUAGCAUUGGAAGGUUUCUUCUGGAGAAAAUUUUACUUGCCACCAAUUUUCAUUUUGGUCGGUGUCAGUUCAUGCGCUGGCUUGAUUGUGCUGUUAUUUAGGUUGUUUUAUCCAUAUUUUCUCACUAUCUUGAUAGUUAGUUCUCUCAUACUUCCAAUCUCAGCAGUGAAUGCGAAAGAUUCUCUUUUUCCCGUCCAGGUUAUAACCUAGCAAAUCAAUAAUGCUGUAGAAUAACAUCUUGUGUAGGUGAGCUUAUGUCUCUGAACAUUGGUCCACCGGCAUUUAGGUUCGAUAAGCAUGGCAUUGAUUUUCCCCCUCAUUGUUAUUUUCCUGCACAGAUUACCCCCUUUAAGUAUUUGAAUUUUGAAUACAUUAUUCUGAAUCAAAACUCUAUACGUCCGUGUAGCAUUUUAUAUAUGCUUUAUGAUAUUUACCAAUAAUUACCCACUGCGAGGUAUUUGAAUUUUGAAUAUAUUAUUCUGAAUCAAAACUCUAUCUGUCCGUGUAGGAUUGGCUUCUGAAGGUGGUUCGGGAGGCUCUUGUGGAAGAUGUAAUACCAAUUCUCGUAGCUGCCUUGCAGUGCCGACUGUACCCGCUCUGUUCUUUCUGCAUCCAGAGAAUUGCAAGGUCAAAUAUUGACAAUGUUUGUCUCGAGAAAGAGCUUCCUGAUGAAGUUUCAAGUCAAAUCAAAUCACUCCGGGUCAAAUCUAACCAGGAGUCUGAAGCUAACAUAAAAGAAGUGGAUCCUAUGCAUGAAAAGAGAGUCAGAAGAAUCCACAAGGCGUUGGACUCUGAUGAUUUUGAACUGCUGAAUCUUCUUCUGAAUGAAUAUAAAGUCACUUUAGAUGAUGCUUACGCUCUGCACUAUGCUGCUGCCUACUGCAACCCUAAGGUUUUUAAGGAAGUGCACAAUAUGGGCUUGGCUGAUAUCAAUCUUAAGGAUGCAAGAGGACGUACGGUGCUUCAUGUGGCUGCAAGGCGUAAGGAGCCAGAAGUGAUAGUGGUUCUGCUGAGCAAGGGAGCAUGCUCAUCAGAAACUACACCAGAUGGGCAAACAGCUGUAGCAAUCUGUCGGAGAAUGACAAGGCGAAAGGAUUAUAUUGAAGCUACAAAGCAGGGGCAGGAAACUAACAAAGACUGGUUAUGCAUUGAUGUCCUUGAGAGAGAUAUGACAACGAACUCCACGUCUGGGAACUUGGCAAUGUCAUCAGAGGUGAUAGAUGAUGUUUUCCAAAUGAAUCUGGACUAUCUGGAAAAUAGAGGUGAUAUUUCUUUACUGGUAUUAGUUCAUCACCUUCUCAGAGUUUGUGCAUAGCACACUUCUUUUUACUAUUCGAUUGUCCCUUCAUCUUAGCAUCUCAAACACAAAUGGGCUCAGUGCUUGGAGCACACUGUUGGCCAGUCAUGUGAUUUGAUCCCUUUUUUGGAAUAGACAAUUCUGAAUACUGGUCUAGGCUUGGCGGUUUGCACUGAACUGGUUUUUGAUGAGUAAUUGCACAAGACUUUGUCAUCAAAACGUUUUUUUUUGGUUUUUUUUCCCCAAAAGUAAUGAGGUACAAAAAAUUUUUUGCCUAUCCUGGAUGAGUGCCGCAACAGCUUCUUAAUAUUUUGCAGUGGCUUGUGUACGGUUGUUUCCUUCUGAAGCUAGAGUAGCUAUGGAAAUGGCAGGUGCAGAUAUCGCCAUUGGCCUUUCAGCAUUAGGUCGGAAAGGACUAAGUGGGAACUUAAAGGAGGUUGAUUUGAAUGAAACGCCCUCUAAGCAAGCCAAAAGAUGCCAAUUGAGACUGCUCACUCUGCUUAAAACAGGUAUUUACAUACUUUAUUAACUUUUGCGCCUUUCUAUUUACUGAUUAUCUUUAUAAUUAAAUAAUACAUGUAUCCAGGUUUCUCCUUCCAUUUCAUUAGAAGUAAAUUGGAAUCUCUUUAUAGUGCUCUGUUAGGUGUAAUCAGACGUAUCAAAAGAGACAGGGUAAUUGUUAGUACAUUGAUAUCUCAACAAAAUGGUAAAACCUUNNNNNNNNNNNNNNNNNNNNNNNNNNNNNNNNNNNNNNNNNNNNNNNNNNNNNNNNNNNNNNNNNNNNNNNNNNNNNNNNNNNNNNNNNNNNNNNNNNNNAACACUAAAUCUCACUAGAUCAACUCUUUACCUCUGGACUGAAGGUGUGACACCCAAACCCAAUUAGGGCUUAGAACACAUAUCGAAUCUGAGCGAAACUAAAUGCUUGUAAAUCCAAAUCUCCAAAAUAUCAAAAGGUCAUCUACUUUCUCUUUUCAUAGAUUUCACAAAAUUUUGAAAAACUGAUUCUCAAUCAUAAACUAUGCCCAGCUAAUUAAUCAACAUAUCACUAUACAACAAUACUUCCUCAUAAGCAAAUAAAUCUUACAAUCCUUCUUCCAUGAUUUAAAAAAAAAAAAGAAAUAGUUCUAGAAGUCUUCUAAAUACAAACAUAAACAGAAUUCAACUGCUAAAACUGUGCCAAAAUACUAGCUUCAAUCAGUAAUACACACGACUAAUUAUUAAAUCAGUAAUAUACACGACUAAUUAUUAAAAACAUCUAGCUAGAAACCUUAUGAAAGCUCAAUCCUUCCGAAGCAUUCUUCGAAUUAAUAAUUGCUACCAUCUGUGAAAAAUAAUUGACAAGGGGUCAGCUGUUAACUCAAUCAGUAGAAACACUAAUAAUGAACAAAAAGAAUUCUUUGUGCAAUAUUUUCAAAAAAUUCAUUUAACCUUUCAAAUGAAACAGAGUAAUUUUUCAAACACAGUCAGGACUUAUAUAAAAUAUAAACAUUUCCGACAGAAGCUUUUUGGAACGUAAAUUUUGCUUCUUUAAACAGAAAGUUAUACAUUAGUUUGAUUUUAAAGGGAGGUUAUUGGGAAGUUAAAAUUGGCAGUUGUGGUAAAAGAGUAAUAGCAGUUAUAAAAUCUCUUUAAAAACAAAUUCGAAUCAAGUUUCAAAAUUUGGAAGUACUUAAUUCAAUAAACUAAGGAAUAAAUAAAGCAUUCACUGAAACAAAACUAAGUAAAUUCAUUUAAAGCAAAACCGGAUGGGAGCAUUACCUAAGGAUUCUUGACCAUACCAUGUUUACCCGCAGUCAGAUAGCUGGGAUCUUGUUAUUUGGGGACAAGACUUGAUUGUGCCAUGUCUUCCGCAGCCAGAUAUCUUUUACUUCAUUAUUUCCUAGACAUUUGUGGAUAAGAGAACCCUAAGCCUAUAGAGAAUAAAUUAUGUAAUCCAAGACUCUUCAGUCCUUUCAUUUGUGGCUAAUUAGUUAUAAAAUUUGUGAAUUUCAUGCCCCACGCCCCUUGCAAAAUGCAUUUUAUAUCCUUAAAAUGCCAGUGGAUGAACUGAAAUAAUAAAAAAUGGAAAACAGACUUAAUGUUGGUAGCAUUUCUUAAGAAAAACUUGGGAUGUUUAUAAUUUUCUUAGAGCAUUUGCUGAACUUUCCGUGAUCGCAGUCGAGACGGGUCAACGCUAUUUCCCUCAUUGCUCAGAUGUGGUUGAUAAGUUUAGGUAUUGCAACCGCCCUCAUUGCUCAGAAUUGAUUGAUGAGUUUUUGGAUUGUGAUUGGUCCGAUGAUUCCCUCCUAGAAAAGGGUACUCCUGAAGAGCAGAAACUAAAAAGGGCAGGCUUCAUGAAACUUAGAGUAGACAUGCAGGAGGCACUCCGCAAGGACGUGGCUUAUCACCGUUGUUCAGGGCUGCCAUCAUCCUGGUCGGCAUUUUACAAGUACAUGGCUGAGAGCAAUCGUUCAGGUAUGCCGACAUCCUCAGCAGCGAGCAAUUAAGCAUCACCUUUCCCCAAAAGUUAUAUUUGACACCUGGGAAACUAAAAGAGUUUAGUGAGCUUGAUUGGUAUUUGUAGUUUUUUUUCCCUCAAGUGAUCUGGCAGAUUUCAAAUAGUUGNNNNNNNNNNNNNNNNNNNNNNNNNNNNNNNNNNNNNNNNNNNNNNNNNNNNNNNNNNNNNNNNNNNNNNNNNNNNNNNNNNNNNNNNNNNNNNNNNNNNNNNNNNNNNNNNNNNNNNNNNNNNNNNNNNNNNNNNNNNNNCAAAAAACAGUAAAACUGAGAGAUUUCUUUUAUUUUUCCUUAAAAAAUAAGAAAAAUUUAGAAAGUAGUGAGAGAAAUAAAGUAAUUAUAUUCAUAAAUAUAAUGUGUUUGGUGUAGCAACACAAACUAAUAAAUUAUAAUUUAUGAGAUUAGCCUAGAGAAUCAUACAUAUAAAAUUAUAUCCUCUGAGUAAAAAUCUUCACAUCUCUUUUAACUUCUCAUUUAGAUGUCCUUUCUAAAAUCUCUCCAGAGAUAAAUACAUUUUUAUAAAACAAAACAGAAAAAAUAUAUAUAUAUAAUUGUUCAUAAGGACUAUUUGUUCAUAGUACACAAUUGGCCACCAAAGUUAUUUUGGGAGAAAAUUUGCAUGAGAUGGGUACAUCACAUCAUCAGUAUUUUUGUCUCAGUUUGAACAUGCGUCUGUUGUACGAAUCUUACGAGAAUGGUCUCUCAUAAAUUUGAGAGAUGGUGAGGAGUGGGUUAAAGUGCAUUUACAUAGAAUUAAUUAAAAUUAAAAUUUUAGUUUUUUAACUAUUUUUAAUUAAAAGUAGUAGUUAUUCUUUUUAUUAUUGUUAUUCUCAUCAUAUCAACAUCAAGUGACUGGUGAUCAAAUUAAUUAGCUCAUUAAAUUUUUUAAGUGACGUAUGUUAUGGAGUUUCUGUGCAUCUAUUUAAAUAGUAAAAUAUUUAAUUUUGCUUGUCGUAAAAUUUUAAUUUACGUGGGUUAGAAAAAGAAAAAGAAAAAAAUGAAAAAAGAAAUUGACUUAUUAAUUAAUUAACAAUUAUAGAAAGAAUAAAUUGAAAAUUGUAGUUGGGUGAGAAAACUCUCGGGAAUUCCUUUCCCUGGCUUCGUGCGUUUGCUUUUGCCCUUUCGAGCACGAAUUUGAAUCCAAUACUUUAUAAUAAAGAUAUAAUAUUAUUAUAAUACUAAUAAUUAACAUUAAAAUAUUAAAAAAUAAGAAAAAAUUCCAAAUUUUUCUGUUUCUGGUUUUAUUUCAGUUUAAUAUUAUUGGUUCCGUUCUGCUUUGUUCUCGGUUGUCUGCAUAUCUGUAUAUAUUUUUGGCCUCGAAUUGCUUUGAUCACCGGUUUUGUUCUUCAUUUAUCGUGAAUUUUAGAUACCCAUUAAACUUGUUUGGCCAUGUAUGCACUUGAUUGUUACAUUCAGCUGUCAUUUUCAUGGUGGGUUUGUAAGAUAGUCUCUGACUAACAUAUGGCACUGAUUAUGAAUGAUGGUUUUGUGAGACACACCAUACAGACAUUAACUCUGUCAAGAUUGAUAUCUUUUCUAGAUAUUCAAACUUUCAAUAUCAAAUUCAAAAUUCUAGAUAUUCAAAGUUUGAAUAUCAAACUUUGAACUUUGAAUUUUGAAAAAUAAUAAAUAAUUAAAAAAAUACAUGAAUAGUAGCCAAGAUUUUGGCUAUAAAUAGCGGGGCUCAUAUAGAGGGGCUCAUUCCCUCAUUUGCUCAUCCAAUUUUGAGAAGAGUUUUCUUGUAUUUAGAGAGAGUUUAGAGAGCUUGAAAUUAUAAGCUCUUGUUUUAGUGUUUUGAGAGUUUGGGUGUAUUGGGGUUUUGGAAAGUGAGCUAAAAUACUACAAUACUUGUAACUCCUUUUCACUAAUAAAAUAUUUUCCUUCUGUCUUCACCUGUGGACGUAGACUAAAAGUCGAAUCACGUAAUUUCUGGUGUUCUCUUUUAUGCUUGUUCUUUAUUUUCUUCCAAUUUCAUUUUAGCUGCGGCCUGCUGCACCCAUCAAUUUCCUAACAGUGGUAUCAGAGCUAUUGGUUGUAUUUUUGGAGUUGGGUACUAUUCACGUGAAGGUACUAUUCACAUAUACGGUACUGUUCAUGUAUACGAUAUUAUUCACGUAUACGGUACUGUUCACGAUACGGUACUGUUCAUAUAUACGAUAUUAUUCACGUAUACGGUACUGUUCACGAUACGGUACUGUUCAUAUAUAGGCACUGUCCACGAAAAACAGUGGGAGCGAUCCAAGAAUUUUGCGGUGCAAAGCAAGGAAUAGUGGUGUGAGUAAAGCAAUUGUGUGAUUUUGUACAUGUCUAAGAAAGUUCUGUCACAAAGGCGAUAAGAACUUAAGAAGUCUGGGUUUUAAGUGGGACCAUUGUGACCCCUCCAGUCUUUCCUGGGAACUUUCCUAGUGUGCAUAUUCACACAUACUCACAACUAUUCGACGUGAUACACUAGUUUGUGUCUAAUAUUUAUCAACAAAAUGGCGGCAAAGUAUGAAAUUGAGAAGUUCAACGGGAAUAAUUUUUCGUUGUGGAAAAUGAAGAUGAAAGUUGUAUUAAAGAAAAAUAAUUGAUUGACAGCAAUUGGAGGAAGGCCCAUGGAGAUAACUAAUGACAAGUGGAACAAGAUAGAUGGCAACGCCAUUUCUGAUCUACACUUAGCACUUGCGAAUGAAUUAUUAUCUAGUAUGACAGAAAAAAAUACAGCGAAGGGAAUAGAGAUACUCUCACAAAAUUGUAUGAGACCAAGUCACUACACAACAAAAUUUUCUUGAAGAGAAAACUUUAUACUCUUCGAAUGGCGGAAUCUACAAUGGUGACCGAUCACAUCAAUACCUUAAAGACUCUAUUUUUACAACUCACAACGUUGGGUCAUAAUAUAGAGGAGAAUGAACGUCCAGAGCUUCUACUUUAAAGUCUACCAAAUUCGUAUGAUCAACUCAUCAUCAACCUGACGAACAACAAUCCAGCGGACAGUCUAGUUUUCAACGAUGUUGCAGCCUCCGUAUUAAAUGAAGAGAGCAGACGAAAAAAUAAGGAAAACAGACAAGCAAGUUCACAGCAAGCGAAGACGCUAUCGAUGACAAGAGGGAGAUCAACGGAACAUGGCCCCAGUGGGAGUCACAAUCAUGGUAGAUCAAAAUCGAGAAGUAAGAAGAAUGUUAAAUGCUACAACUGUGGCAAGAAAGGGCACGCCAAGAAAGAGUGUUGGAGUAACCAGAAGAGAAAAGAUGGCAAAGAUCCUAAAUCAUCAAAUGCUCAAGGAUGUGUAGCAAGUACCUCGGAUGAUGGCAAAAUUCUCUACAAUAAGAUAACAACUAUUUCAGAAGGUAGAAAAUAACUAUCUGAUGUAUGGCUUAUAGACUUAGGAGGUACCUGACACAUGACCUCUCGAAGAGAAUGGUUCCACACAUAUAAACCUAUCUUAGGAGAAUCUGUAUAUAUGGGUAACGAUCAUGCCUUGGAGAUCGUUGGUAUUGGUACUAUCAAAAUAAAAAUGUUUGAUGGUACAAUUCGCACAAUUGGGGAGGUACGACAUGUCAACGGCCUGAAGAAAAAUCUAUUGUCUUUGGGACAAAUGGAUAGUUAUGGGUACAAAACUCAUAUGGAGAAUGGAAUUAUGAAGAUCAUUAAAGGCGCGCUUAUAUUGAUGAAGGAAGAAAAGAUCGGUGCUAAUUUAUUCAUACUUAAAGGAGAAAUACUACAGGAGGCUGAUGUGUGUGUCGCGUCAAAUGGAGAAGAAUCAAUAAUGAUGUGGCACCUUAAACUUAACCAUAUGUCAGAAUAAGGUUUGAAAAUUCUCUCUGAGUGAAAAUUGCUUCUAGUGCUCAAAUCGGUAAGUUUACCAUUUUGCGAGCAUUGUGUUACAAGUAAGCAUCAUAGAUUAAAAUUUAGUAGAUCUAUUGCUAUAAGUAAAUGCAUUCUAGACUUGAUUCAUUCUGAUGUUUGGGAAUCACCGGAUAUGUCCAUGGGAGGUGCAAAGUACAUGGUGAUUUUCAUUGAUGAUUAUUCCAGGAGAUGUUAGGUGUAUCCAAUUAAGAAAAAGUCAGAUGUGUUUUCAGUGUUUAAAAAAUAUAAAGCGCGGGUGGAACUUGAAUCCGGUAAAAAGAUCAAGUGCUUGAGGACGGAUAAUGGUGAAAAGUAUACAGACGGUGAGUUUCUUGCUUUCUGUAAGUAAGAAGGUAUUCAGAGGCAGUUCAAUGUAGCAUAUACUCCUCAACAAAAUGGAGUGGCAGAGCGGAUGAACAGGACUCUUACAGAACGAAUAAGAGUUAUGUUGAGGACUGCGGCUCUACCUAAUUCAUUCUGAGCAGAAGCAGCCAAAACUGCAUGUUAUAUAGUAAAUCAGUCACCAUCUACAACUAUGAGGCUGAAGACAGCGAUGGAAAUGUGGAUUGGAAAGCCAGCUGAUUACUCAUACCUACAUGCAUUUGGAUGUCCUGUGUAUGUGAUCUACAAUGCCCAAGAAAGAACAAAGUUGGAUCCAAAAUGUAGAAGAUGUAUUUUCUUAGGGUAUGCUAAUGGAGUAAAGGGGCAUCGUCUGUGGGACCCCCACUGUCCACAAGAUCGUCAUCAGCAAAGAUGUUAUCUUUGUAGAAUAUCAACUAAAAAGGAGAGAUGAGGAUGAUAACACUAUAAAAGAAAAGUCAGAAACUGUACCGGUGUAUGUGAAAAAUAAUCUGGAAAAAGAAGAUUUAGAUUCUUCUGAAGUAGCACUAGAGCACGAGGGACAAGAACUAGUUGAGUCCGAGGCUCCAGAAGUUUGUCGGUCAACUGGUGAGAGACGACCGCCAACAUGGCACUCGGAGUAUGUCACAGAGAUCAACGUUGCAUACUGUCUUCUAACAGAGGAUGGAGAGCCAUUAACUUCCCAUGAAUCUUUAAACAGCUCAGAUGUUAUUUUGUGGAUGAUAGUAAUGAAGAAAGAAAUUGAAGCUCUACACAAGAACAAGACAUGGGAACUUGUACCACUACCAUAUGGAAGAAAAGCCAUUGGUAACAAAUGAGUCUACAAGAUCAAGCGUGAUGGCAAUGACUAAGUGGAGCAGUAUCGUGUCAGAUUGGUGGUGAAAAGAUAUGCUCACGAGAUAUUUUCUCCAGUAGUUCAACUCACAACAGUCAGAAUAAUCUUGGCAAUGUGUACUAUAUUUGACUUACAUCUUGAGCAGUUGGAUGUGAAAACUGCAUUUCUUCAUGGAGAACUUAAAGAAGAAAUUUAUAUGCUCUAACCAGAAGCUUUUGCUGAAAAGAAAAAUGAGAACUUGGUUUGUAGGUUGAACAAAUUUUUAUACGGUCUCAAACAAGCGCCGAUGUGUUGGUAUAAGAGAUUUGAUUCCUUCAUCAUGAGCCUUGGAUACAAUAGACUCAGUUCAGACCAUUGUGCAUAUUACAAAAGGUUUGAAGAUAAUGAUUUCAUUAUUUUGUUGUUGUAUGUGGAUGACAUGUUGGCAGCAGGCCCCAACAAAGAUCGAAUCCAAGAAUUGAAGGCAUAAUUGGCUAGGAAAUUUGAAAUAAAGGACUUGGGACCAGCAAACAAGAUUCUAGGGAUGCAAAUUCACCGAGACAGAAAUAACAUGAAGGUUUGACUUUCUCAGAAGAACUACUUGAAGAAAAUCUUGCGACGCUUCAACAUGCAAGAUUGUAAGUGAAUUUCUACCCCACUACCUGUUAAUUUCAAGUUAUCCUCAAGUAUGUGUCCUAGUAAUGAAGCAGAGAUGAAGGAGAUGUCUCGAGUACCGUAUGCAUCAACGGUGGGAAGUUUUGUGUUCGCUAUGAUAUGUAUUAGACCAGACAUUGUACAAGCAGUGGGAGCAGUUAGUCGAUACAUGACGAAUCCUGAUGGAGAGCAUUGGAUAACUGUGAAGAGGAUUCUGAGAUACAUCAAAGGAACCUCCGAUGUUGCAUUAUGUUAUGGAGGAUCAGAGUUUACUGUCAGGGGCUAUGUGAAUUAAGAUUUUACAGGAGAUCUUGAUAAAAGAAAAUCCACUAUUGGCUAUAUGUUUACAUUUGCAGGAGCAGCUGUAAGCUGGGUUUCAAAACUGUAAAUUAUUGUGGCCCUAUCUACAACAGAAGCAUAAUACAUGGCAGCUACACAAGCUUGCAAUGAAGCUAUUUGGAUACAAAGGUUAUUGGAGGAGCUCGGGCACAAACAACAGAAAACUCUUGUAUUUUGUGACAAUUAGAGUGCCUUGCAUAUUGCAAGGAAUCCAGCCUUUCAUUCCAGGACAAAGCACAUAAUGGUACAAUAUCACUUCGUUCGAGAAGUUGUGGAAGAUGGAAGUGUGGAAGAUGGAAGUGUGGAUUUACAGAAAAUCCAUACCAAGGAGAACCUAGCAGAUGUUUUGACCAAGCCAAUCAAUGCUGACAAGUUUAUCUGAAGUAGAUCCUCUUGUGGCCUAGCAGAAACAUAGGCAACAUGAUAAUGGCAAAGAAAAAAGGAUGGUGUGAAGAUUGAUUGGUUCUCAAUCAAAUCUCCAAGUAGGAGAAUGUCAAGAUUGAUAUCUCUUCUAGAUAAUCAAACUUCGAAUAUCAAAUUCAAAAUUCUAGAUAUUCAAAGUUUGAAUAUCAAACUUUGAACUUUGAAUUUUGAAAAAUAAUAAAUAAUUGAAAAAAAUACGUGAAUAGUAGCCAAGAUUUUGGCUAUAAAUAAAGGGGCUCAUUCCCUCGUUUGCUCAUCCAAUUUUGACAAGAGUUUUCUUUUAUUUAGAGAGAGUUUAGAGAGCUUGAAAUUAUAACUUCUUGUUUUAGUGUUUUAAGAGUUUGGGUGUAUUGGGAUUUUGGGAAGUGAACUAAAAUAGUACAAUACUUGUAACUCCUUUUCAUUAGUAAAAUAUUUUCCUUCUGCCUUCGCCCGUGGAUGUAGGCUAAAAGUCGAACCACGUAAUUUCUGGUGUCCUCUUUUAUGUUUGUUCUUUAUUUUCUUCCAAUUUCAUUUUAGCUGUGGCCCUGCUUCACUCAUCAAUUUCCUAACAAACUCGUAUUAAUGUGUACUUACUUCAUUCAAGAUAUUAGUGUUUUUCUCUCUUUUUUUCUAAAAAAAAAAUUGAAAUGCCCCUUUUCGCAUUUUAUAGGUGAAGAAGAAACAUAAUAUCGCAGGACUAGAAUAAAGGAGCCUAUUCUGGUACCUAUUGUCCAAGGAAGCUUCUGUGCAUUGAGUCGGCACUGCCAUGGCAGUCAAAUGUUACCAGAGCCAGGCGGAGUCGUUCCUAAAGGAAUAUAUAUUAGCAUAUCCAUUUGUCCCGUACACUUCAAUUGUCGAUAGCAUUUUUGUUUGCAAGAUGGUAUGUUUUUUGUCGUUACUGCGUGGUGGUAUUUACUAGAAAAUAUUUUGAAUGCAUAGUUUUUAUUUAAUUAGUUAUAAAAUUUGUAUACCCUCUGUUUUCCAUAAGAAUUUGUUCCUUUUCAGGUCUAUUAUCUUGCCAAAUUGAUUAGUGUUGUUCAAUUUAAAUGUUAUUCUAGUUUCUCCAACAUACAGUGGGUCGAGUGGAGUAACAGGUGAUUGAAUAUUUUCAUUUAGUUCAUUUUUCAUUUCCUUUUCAAUCGGUAAAGUUUAAUCAUUUUCUUAAAUCGACAACUGAUGCAGGGCCAUAUCAACCGCCCAUGCCAUUUUUAUAACAGCAAUGUCUUUGUACUUUGUGUUUUGGUGGGAUCUAAGAGUUUCUUGGAUAAACAAUUGUGUAUCCUAUGAUCUAGGCAUGGUCGUUUGGACUGAACUAGUUUUAAAUAAAUAAUUGCCCAAGGAUUUAGUCUCAGUGUUACAGCCCAGUCUUUGUUGUCCAUACUCUUUCGCCCAUCGUGGAUGAGUGCCAUAACAGCUUCUUAAUGUUUUGAAGUGGCUUUUGCACGGUUGCUGUUUCCUUCUGAAGCUAUAGAGUAGCUAUGGAUAUAGCAGAUGCAGAUGCCACCAAUUUUUAUACUGGCCUUAUGAAAAGGAUCAAGCGGGAACUUAAAAGGAGGUGGAUUUGAAUGAAACACCCUUUAUGCAAGCCAAGAGACUCCAAUUAAGCCUGCAAGCUCUGCUUAAAACAGGUAUUUAUAUACGUUAUUAGUUUUUGUACCUUUACAAUUAGUGAUUUUUGUAUCAAAAGAGAGGUUAAUUUUUAGUACACAGGGGCGGCUCUUCCUCUAGACAACUGCCUAGAGCCCCACUAUAGAUGAAGACCCUAAAUUUUUCUCUAACAUUAUAGCUAUUAAAUUAUUCAUUUAUUUUUAUUUUUAUUUUUAUUAUUCUAUAAUAAUCUUUGUUCAAAUAAAUUAUCAAGUCCCUACCAAAUCUCUUUUUAACAUUGGAAUAAGCAAUGUUAAUCCUAUUUACUCCUACAAAAUCUCUACUUAAUGUUAUUUCAUUUAAAACUCCAUAAAAGUCACACAUUUGUUAACUUGUUAUCCAUUAAUAUUUUUAUCCAUAAAAAGAAAAAGCACGAGACAUUCAAUGCUUCAAUUCAUAAGGAAAAAAAGAAGCUUUUUUAAUUUUUACUUAAGAAAAAAAUUAACUAUUUCCAUUGACCGUUGCUGUUUAAAACUUCAAUCCAUCGAAAUUAGAGUUUCAAAUAUCCAAGUUUUUUCUUCCUAUUCUCUUCUUAAUCAGUUGUGUUAUUCAAUUGUUAUUGUUUCUUUUUUAAAUAUUAUUGUUGUUUUCUUUUAAUUAUCCAGCAUAAUUGCUUACUUGUUUUCUCUUCUUUCACUAAAAAAGAAAAAAAUGUCUAAUAGAAAAUGUGCAUCAAGAUACAAAAAACUUGGGAAAACAAAAAGAGAAGAAUAAAAAAGUUAGUUCGAUCUAAAAAAUGAGCUCUUGAUAAGUUUGUCAAAAAUAGUAAAAAAAAGAUAUGAAUUAUAGUGAAGAAUUAGUGAUUGAUGAAAUUUUUCAAAAUUAAAAUUAAUAAAAAUUUAUUUAAGAUCAAAUAAGUCGCAAGAAAAGUUAAUGAUUUAGCUAUAUUGAGAAGAAUGUAUUAGCGAAAUUAGAAAUAAAAAUUUGAGCAAUAAUUUUGCACCUAAGAAAGCUAGAAAAUUUGAUUUUAAAUAAAUAACUUUUUAGUAAAACAAAUACAUAUAUUUGACCUCAAAUUUUUUAAAAAGCCUAAUUAAAGCAAUUCAUCUAAGGCCCCAAAAUUAGUUGAGCCGCCCCUAUUAGUACAUUGAUAUCUCAACAAAAUGUUAGAACCUUUGUAGCACUAGAGACAUUUUCUUAGAGCAUUUACUGACCUUUCUAUGAUUGUAGUGGAGACAGGUCGACGCUACUUCCCUCAUUGCUCAGAAGUGGUUGAUAAGUUUUUGGAUUGUGAUUGGUCCGAUUCUUCCCUCCUAGAAAAGGGUACUCCUGAAGAGCAGAAACUCAAAAGGGCACGCUUCAUGGAACUUAAAGAAGACCUGAAGAAGGCAUUUUACAAGGACAUGGCUGAGAAAAAUCCGUCAGGUCUGUCGUCAUCUUCUCCGAAGGAAGGAGUAAAGUGUAAGGGUAGGCAAAGGUGAUGCUUAGCUGCUUGUCUUUGUUAUUCAUUUAUAGGCAACUAAAAGUGUUUUAGUGAGUUUGAUUGUUACUUGUAGAGAGAUACUCUUAGGGCCUAUGUUAUGGUUAUGUUGUAUAAUAGCAGAGAAACUUUAAGCAUGCAUUGUUGUAUUUUCCCAGAUAUUUGGCUUGUAAUACACCAAAUGACAAAGAAUUUUCUAUUUUUAGAGGGGAAAGUUAUGUCAGUUAAUUAUUUAUUUAUUUUGUCUGUCUAAUUCAGUUUACAUAGCUUUUUUUUUUUUUUUCCUUUCCAAAAGAAUCUGCAUAUCUUCAUCUGCAAUUUAAGUCAUUGGUAACUUCUUUCAAGGAGGAAGGGAAAAAAAAGCAUUUGUAAGUAUAUUUUACAGUACUGAUUUUCCUAAAAAAUUGGUUAAGGUGACAUUAAUGUUCUUUGAAAUAGAUAGAUAUGCAGAAUCUUCAUCGAAAUUGAAAUUAGAAAUGGAUGGAUAUGAGUGACUUAUAUUAAGAAUUUUUUAGUAGAAUGCUUAUACAAAAAUUUGUAGCUCAUUACUCUCUAGAAGGAAAAUAAAUUUUAGAUUGUAAAUAUUAAAUAUUAAAUUUAUAAUAUAAUAAAUGUGUGACUUAAGGUGUACAAUACCCAUAUAAUAAUCAUUAAGAAAAGAAAAAUCAAAUUUUGUAAAUUACCAAUUUUCUCUUGAAAUUUGAUAUUCUAUAUUAACGUAGGUGUUGCAUGGAGUGGGCUAGUACAACUGAAAGAAACUAACUAAAGUAAAACAAAAUAUCAGAAAAAUACGACGAGCUUCUCAUAUUUUUCAAGUAAAAAAAAAACUAAAAUUAAUUAUUUUUACAACCAAAUUCUGAUGCUUGAAGGUUGCUGGAAUUGACCAUUGUAAUUUUGUCAUCCUCGUUAUUCGCUGGCCAUCGUAGCCUUCCUCCAUUAAAAUGAGAGUUGUUUUUCGAACCACGACGUAAUAAAAAUAAUAUCGAUUAAUACUAAUAAAUCUAUUUUGAUUAUUUUGUAGUGUGAUGGUCUAGAAAGUAUCAGGACUUAUCCUAGCAUCCGAACAUGUGAUAAAAUUAUGCGAGUCUCUAUAAAAUACUAUUUAAAUUGUGUAUUAACUAGACAGUUCUAUGUAGAUAUUUCGUAUAUAUUUAUGGUAAUUGUUGAAAAAAAGAACGUAAAAUGAGAUUAAUGAACAUUCAUAAAUGUGGAAAUUAACACAACUAAGAUUUAUGAUGAAAUAAUUUUAUGUCAAAUGAGUGUAAGUGAAUGGAUGUUAAAAUAACUUGUAAUAUAUAUUUUUUGAACUGUUAUUUACACAAGUUUGUCACCAACAGUAAAUUAAAUUAUGAAUAUUUCAAUAAUUCAAGAUCUCAUUCGAUGUUUAUAGUAUUUGUCAGAGUACAAAAUUGUAAAUGGUCUCACCCUUCAUAGUAUAAUGCUAAACCUUUUCAAAAAUUUAUUCUAUUAUAGACGUAUUAGUCAGUUAUAUUAGAUUAUAGACGAAAUUGAAGAUAAAAAUAGUACUCCAUCUAUCAUACAUUACUUUCAAUUUUUUUUGUCAAAUUAUGAGCUGGUGAAAGGAUGCAACAAAUUACGUCAAACAUUGUAAAAUUUAUCAAUCACUAAAUAAAUAUCAUGUUAUAUGUGUGUGUGUGUGUCUCUCUCUCUAUCUAUCGAUAUAUAUAUAUAGGGGUGGGCAUAAACCCACAACCCAUGGGUUUAUCCAAACUCAAACCAAAUUAAAUGGUUUGGGUUGGGUAAAUCAUUAAAAUGGGUUAGAUGUGGGUUUUAUGUAGAAAACCAUUUCAUUAUGGUUUGGGUAUGGUUUACCCAUGGGUUAUGGACAAAACCCCAACACUCAAAUUUUCAAAUGAAAUAAAUGAAAACAAAAUAAAUGAACACAAAUAAGUGAAAAACCACCAUUAAAUUUUUUACAGCGUGAUCAAUUGUCAACAGUUAGAAAAUGAAAAUAACAGUAAAAAUAAAUUUAAAUUAAAUAAAUAUUGUUGUAAAUAACAUAAAUUUUUUUUCUUAUUUACAAAAAUAAUUCCUCCCACAUGGAAGGAUCAUCAUAGAAAGAGCAGGAGACUCUACUAAUGAUCAAUAAUAACUCGGCUUAGACUGGGUCCGAUAUGCUAGAUGGCGGCUAAUUUUUUGUCAAUAAUUGAAUGUAAUGCCCAUAUUAAGUAUUAAAACAAGAAAUAUAUGUUUUGAUAUGAGCAGAAAAAUUAAUAAUAAAAUUUUUUCUUGUAAUUAUUUAUUUUGUGAACAUUUUCUUAUAAUAAAUAUUUUGUAAUAUUUUAAAAUUAAAUGUAAAAAGUAUAGGUAAAAUAUUUUAUUAUUUAUCUUAUAAUAAAUUUUUAUUUGUCAAUCAAGUUUUCUUAUAAUAAUUUUUUUAUCAUUUGACUAAUAAUUUUCUUAUAUAUUUAUUAUAAGAAAAUUUUCACAAAAUAAAUAAGUAUAAAAAAAUUUUAUUAUUAAUUUUUUUGUUCAUAUCAAAACAUAUAUUUCUUAUUUUUAAUGUUUUAUUUUUUAUUUAGUUUCUAUUCAUGUGAUUUAUUUAAUUUAGAAUAAAUAUAAAUAAAAGAGUAGUUGAAAAUAAGGGUAAUAUUGUAAACGUAUACUAUUAGAGGAGUUUUUGGCCAUUAUAAAAGCAGAAGGGGGAAAAAUAAUAUAUAUUGAUUACUGUAGGGGGGAAACUGACAAUCUCCCUAAAAUUAAACAUAUAAGUAGACAAUAUAACGCAAAACUACCAAAACGAUAAAUAAAAACAAAUAUUGCAUAAUUAAAUAAAUAACAAGUGGUAAAAUUUAUUAUUAAAUUGUUAAUGUCAUGUUUGUGAAAGUUUAUUAUUAAAGUGUACUUUCUUAUUUAUUGAGAAAUAAUAAUUUUUGUGAUUAAACUUUAUUUUGAUUUUCUAGUAUUCUUUAAUUUAAGGAUUAAGUUUUUGUAAAAUUUAUAAUUUUUAUCCACUAUAUUUUUUUAUAUUUUAAUAUUAAUUUAAUAAUUAAUAACAAUUAAUAAUUAUUAUAAUUUUGAUAUAAUUAAAUUUUAUUAAAAUAAAAACUAUUUUGAUAAUAAAAUUCAAACCAAACCCAAACCAAACCCAAAUGGUUUGGUUUGGUUUGGGUUAAAAAUAUUUGGGUUGGUUUGGGUUGGAUCCAAAUUUUUAUGGUUUGGUUUGGGUUGACUUAAAAUCCAACCCAAACCAACCCAUGCCCACCCCUAUAUAUAUAUAUAUAUAUAUAUAUAUAUAUAUAUAUAUAUAUAUUAUACAAAAUCUGAUUCUCAUGAACUAAAAGGACAGGCUUUGGAUGAUGUAUCAUACUCAAAAAUCUAUUUUUAUUAAUGAUUAUACUAACAUUUAAAGGUGUCUGUAAGCUAUAUUAUAUAUUUACUAAUUACUGUUAAGCUUACACUGCUUCCUUCUCAGAAAAUCAUCUUUUGGCUUUUUCUAUUUUUAUGCUUUUUAAAAGUUUUUUCAAGAUUUUUUUUUUAUUGCUUUACCAAGUGGGCAGUUAAAAAAUCUUUUUUUUUUUUUUUUUGUGUGUUGCUUUUGAUAGAAACAUAUGAUUCACCUCUGUUUCUUCGAUGCUUGCUUGCUUCAUGAUUGGUCAACUUGGGUCAAACUUUCAUCUUUAAAUCACAUAGGUAGAUCAUGAUUCAAGCUUCAGUUAUAAGCCUUUCAUUGUGACUGAUAUCAUUCUUUCUUGAUGUACAUAUAUAUAUAGAUUCAGUUUGAAUGUGGUCCUUGAUAGUUUCAUGGAAAAUGCAAACGAAAUGUCAGCAUCUUUGAGUUUUGUCUCAUCAUAUCCGUCUAGUUGGUCUACUAAUCAACCAACAGGCUCUGAAACUUGCUCUGAUCUUGAUAAUUUGAACUUAAGGAGGCAAAGCAGCAAUCCUGAAGAGCCAUUGCUUGAUGCUGAGAUUGUUGUUGAGGGCAAAUCAGUGGCAGUUAAUCGCUGCAUAUUGUCUGCACACAGUCAAUUUCUUCAUUGGCUAUUUAAUUUGAGAAAUGAUGGUUCUGUGAGUGAGGGGAAACCCAAGUAUCUUAUGACUGAUUUGGUGCCUUAUGGGAAGGUUGGAUAUGAAGCUUUCAAUGAUAUCUUGCAUUAUCUUUACACUGGGAAGGUUAAGCCAUCUCCUCUAGUAGUGUCCACGUGUGUUGACGAUGCUUGUGCUCAUGAUGCUUGCCCUCCUGCUGUCAAUUAUGCUAUUGAGUUGAUGUAUGCUUCUGCUGCUUUUCAGAUGAAAGAACUCGUUUUGCUUUUGCAGGUAAUUGUGCUUCCCUGCUAUUUGUAUUGCUUAAAUUUAUGCUUCUUGGUAUAGUUUUAACAUUUCGGUAUAGUUUUAACAUUUAUGGAAUUGAAAUCAAUUUCAAUUGUGCGAAAGCAAGUAAAUGUGAAGCAACUUCAGUGAUUCGCAAUAUUAGUCAUCGCAGGAGAUCCAAAAUUUGUAGAUACUGUAGAAUUGUAGAGCCCAAAACUUCAUCUUAUCUUGCAAGAGUUUGUUGUUUUAUUUUCAAAUAGACAAAAAAAAAAUGAUGAUGGGCAGCGAACUCUAGGGAUCAAUGCUUGCUGACCCUGACACCCAAUGCUUGAUGUCUAGCUUGCUUAUUUUUCCAACAAUGACACUACCUUUCUAGUAAAUGAAAUAUUAUUCUACAUCUAUGUAUUGGAACUUUGACAAACUUCGGUUUUCCUUUGUUGAUUCACUGGUCUCACUUUUAUUCAAUUGCCCGAUUAUGAAAUGGUCUAUUGGAGACUAGAAAUGGAAGGUUUCUUGUGGAAAAAGUUUUACUUGACCACCGAUUUUCAUUUUGGUGGGUGUCAGCGCAUGCUCUGGCUUGACUAUUCUGUUAUUUAGGCUGUUUUAUCUGAUCUUCUCACUCACUUGAUAGUUAGUUCUCUCAUGCUUCCAAGCUCAAAGAUUAAUGCAAGAGAUUCUCUUUUUCCCCUCUAGACUAUAACCUAUCAAAUCAUUAAUGCUAUAGAAUAACAUCUUGUGUAGGCGGGCUUAUGUCUCUGAACAUUUGUCCAUCGGCAUUUGCAAUAAGCAUGGCCCUGAUUUUUCGUCUCAUUAUUAUUUUCCUACCCAGAUUGUCCCCUUUAAGUAGCAUAUUGAAGGAGAGCAACAUUCUUAUAUAUGUUUUAUGAUGUUUACCAAUAAUUACCCACCACGGGGUAUUUAAAUUUUGAAUGUAUUAUUCUGACUCAAAACUCUAUCUGUCGGUGUAGCUUCAGCUUCUGAACUUUGUUGAGAAGGCUGUUGUGGAAGAUGUAAUCCCAAUCCUUGUGGCUGCCUUGCAUUGCCACCUGAACCAGCUUCGUUCUCUCUGCAUCCAGAGAGUUGUAAGGUCAAAUCUUGACAAUAUAUAUCUCGAGAAAGAGCUUCCUGAGGAAGUUUCAAGUGAAAUCAAAUCAAUCCGCAUCAAAUUUCACCAGGAGUCCGAAGAUAAUGCAGCAGAAGUAGACCCUGUGCAUGCAAAAAGAGUCAGAAGAAUCCACAAGGCACUGGACUCUUAUGAUUUUGAACUGCUGAAUCUUCUUCUGAAUGAAUAUGAAGUCACUUUAGAUGAUGCUUAUGCUCUGCACUAUGCCGCUGCCUACUGCAGCCCUAAUGUUUUUGUGGAAGUGCUCAGUAUGGGCUUGGCUGAUCUCAAUCUUAAGGAUGCAAGAGGUCAUACGGUGCUUCAUGUGGCUGCACUGCGUAAGGAGCCAGCAGUGCUGCUGGCCCUGCUGAGCAAGGGAGCAUGCGCAUCAGAAACUACAUCAGAUGGACAAACAGCUGUAGCAAUCUGUCGGAGAAUGACAAGGCGAAAGGAUUAUAUUGAAGCUUCGAAGCAGGGGCAGGAAAUUAACAAAGACCGGUUAUGCAUUGAUGUCCUAGACAACUUCAUGUCUGGGAACUUGACAAUGUCAUCCGAGGUGAUGGAUGAUGAUUUCCAAAUGCAGCUGAACAAUCUGGGAAAUAGAGGUGAUAUUCCUUUAUUGGUAUUAGUAAAUCAUCUUCUCAGAGUUUGUGUGUUCCUUCAUCUUAGCAUGUCAAACACACAUGGGCUCAUUGCUUGGGGCCAGUCAUGUGAUUUUUUCCACUUUUUUCGAAUAGACAAUUGUGAAUCCAUUUGAUCUACGUUUGGUGGUUUGCACUGAACUAGUUUUUGAUAAAUAAUUGUACAAGACUUUGUCAUCAAAACUAUUUCAUUUCCAAAAGUAAUGAGGGACAAAAAAAUUUAUGCCUAUCCUGGAUGAGUGCCAUAACAGCUUCUUAAUAUUUUGCAGUGGCUUUUGCACGGUUGUUGUUUCCUUCUGAAGCUAUAAUAGCUAUUCGUAUAGCAGGUGCAGAUACCACCAAUUUUAAUACUGGCCUUUCAGCAUUAAAUCCUAUAGGACUGAGUUGGAACUUGAAGGAGGUUGAUUUGAGUGAAACGCCUUUGCAAACUCUGCUUAAAACAAGUGUUUAUGUACUUUAUUAACUUUUACACCUUUCUAUUUACUGAUUAUCUUUAUAAUUAAAUAAUACAUGUAUCAAGGUUUCUCCUUACAUUUCAUUAGAAGUGAAUUGGAAUCUCUUCAUGGUGCUCUGUUAGGUGUAAUGAGAUGUAGCAAAAGAGAAAGGGUAAUUGUUAGUGCAUUGAUAUCUCAACAGAAUGGUAGAACCUUUCUUUAUAUCACUAGAGACAUUUGUUGUAGGGAUGCCUCCAUAAUCAGUGUGCUUUAAAACUUUCCAGGAGUUAGCUACGCCUACCUCCGGACCUAAGGCGUGACACACAGACCCAAUUAGUGCCUAAAACACAUAUCGAAUCUGAGCAAAACUAAAUGCUUGUAAAUCCAAAUCUCCAAAAUAUCAAAAGCUCAUCUACUUUCUCUUUUCAUGGAUUUCACCAAAUGUUUUUAAAAAUUCAUUCUCAAUCAUAAACUAUGCGCAUCUAAAUAAUCACCAUAUCAAUAUACAACAAUACUUCCUCAUAAGCAAAUAAAUCUUACAUUCCUCUUCUUACAUGAUUUAAAAAAAAAAAAACUUUUAGAAGUCCCCUAAAUACGAACAUAAACAGAAUUCAGCUGCUAAAACUAUGCAAACACAAGCUUCAAUCAGUAAUACAUACGACUAAUUAUUAAAACAUCUAGCUAGAAGCCUUACAGAAGCUCAAUCCUUCCGAAGCUUGUUUCCAAAGAACCUUCAAAUUAAUAAUCGCUACUAUCUGCGAAAAAUAAUUGAUAAUGGGGCAGUUGUUAAUAAGUAAUUAAGUAGAACCAUUCAUAACGAACGAAAAGAAUUCUUUGCGCAAUAUUUUCAGAAAAUUCAUUUAACUUUUCAAAUGAAUCAGAGUAAUUUUUCAAACGCAGUCAGGAUUUGUGUCAACAUAAACGUUUGAGACAGAAGCUUUUUGGAACAUAAAUUUUGCUUUUAAUAUAAAGUUAUACGUUGGUUUGAUUUUAAAGGGAGGUUAUUGGGAAGUUAAAAUGCACAGUUGUGGUAACAGGGUAAUAGCAGUUAUAAAAUCUCUUUUAAAACAAAUUCGAAUCAAGUUUCAAAUUUAGGAAGUAUUUAAUUCAAUAAAAUAAAGAAUAAAUAAAGUUUUCGUUGAAGCGAAACUAAGUAGAUUCAUUUAAAGCAAAACAGGAUGCGAGAAUUACAUAAGGGUUCUUGACCCUACCAUGCAGUCAGAUAUCUGGCACCUUGUUAGCACUUGAUUGUGCCAUGUUCUCCACAGCCAGAUAUCUUGUUCUUCAUUAUUUCCUAGACAUCUUUGGAUAAGGAACCCUAAGCCUAUUGAGAAUAAAUUCUGUAAACCAAGACUCUCUUCAGUUCUUUCAUUUGUGGCUAAUUAGUUAUAAGAUUUGUGAAUUUCCUGCCCCAUGGCCCCUGCAAAAUGCAUUUUAUAUCCUUAAGAUGCCAAUGGUUGAAUUGAAAUACUAAAAACCGGAAAACAGACUUAAUGAGAUGUUUAGAAUUUUCUUAGAGCAUUUGCUGAACUUUUUGUGAUCGCAGUCGAGAGGGGUCGACGCUACUUCCCUCAUUGCUCAGAGGUGGUUGAUAAGUUUUUGGAUUGUGAUUGGCUCGAUGCUUCCCUUCUAGAAUCAGAUGCUCUGGAAGAGCAGAAACUUAAAAGGGCACGCUUAAUAGAACUUGAAGAAGAUGUGCAGGAGGCAUUCUGCAAGGACAUGGCUUAUGACAAUCGUUCAGGGCUGCCAUCCUCCUCGUCGGCAUUUUACGAUUACAUGGCUGAGAACAAUCGUUCAGGCAUGCCGACAUCCUCCGCAUCGAGCAAUUAAGCAUCACCUUUUCCAGGAAGUGAUACUUCGACGCCCGGGAAACUAGAAGAGUUUAGUGAGCUCGACUGGUACUUGAGAGAUGGUCAGAGCCUAUGUUAUGGCUAUGUAUUGUCUAGUAGCAGAGAAUAUAUUAAUGAAUGAUGGAUGACUUUCUUGUGACUCUUUGAUGCAAUCAUGUAACGAUUUGAGUAAUGCUAACAUUAUCUCAUAUAUAUAUAUAUAUAUAUAUAUAUAUAUUUUUUUUUUUUUUUUUUUGAGUGAUCUGACAUUCAUCAAUUAGAUUGUAAAAUUAUUAUAUUGUUUCAAGUCCAGUGAGACACAACUUAUAACAUUGAUGGAAUGAAUCGCAUUAUUCAUAAACUCAUUUCAUAAAAUAUUUUUAUAUAAAAUUGUAUAAUUUAUAGGCUAUGCUUAAAAAGUUAAGAAAAAAAAAAAGGGUGUACUACAAUUGGGAUGAGGCAUGCAUGAGUAGUCACAUUAGUUGCUGAACAAACUUUGCCUUUUUAAUUUUGGAUACAUUACUAUCUCAAAUUUUCUAUUAUCAGUAAAUGAGAUUAAGAUAAUCUUUUUUUUUAAAAAAAAAAAAAGAGAGCUGGAGAUUCUUUUUUCCUUAAAAAAAUGAAGAAAAAUUUAGAAAGUUGUGAGAGGGGGAGAAAUAAAGUAAUUAUAUUCACAAAUAUAAUGUGUUUAAGGUGUAUUUGGCACACUGUAUUGUAUUAUGCCGUAUUGCAUUAUUUUAAUGCAGGUGUAUUGUAUUAUUAUGUAUUGUUUUAGCACUGUAUUAUAAUAAUGUUAUACAACGUUUGGUGCUACACUGUACUGUAUUAAUUUUUUGUGAUUAACUUAAAUAAUAUAUUUAGAAAAUAAUAUUUAUUAGUACCUAGAAAAAUACUAAAUAUAUAAGUCUUAAAUUUUAAAAAUUUAACAUUAUUUUUUAGUAUAGAUGUUAAAAAAUAUCACAAUUUUUUGUAAAGAUCGAAACUUAUAGCCUUAUAUUUUUGACAAUGUAACAUUGAUUUUUCAGUAUUUCCUAAAUAUAUAACAUGUGAAAUAAAGAUCGAAGUAAAUAAUUUAAUCAAAUAAUCUCUAAAUAAUAUCAUAACUUAAUGAUAUUUUAUGUUAUUAUUUUUAUUGGUAUUAAUUUUAAAUUAAUAUUAUUUAAAUUUAUUCAUACAUAAAUAUUUAUUGUUAGUUAUAUUAAAUUUUUAAAUAAUAAUCAAUUUUUAUAUAUUAAUUAUUAUAAAAUUAAAUAAUGCAUUAUUUAGUUAUAUUUUUAAUAUAAUGAAAAUUAAAAUAUGAAUAAUAAAUAAUAAAAUUAUUAAUUUAUUUCAAUAAUUAUGAUGUGAACAGUGUUAUAAUAUACUAUAAUCACAUGCACCAAACACACCCUUAAUGCGGCAAUACAAACUAAUAAAUUAUAAUUUAUAAGAUUAGUUUAUAGAAUCUUACAUAUAAAAUUAUAUCCUCUAAAUAAAAAUAUUCACACCUGUUUUGACUUCUCAUUUAGAUGUUCUUUCUAAAGUCCCUCUAGCGAUAAACACAUUUUUAUAAAACAAAACAGAAAAAAUUAUAUAUAAUUGUUCAUAAGGACUAUUUGUACAUAGUACACAAUUGGCCACUAAAAUUAUUUGAGGAGAAAAGUUAUAUGAGAUGGAUUCAUCAUAUUAUCAGUAUUUAUUAGCAGAUCCAUUUGUCUCGUACACUUCAAUUGUUGGUAGCAUUUUUGUUUGCAAGAUGGUAUGUUUUUCGUCGUUACUGCGAGGUAGUAUUUACUAGAAAAUAUUUUGAAUGCAUAGUUUUUAUUUAAUUAGUUAUAAAAUUUUUAUACCCUCCGUUUUCCAUAAGAAUGUGUUCCUUUUCAGGUAUUCAUAUGCCUUAUUAGUUUUUGUACCUUUACAAUUAGUGAUUUUUUUAUCAAAAGAGAGAGGUUAAAUUUUAGUACAUUGAUAUCUCAGCAAAAUAUUAGAACCUUUGCACCACCAGAGAUAAUUUCUUAGAUCAUUUACUGAGCUUUCUAUGAUUGCAGUUGAGACGGGUCGACGCUACUUCCCUCAUUGCUCGUUUUUGGACUGUGAUUGGUCUGAUGCUUCCCUCCUAGAAAAUGGUACUCCUGAAGAGCAGAGACUCAAAAGGGCACGCUUCAUGGAACUUAAAGAAGACGUACAGAAGGCAUUUUACAAGGACAUGGCUGAGAAAAAUCGUUUAGGUUUGUCGUCUUCUCCAAAGGAAGGAGUAAAGUGUAAGGGUAGGAAAAGGUGAUGCUUAGCUACUUGUCUUUUGUUAUUCAUUGCUAGGAGACUAAGAGAGUUUUACUGAUUUUGAUUGUUACUUGUAGAGAGAUACUCUUAGAGCCUAUGUUAUGGCUUAUGUUGUAUAAUAGCAGAGGAACUUCAAGCUUGCAUUGUUGUAUUUUCCCAGGUAUUUGGCAUGUAAUAUAUACUAAAUGACAAAGAAUUUUCUAAUUUUAGAGGGAAAAAAUAUGUCAGUAAAUUAUUUGUUUAUUUUAUCUGUUUAAUUCAGUGUAUAAUAUAGCUUCUUUUUUAAAAAAAAAAAAUCUCCAUAUCUUCAUCUGCAAACUCAGUCAUGUGCAACUUCUUUCAGGGAGAAAAGAGGGAAAAAAAAAGGCAUUUGUACCUGUAUUUUACAGUAGUGACCCUCAUACAGAAAUUGGUUAAGAUGGCAUUAAUGCUCUUUGAAAUAAAUAGAUAUGCAGAAUUUUCAUCGAAAUUGAAAUUAGAAAUGGAUGGAUAUGAAUGAUAUAUAUGCAGAAUUUUUAACAGAAUUUUUAUACAAAAAUUUGUAGCUAAUUACUCCCCGAAGAAAAAUUUUCAAUUGUAGAUAUUAAAUUUUAAAUUUAUACUAUAAUAAAUGUGACUUAAGUUGCACAGCACCCAUAUAAUAAUAAUAAUUAAGAAAAGAAAAUUUAAAUUUUGUAAAUUACCAAUUUUUUAAAAUUAAUUAUUUUUAUACCCAAAUUCUCAUGCUCGACGGCCGCUGGAAUUGGCUAUUGUAAUUUUGUCAUCCUCAUUAUUCACUGGCCAUUUUUGGACCACGACAUAAUAGAAAUGACAUAGAUUAAUACUAAUAAAUUUCUUUUGAUUAUUUUGUAGUGUGAUGAUCUAGUGAGUAUCAGUGUCCAUCAUAGCACCUGAACAUAUGAUAAAAUUUGUGAUUUUCUGUAAAAUAGUAUUUAAAUUGUGUAUUAACUAGACAACUCUAUGUAGACCACCGCUCACUAAAUCAUUACUUUAUUUUGUAUAUGUUUAUGACAAUUGUUGAAGAAAAAUAUAAAGUGAGAUUAAUGAACAUUCAUGAAUGUGGGAAAUUAACACAACUAGGAUUUAUGAUGAAAUAAUUUUAUGUCAAAUGAGUGUAAGUGAAUGGAUGUUAAAAAAACAUGUAUAUAUUUUUGAAUUGUUAUAUAUACAAGUUUGUCACUAACAGUAAAUUAAAUUACGAAUAUUUUAAUAAUUUAAAAUCUCAUUCAACCAUAGCUAUUUAUAGUGUUAUUUGGAGUACCAAAUUGUAAAUAGUCUCACUCCUAAUAGUAUAAUGCUAAACAUUUUCAAAAAUUUAUUUUAUUAUAAUCGUCUUAGUCGGUUAUAUUUAUAUCCAAAUUGAAGAUUAAAAUAGUACUUUAUAUAUCAUACAUUACUAAAAGAAUUUUUUUUUCUUAAUCACGUCUAAAAUUGUAAAAUUCAUCAAUCAUCAAAUAAAUUAAAUAUCAUGUCUCCUGGGCUUAAAAUAUAGGCUUUGAAUGAUGUAUCGUACUCAAAAAUCUAUUUUUAAUUAAUUAUUAUAGGAACGUUUAAAUGUAUCUCUAAGCUAUAUUAUAUAGUUGCUAAUUACUAUUAAGCUUGCACUUCUUCCUCCUCAGAAAAGCAUCUUUUGGCUUUUUCUAUUUUUAUGCUUUUUUGGAAAUUUUUUUUUCAAGAUAUUUUUUUAUUGCUUUACCUAGUGGGCAAUUAAAAAAUCUAUAUAUAUAUAUAUAUAUAUAUAUAUAUAUAUAUAUUUUUUUUUUUUUUUUUGCUUUUGAUAGAAACAUAUGAUUCCCCUCUGUUUCUUUGAUGCCUGCUUGCUUCAUGACGGGUGAACUUGGGUCAAACUUUCAUCUUUAAAUCACAUAGGUAGAUCACGAUUCAAGCUUCAGUUAUAAGCCUUUCAUUCUUUCUUGAUAUAUAUAUAUAUAUAGAUUCAGUUUGAAUAUGGUUCUUCAUAGUAUCACGGAAAAUGCAAACGAAAAGUCAGCAUCUUUGAGUUUUGCCUCAUCGUAUUCGACUUGUUGGUCUACUAAUCAAUCAACAGGCCCUGAAAUUUGCUCUGAUCUUGAUAAUUUGAACUUAAGGAAGCAAAGCAGCAAUCCUGAAGAGCCAUGGCUUGACGCUGAGAUUGUUGUUGAGGGCAAAUCAGUGGCAGUUAAUCGCAGCAUAUUGUCUGCGCACAGUCAAUUUCUUCAUCGGCUUUUUAAUUUGAGAAAUGAUGGUUCUGUGAGUGAGGGGAAACCCAAGUAUCUUAUGACUGAUUUGGUGCCUUAUGAUCGGAAGUUUGGAUUUGAAGCUUUCAAUGAAAUCUUGUAUUAUCUUUACACUGGAAUGAUUAAGGAAUCUCCUUCAGAAGUGUCCACGUGUGUUCAUGAUGCUUGUGUUCAUAGUACUUGCCCCCCUGCUAUUAAUUAUGCUAUUGAGUUGAUUUAUGCUUCUGUUGCUUUUCAGAUGACAGAGCUCGUUUCGGUUUUUCAGGUAAUUGCGCUUCCCCGCUAUUUGUAUUGCUUAAAUUUAUGCUUCUUCGUAUAGUUUUAACAUAUAUGGGAUUGAAAUCAAUUUCAGUUGUCACUUGCAAAGACCCAAAGAAUCGAAGCAAGUAAAUGCGAAGCAACUUCGAUGGUUCGCAAUAUUAGGCAUUGUAGUAGAUCCAAAAUUAGCUUGUUAAAAGUGUAGAGAGCCCAAAACUUCGUCUUAUCUUGCAAGAGUCUGUUGUUUUAUUUUGACAGAGACAAAAAUGAUGAUGAUGGGCAGCAAACUCUAGGAAUCAAUGCUUGCUGACACUGACACCCAAGAAUGAUAACAACUAACCAAAAAGGUAUAGAUUACAUGAGUCUGAAUUUGAUAGGUGCACCUAUCCUAUCGCAAAAAGCUUUUGCGUUGAGUUUCUAACCAAGGAAAAUUGUCACUUCUGUCUGUAGGCUUCAUAGAUUUGUUCAAGCCUUCAAGGAUGUCUAGCUGUUACUUACUGUCCAACAACGGCGCUACAUUUCUAGUGAAUGAUAUGUUAUUCUACCUCUGCAUAUUGGAACUUUGACAAACUUCGCCUUUCCUUUAGUUGAUUCACUCGUCUCACUUUUAGUAAAUUGCCUGAUUAUGAAAUGGUCUAUUGGAGACUAGCAUUGGAAGGUUUCUUCUAGAAAAAAUUUUACUUGACCACCAAUUUUCAUUUCGGUGGGUGUCAGUUCAUGUUCUGGCUUGACUGUUCUGUUAUUUAGGUUGUUUUAUCCGUAUUUUCUCACUCACUUGACAGUUAGUUCUCUCAAGCUUUCAAGCUCAACAGUGAAUGCGAGAGAUUCUCUUUUUCCUGUCCAGGUUAUAGCCUAGCAAAUCAUUAAUGCUUUAGAAUAACAUGUUGGGUAGGUUAGCUUAUGUCUCUGAACAUUGGUCCAUCGGCAUUUAGGUUUGAUAAGCAUGACACUGAUUUUCCGCCUCAUUAUUAUUUUCCUGCACAGAUUAUCCCCUUUAAGUAUUUGAAUUUUGAAUAUAUUAUUCUGAAUCAAAACUCUAUUUGUCCGUGUAGCAUUUUAUAUAUGCUUUAUUAUGUUUACCAAUAAUUACCCACUAUGGGGCAUUUGAAUUUUGAAUAUGUUAUUCUCAAUCAAAGCUCUAUCUGUCCAUGUAGCUUUGGCUUCUGGAAGUGGUUGAGAAGGCUCUUGUGGAAGAUGUAAUCCCAACUCUUGUGGCUGCCUUGCAUUGCCAACUGAACCAGCUCCGUUCUUACUGGAUCCAGAGAAUUGCAAGGUCAAAUCUUGACAAUGUUUGUCUCGAGAAAGAGCUUCCUGAUGAAGUUUCAAGUGAAAUCAAAUCACUCCGUGUCAAAUCUAACCAGGAGUCUGAAGCUAAUAUAGCAGAAGUGAAUCCUAUAAAUGCAAAAGUAGUUAGAGGAAUCCACAGGGCACUGGACUCUGGUGACGUUGAACUGUUGAAGCUUCUUCUGGAUGUAUCUAAUGUCACUUUGGAUGAUGCUUAUGCUCUGCACUAUGCUGCUGCCUACUGCAACCCUAUGGGUUUUAAGGAAGUGCUCAAUAUGGGCUUGGCUGAUCUCAAUCUUAAGGAUGCAAGAGGACGUACGGUGCUUCAUGUAGCUGCAAGGCAUAAGGAGCCAGCAGUGAUGGUGGCCCUGCUGAGCAAGGGAGCAUGCGCAUCAGAAACUACAUCAGAUGGGCAAACAGCUUUAGCAAUCUGUCGAAGAAUGACAAGGUGAAAGGAUUAUAUUGAAGCUACAAAGCAGGGACAGGAAACUAACAAAGACCGGUUAUGCAUUGAUGUCCUUGAGAGAGAAAUGAGAAGGAACUCCAUGUCUGGGAACUUGGCAAUGUCAGCAGAAGUGAUGGAUGAUGAUUUCCAAAGGAAGCUGGACUAUAUGGAAAGUAUAGGUGAUAUUUCUUUACUGGUAUUAGUUCAUCACCUUCUCAGAGUUUGUGCAUAGCACACUUCUUUCUACUGUUUUUUUGUCCCUUCAUCUGGAAAAUAAAGGUGAUAUUCCUUUGCUGGUAUUAGUAAAUCAUCUUCUCAGAGUUUGUGUGUCCCUUCAUCUUAGGAUCUCAAACACACAUGGGCUCAUUGCUUGGAGCACACUGUUGGCCAGUCGUGUGAUUUGAUCCCUUUUUUGGAAUAGACAACUCUGAAUCCAUCUAAUCUAGGCUUGGCGGUUUGCACUGAACUGGUUUUUGAUGAAUAAUUGCACAAGACUUUGUCAUCAAAACUUUUAUUUUUUGGUUUUUUUGCCCCAAAAGUAAUGAGGUACAAAAAAAUCUAUGCCUAUCCUGGAUGAGUGCCAUAACAGCUUCUUAAUAUUUCGCAGUGACUUGUGUACGGUUGUUUCCUUCUGAAGCUAGAGUAGCUAUGGAAAUAGCAGGUGCAGAUACAACCACUGGCCUUUCAGCAUUUGGUCGGAAAGGACUUAGUGGGAACUUAAAGGAGGUUGAUUUGAAUGAAACGCCCUCUAUGCAAGCCAAAAGAUGCCAAUUGAGACUGCUCACUCUGCUUAAAACAGGUAUUUAUAUACUUUAUUAACUUUUGCACCUUUCUAUUUACUGAUUAUCUUUAUAAUUAAAUAAUACAUGUAUCCAGGUUUCUCCUUCCAUUUCAUUAGAAGUAAAAUUGGAAUCUCUUUAUAGUGCUCUGUUAGGUGUAAUCAGAUGUAUCAAAAGAGAAAGGGUAAUUGUUAGUACAUUGACAUCUCAACAAAAUGGUAGAACCUUUCUUUAUACCACUAAAGACAUUUGUUGCAGGUAUGCCUACAUAAUCGGUGUCCUUUAAAACUUUCAAGGAGUUAGCAAUGCCUAACCCUUGAAACACUAAAUCUCACGGGAUCAACUUUUUACCUCUAGACCGAAGGUGUGCACCCAGACCCAAUUAGGACUUAGAACACAUAUCGAAUCUGAGCGAAACUAAAUGCUUGUAAAUCCAAAUCUCCAAAAUAUCAAAAGGUCGUCUACUUUCUCUUUUCAUGAAUUUCACAAAAUUUUGAAAAAUUUAUUCUCAAUCAUAAACUAUGCGCAGCUAAUUAAUCAGUAUAUCAGUAUACAACAAUACUUCCUCGUAAGCAAAUAAAUCUUACAAUCCUUCUUACAUGAUUUAAAAAAAAAAAAUACUUCUAUAAGUCUUCUAAAUACAAACAUAAACUGAACUCAACUGCUAAAACUAUGCCAAAAUACAAGCUUCAAUCAGUAAUACACGCGACUAAUUAUUAAAAACAUCUAGCUACAAACCUUAUGAAAGCUCAAUCCUUCCGAAGCAUUCUUAGAAUUAAUAAUUUCUACUAUCUGUGAAAAAUAAUUGACAAGGGGUCAGCUGUUAACUCAAUCCGUAGAAACAUUCAUAACGAACAAAAAGAAUUCUUUGUGCAAUAUUUUCAGAAAAUUCAUUUAACCUUUCAAAUGAAACAGAGUAAUUUUUCAAACACAGUCAGGAUUUAUAUAAAACAUAAACGUUUCAGACAAGCUUUUUGGAACGUAAAUUUUACUUCUUUGAACAGAAAGUUAUACAUUAGUUUGAUUUUAAAGGGAGGUUAUUGGCAAGUUAAAAUUGGCAGUUGUGGUAAAAGGGUAAUAGCAGUUAUAAAAUCUCUUUUAAAACAAAUUCAAAUCAGGUUUUAAAUUUUAGGAGUACUUAAUUCAAUAAAAUAUAGAAUAAAUAAAGCUUUCAAUGAAACAAAACUAAGUAAAUUCAUUUAAAGCAAAACAGGAUGCGAGCAUUACCUAAGGGUUCUUGACCAUACUAUGUUUACCCGCAGUCAGAUAUCUGGGACCUUGUUAUUUGGAGACAAGACUUGAUUGUGCCAUGUUUUCCACAGCCAGAUAUCUUUUACUUCAUUAUUUCCUAGACAUCUGUGGAUAACAGAACCCUAAGCCUAUUGAGAAUAAAUUCCGUAAUCCAAGACUCUUCAGUCCUUUCAUUUGUGGCUAAUUAGUUAUAAAAUUUGUGAAUUUCAUGCCCCACGCCCCUUGCAAAAUGUAUUUUAUAUCCUUAAGAUGCCGGUGGAUGAACUGAAAUAAUAAAAAAUGGAAAACAGACUUAAUGUUGAUAGCAUUUCUUAAGAAAAACUUGGGAUGUUUAUAAUUUUCUUAGAGCAUUUGCUGAACUUUCUGUGAUCGCAGUCGAGACGGGUCAACGCUACUUCCCUAAUUGCUCAGAAGUGGUUGAGAAGUUUAUGUUUUUCAACCCCGCUAAUUGCUCAGAAUUGGUUGAUGAGUUUUUGGAUUGUGAUUCGGCCGAUGCUUCCCUCCUAGAAAAGGGUACUCCGGAAGUGCAGAAACUCCAAAGGGCAUGCUUCAUGAAACUUAAAGUAGAGAUGCCGGAGGCAGUCUGCAAGGACAUGGCUUAUCACCAUCGCUGAGGGCUGCCAUCAUCCUGGUCGGCAUUUUACAAGUACAUGGCUGAGAGCAAUCGUUCAGGUAUGCCGGCAUCCUCGGCAUUGAGCAAUUAAGCAUCACCUUUCCCUAAAAGAUGUGUUUGACACCUGGGACACUAAAAGAGUUUAGUGAGCUCGAUUGGUACUUGUGGAGAUACCCAGAGCCUAUGUUACGGCUAUGUAUUGUCAAGUAGCAGAGAAAUUUUAAUGAAUGAUGGAUGAUUUUCUUGUGACUCUUUUGGUAACAAUCAUGUAACGAUUUCAGUAAUGUUAACAUUAUGGCAAUUUUCUUUUUCUUCAAGUAAUCUGGCAUUUAUCAAUUAGGUUGUAGAAUUUAUUAUAUUGUCUGGAGUCACACGAGGGAAAACCUUAGGUGUAACUGUGGUACCGUGUCAUAGUUGCAUUCAGUCGUUCGAUGUCAGUGGACUCUAUCAAUCCAAAUGCAUUCAAUGGCUGGAUGCAAUUGUGGCCGGUGCCACAGUUGCACCGUAGCCUGAUUCGUCACACGAACGCAUAACAUUGAUGGAAUGGAUCACGUUAUCAUGAAUGUAUAAUUAACAUCAGUUGCUGAACAAACUUUGCCUUUCAAUUUUGUAGACAUUACAAUCUCAAAUUUUCUAUUAUCAUUAAUGAGAUUUUAGGUAAUCUUUUUUUAAAAAAAAAACUAGAGAUUUCUUUUAUUUUUCCUUAAAAAAAUAAAGAAAAUUUUAGAAAGUAGUGAGAGAUGGAGAAUUAAAGCAAUUUUAUUCACAAAUGUAAUGUGCUUGGAGUAGCAAUACAAACUAACAAAUUAUAAUUUAUGAGAUUAGUUUACAAAAUCUUAUAUAUAAAAUUAUAUCCUCUAAAUAAAAAUAUUCUCACCUCUUUUGACUUAUCAUUUAUGAUGCGUUUGAGAUUGAGGUGCUGUAAUUUUUAAACUACAGUUGCUGUGAAAAAAAUGUUAUAAUUAUGAAACAAAAGUUAGUAAUAUUUAAUAAAUAUAAAUUUAAAUAGUAAUUUUGACAAAAUUAUUAAAGAUAAAAUAAAUUUUCUAUGAAAAAUCAUAUCAGCAUAGUUUUUAAGUUACAACAGUUAGUGUUUACCAAACACUUUAGUACUGUAAUUUAAAGUUGCCCAACCUCAAUUCCAAACACACCCUUAGAUGCCCUUUCUAGAAUCUCUCCAGCAAUAAACACAUUUUUAUAAAAUAAAACAAAUAUAUAUAUAUAUAUAUAUAUAAUUGUCAAGAGGAAUCUUACUAAAAUGGUCUCUCAUAAAUUUUUCUCUAAUUUGAGAGAUAGUGGGGAGUGGGGUUAAAGUGCAUCAACAUAGAAUUAAAUAAAAAUAAAUUUUAUUUUUUUAACUAUUUUAAUUAAAAGUAGCAGUUAUUCUUUUUAUUAUUGUUAUUCCAAUUAUCUCAAAAUCAAGUAACUGGGGAUCAAAUUAAGUAGUUCAUUAAAUUUUUUAAAUGACGUAUGGGAUGGUGUAUGGAGUUUUUAUACAUCUAUUUAAAUAGUAAAAUAUUUAAUUUUGCUUGUCGUAAAAUUUUAAUUUACGUGAGUUAAAAAAGAAAAAAAGAAAAAAGAAAUUGACUUAACAAUUAUAGAAAGACUAAAUAGAAAAUUGUAGUUGCGUGGGAAAACUCUGGGCAAAAGGGCUCCUGAUUUCCUUUCCCUGGCUUCGUGCGUUUCCUUUUGCCCUUUCGAGCACGAUUGCACGAAUUCGAAUCCAAUUCUUGAUAAUAAAGAUAUAAUAAGGCAAUCCCUAAGUUACGUUUAACGUAACUUACAGUCUGGCUAACCUGAACCGUUAGAUAUCUUUCAUUUCAAUCCAACGGAUGUUGUUAAAUUUAUCAAAAAUAGUAACAAAUGGCAAACCGGCUAAAUUGGUUAAUUCUAAACAAAAAAAUGUUCAAAAUGAAGGAGAAUGAUCGAGAUAAAUAAAAUCGAACUUUGACUGAAAACGAAGCAAUAUCAGUGUAAAGCUUUUGUUCCGAUUUUGAAUCGAGAUUGACAUAUAUCCAUUGAUGAUUGAUUGCUUUGUUGCCGUUGAAUUACAGAACGGCCACGAAAGCCAAAGAAGACGAGAAGAGUGGGAGGGGGAUGCAAUUGCAGGGGUACAAAGUAGAAGGAUUGUCGAUAGCAAUUUGGGGAAACGUCUCAAAUUUCUUCAACCAUUUCCCCAGGUACCGAAUCAAGCUCAUACCAUUCAAGUUACUUAUUGCGGAGGAAAGCAUCACCUCAUCAAUGUUUGAAGAUGCUCACAAAUAACGCAGACAAAGUUCAGAAACUGAAAAUCCAUCAUGUGCAACCAUCAACAGUAUUGAAGCCUCCGUCGCCAAACACAAUUUCUUCCUAGACGGAUUUUCAUCGCUUGCCUUCUCAAUAGCUAACAAGGCUUGGCUCUCCCAUUCCAUCCUCACACUACCCACGCUACCAUAAAGCAUCUUUAAGUGGACAAAGAAAGUACUUCAAAAUGCAAAGUAACUUAGACGAUCCAAGAUCUGGAGAAUAUUUAAACACAAAGACAAAGCCAAUCUGACCUCUUUUUCUGUUGCAAGUCUCAUAACCAAAUUCGAUUAGGAAGGAUGAUCAACUAGCCCAUGAACUAUCAAAGUCUCCACCAAUUCCCAAAUCCUCAAACUGAUGCAUGCUUCCAAUGCCAAAGAUGCCACAUCUCGACCCAUUAAAAAGCCAACCUUUUCAAUCAAACCCCGAGUAUAUCCACUAUCAAAUCUAUUAAUCCUAGUAGAAAUUCCAACUUUCACACUAAUUUUCUCGAGAUAUGAGUUCAAAAUCCCAAUAAAUGGAGGAUUGUGUUGGACGAGAAGAAACUCCUGUUGCUUAAAGUUCAUGGUGUGUUUCUAAUGGUUAAAACGGCGUCGUUACCUUUGUCACAACUGGUUAUAGAAGCUUUUAGUAACCGGCUGGUAACCGCUUAAAACGAUUUUAUUUUAUUGUUGUCAUGUACACCUGGCAUUUGCUUAUUGGUUAAGUAAUCAUAUCACAGGCUGUAACUUACGAUAAAUGUAACUUAGAGAGGUCCAAUAAUACUAAUAAUUAACAUUAAAAUAUUAAAAAAUAAGGAAAAAAAAUCCAAAUUUUUACUGGUAUAUAACGCAGAGCCAAAGCGAUGGCGAAACAUCAAAUUGUUUUUGUUUCAACCUACGCGCAACUUCCGGUGACAUAAUUUCUGUCUGUUUCAGGUACAUACCCAAAACUAAACUUUGCAUGUAUUAUUAUUGUAUUUUUGUUAUUCAUUCACAUAUCCUUCUUUUCUUUUCUUUUUUUCUUUUGCUGUAAGUUUUUAUGAGACACUCUCUUUCAGUUCUGUUUCUGGUUUUGUUUCAGUUUAACAUUAUUGGUUCCGUUCGGUUCUGUUCUGCUCUGCUCUCUGUUGUAUGUAUAUAUGUAUAUAUUUUUGGCCUCGAAUUGCUUUGAUCACCGGUUUUGUUAUUCAUUUAUCCUGAAUUUUAGAUACCCGUAAAGCUUGUUUGGCCAUGUGUUCACUUGAUUGUUACAUUCAGCUGUCAUUUUCAUGGUGGGUUUGUAAGAUAGUCUCUGACUAACAUAUGGCAUUGAUUAUGAAUGACGGUUUUGUGAGAUACAUCACACCGCCGUUAACUCUUUUUAAUGUGUACUUAUGUACUUACUUCAUUCAAAAGAUUAGUGUUUUUCUCUUUUUUUAAAAAAAAUGAAAUGCCCCUUUUCGCAUUUUAUAGGUGAAAGGAAGAAACAUAAUAUCGCAGAACUAGAAUAAAGGAGCCUAUUCCGGUACCUAUUGUCCAAGGAAGCUUCUGUAUAUUCUGUAGGAACUACCGAACUACCAUGGAAGUCAAAUCUUACCAGAGCCAGGCGGAGUCGUUGCUGAAGGAAUAUAUAUUAGCAGAUCCAUUUGUCCCGUACACUUCAAUUGCUGGUAGCAUUUUUGCAUGCAAGACGGUAUGUUUUUCAUCGUUACUGCAUGGUGUUAUUUACUAGAAAAUAUUUUGAAUGCGUAGUUUUUAUGUAAUUAGUUAUAAAUUUUUAUAUACCUUUUUUUUUUCAUAAGAAUGUGCUCCUUUUCAGGUCUAUGAUCUUGCCCAAUUGAUUAGUGUGCUGUUCACUUUAAAUCUGAUUCCAGUUUCUCCAGCAUACAGCGGGUUGAGUGGAGUAACAGGUGAUUGAAUAUUUUCAUUUAGUUCAAUUGUCAUUUCUUUUUCAAUCGGUAAAGUUUAAUCAUUUUUCUUAAAUUGACAACUUAUGCAGGGCCAUAUCAACCGUCCAUGCCAUUUUUGUUUCAGCUAUGUCUUUGUACUUUGUGUUUUGGUCGAAUAUAAGAGUUUGUACAUAGCACACUUGUUGUUUGUUUGUCCCUUCAUAGACAUUUCGAUAAACUGUUAUUUUUGUUUGUUGGAAUUGAAUAUUUUCCACAACUAGAACUCCGAAGCAUCUGGAAUGAUCCAUUUUAUCAUUCUCAAUACCUAUAAAAGAAGGACAUAGAAAACAGUUUCCAAAGCAAGUUGCCUGUGUUUUGAAUUUGUCUUUGGAAGCCACUAAUUGCUUGGAGCACACUGUUAGCUAGUCGUGGUUCCAUCCACUUUUUUGGAUAGACAAUUGUGCAUCCAUAUGAUCUGGACUAAACUAGUUUUUAAUAAAUAAUUGCCCAAGGAUUUAGUCUCAGUGUUACAGCCCAGUCUUUGUUGUCAAUACUCUUUCCCCUGUCGUGGAUGAGCGCCAUAACAGCUUCUUAAUGUGCAGUGGCUUUUGCACGGUUGUUUUUUUUCCUUCUGAAGCUGGAGUAGCUAUGGAUAUAGCAGAUGCAGAUGCCAUCAAUUUUUAUACUGGCCUUUCAGCAUCAAAAUCAAAAGGAUCAAGUGGGAACUUAAAGGAGGUUGAUUUCAAUGAAACACCCUCUAAGCAAGCCAAGAGACUCCAAUUAAGCCUGCAAGCUCUGCUUAAAACAGGUAUUUAUAUACCUUAUUAGUUUUUGUACCUUUACAAUUAGCGAUUUUUAUAUCAAACGAGAGAGGUUAAUCUUAGUACAUUGAUAUCUCAACAAAAUUUUAGAACCUUUGGAGCACUAGAGACAUUUUCUUAGAGCAUUUACUGAAGUUUCUAUGAUUGCAGUGGAGACAGGUCGACGCUACUUCCCUCAUUGCUCAGAAGUGGUUGAUAAGUUUUAGGAUUGUGAUUGGUCCGACGCUUCCCUCCUAGAAAAUGGUACUCCUGAAGAGCAGAAAUUCAAAAGGGCACGCUACAUGGUUGAGAAAAAUCGCUCAGAUUUGUCGUCAUCCUCGUCGUCGUCAUCUUCUCCAAAGGAAGGAGUAAAGUGUAAGGGUAGGAAAAUGUGUUGCUUAGCUGCCUGUCUUUUGUUAUUCAUAUCUAGGAAACUAAAAGAGUUUUAGUGAGUUUGAUUGUUACUUGUAGAGAGAUACUCUUCGAGCCUAUGUUAUGGCUAUGUUGUAUAAUAGCAGAGGAACUCCAAGCUUGCGUUGUUGUAUUUUCCCAGAUAUUUGGCAUGUAAUACACUAAAUGACAAAUAAUUUUCUAAUUUUAGAGGGGAAAGUUAUGUCAGUUAAUUAUUUAUUUAUUUUUUCUGUUUACAUAGCUUUUUUUUUCUCCAAAAAAAUCUUCAUAUCUCCAUCUGCAAUUUAAGUCAUUUGUAACUUCUUUCAGGGAGGAAGGAAAAGGGGAAAAAAAAAAAAAAAAAAACAUUUUACAGUACUGAUUUUCCUACAGAAAUUGGUUAAGUUGACAUUAAUGUUCUUAGUAACAGACGGAUAUGCAGAAUUUUCGUCGAAAUUGAAAUUAGAAAUGGAUGGAUAUGAAUGACAUAUAUUCAGAAUUUUUUAGUAGAAUGUUUAAAUAAAAAUUUUUAGCUCAUUACUCUCUAGAAGGAAAAUAAUUUUUUUAUUGUAAAUAUUAAAUAUUAAAUUUAUAAUAUAAUAAAUGUGUGACUUAAGGUGCACAAUACCUAUAUAGUAAUAAUAAUUGAGACAAGAAAAAUCAAAUUUUGUAAAUUACCAAAUUUCCCUUGGAAUUUGAUAUUCUAUAUCAACGUAGGUGUUGCAUCCACUGGGUUAGUACAACUGAAAGAAACUAACUAACGUAAAACAAAAUAUCAGAAAAAUAUGGCGAGCUUCUCAUUUUUUUUAAGUGAAAAAAAAAAAGAAAACUGAAAUUAAUUAUUUUUAUACUCAAAUUCUCAUGCUCGAAGGCCGCUGGAAUUGGCCAUUGUAAUUUUGUCAUCCUCGUUAUUCACUGGCCAUCGCAGCUUGCCUCCCUUAAAAUGAGAGUCGUUUUUUGGACGACGACAUAAUAAAAAUAGUAUUGAUUAAUACUAAUAAAUUUCUUUUUGAUUAUUUUGCAGUGUGAUAGUCUAGUGCGUGCCAGUGCCCAUCAUAUCACUUGAACAUGUGGUAAAAUUCGGCGAGUCUUUGUAAAAUAAUUUUUAAAUUGUGUAUUAACCAAAUAGCUCAACGAAGACUAUCGCUCAUUAUUUUAUUUUGUAUAUAUUUAUGAUAAUUGUUGAAAAGAAAAUUGUAAAGUGAGAUUAAUGAACAUUUAUGAAUGUGGAAAUUAACACAACCAGAAUUUAUGAUGAAAUAAUUUUAAGUCAAACAAGUGUAAGUUUGUAUAUAUAUUUUUUGAAUUGUCAUAUAUAUACAAGUUUGUCGCUAACAGUAAAUUAAAUUAUGAAUAUUUUAAUAAUUCAAAAUCUCAUUUAACCAUCAGUGUUUAUAAGGUGCGUUUGGCACAUUGUAUUGUAUUAUAUUGUAUUAUAUUAUUUUAAUGCAUGUGUAUUAUAUUAUAUUGUAUUACAUUAACAUUGUAUUAAUUUUUAAUAAAUAUAUAAUAUUACACUGUAUUAUAUUAAUUUUUUAAUAAAUACUUUAAAUUAUAUAUUUAGAAAAUAACAUUUAUUAGUUGUUAAAAAAUACUAAAUAUAAAAUUCUUAAAUUUUAGAAAUUUAAUAUUAUCUUUCUGGUAUAAACGUUGAAAAAAAAUCAUAAUUUUUCGUAAAGAUCGAAAUAAAUAAUUCAAUCAAAUAACCUUCAAAUAAUAUUAUAACAUAAAUAAAUAAUUAAAAUGUACAAGAUCAAGUUAAAAAUCAUUUUAAGAUAAUAAAAUAAAAAUUUAUACAUAGUAUAAAAUAAUAUAGUAGCGGUAGUAUAAUAACUAACAAAAUAGACUGUACUAAAUAAUUCAAGUAAUACAACAAUAUUUACAAGUACCGUUUUUGCUAUCUUUCUCUUUUAAAGGCCCCUUUUUUUUGUUUUAUUCUUAGAACUUCAUAGUUCUUUUGUUUUUUCUAUUUUCUUUUUCUUUGCCCCUUUUUUGUUUUCUUCAUAGUUCUUUUGGCUUCAUAAGUUUCUUUUAACUGAGUUAAUAGCGUUGUUAGGUUAAACUAAGUUUGGCUUCAUAAGAUUCAUAGUAGAGUGUAGAACUGGGUACAAUGUUGGGUUAGACAAGGUCAAAAGUCUUAUCAAGUAAUUGUUCUGCUUACUGAUCCAGCCAUUCGGGUGCUCGCCAGUCCUAGAUGAGAAAACUUUCAACGCGGCGAAUAAAUUGUUGUUGAUCUGCUUUAUAUAUUUUGACCUUUGUGAUUUGCGAAUACCCGGUUUGAUUCCAGUGUUUCCAACUUUGAAAUUCAAUUAAAAGUUGAGCUGUCAUUGAUUGAUGACAAGAUUGUGUUGUAUAUAUUUAUUUUUUUAAUUUAUCUAUCUAUCUAUUUAUUUUUUGUUUGGAAAUGUAACAAUUUAUAGCUGGCAAAGUAAUAGAGUUGUAUACUUACUUGUAUUUAAUUUAUUAUUAUUAAUUUUUUUUUUUAAUGACUCGGUAAUGUCAUUAUCCAUGGUGUUUUGUCAUUUCGAAAGUACUUGACCCUUUCACGCUAAGACACACUCCAGCGGCCGAAACUUUGAGCUUUCAGUUCUUGAUUUUAGCGUGAGGGGUAUCUUUGUCUUUUCAGUAGUCAACACACGGUCAACACACGGUCAACAAAACAGUCUACAAACAAUCGACCUGUGAACUUGGGUCAAAGCUUUCAUCUUUAAAUCACAUAGGUAGAUCAUGAUUCAAGCUUCAGUUAUAAGCCUUUCAUUGUGAUUGAUAGUAUUCUUUCUUUGAUAUAUAUAUAUAUAUAUAGAUUCAGUUUGAAUAUGGUUCUUGAUGGUAUCAUGGAAAAUGCGAACGAAAAGUCAGCAUCUUUGAGUUUUGUCUCAUCAUAUCCGACUUGUUGGUCCACUAAUCAAUCAACAGACACUUGUGAUCUUGAUGAUUUGAAUAUGGUUCUUGAUGGUAUCAUGGAAAAUGCGAACGAAAAGUCAGCAUCUUUGAGUUUUGUCUCAUCAAAUCCGACUUGUUGGUCCACUAAUCAAUCAACAGACACUUGUGAUCUUGAUGAUUUGAACUUAAGGAUGCAAAGCAGCAAUCCCAAAGAGACAUGGCAUGACGCUGAGAUUGUUGUUGAGGGCAAAUCAGUGGCGGUUAAUCGCAGCAUAUUGUCUGAGCGCAGUCAAUUUUUUCGUCGGCUUUUUAAUUUGAGAAAUGAUGGUUCUGUCAGUGAGGGGAAACCCAAGUAUCUUUUGACUGAUUUGGUGCCUCAUGGGAAGGUUGGAUAUGAAGCUUUCAAUGAUACCUUGCAUUAUAUUUACACUGGGAAGACAAAGGCACCUCCUCCAGAAGUGUCCACGUGUGUUGAUGAUGCUUGUGUUCAUGUUUCUUGCCCUCCUACUAUUAAUUAUGUUAUUGAGUUGAUGUAUGCUUCUGCUGCUCUUCAGAUGAAAAAACUCGUUAUUCGUUUAGAGGUAAUUGUGUUUCACUGCUAUUUGUAUUGCUUAAAUUUAUGCUUCUUGGUAUAGUUUUAACAUAUAUGGGAUUGAAAUCAAUUUCAGUUGUGAAGCAACUCCGGUGGUUCCCAAUAUUAGGCAUUGUAGUAGAUCCAAAAUUAGCUUGUUAAGAAGUGUAGAUACCGUAGAGCCCAAAACUUCAUCUUAUCUUGCAAGAGUCUGUUGUUUUAUUUUGAAAGAGACAAAAGUGAUGAUGAUGGGCAGCAAACUCUAGGAAUCAAUGCUUGCUGACACUGACCCCCAAGAAUCAAUGAGUCUGAAUUUGAUAAGUGCACCUAUCCUAUCACAAAAGCUUUUGCGUUGAGUUUCUAACCAAUUUUCAUUUGGGUAGGUGUCAGUUCAUGCUCUGGCUUGACUGUUCUGUUAUUUAGGUUGUUUUAUCCGUAUUUUCUUCACUCACUUGAUGGUUAGUUCUCUCAUGCUUUCAAGCUCUCAACAGUGAAUGCGAGAGAUUCUAUUUUUCCCGUCCAGUCUAUAACCUAGCAAAUCAUUAAUGCUGUAGAAUAACAUCUUGUGUAGCCGAGUUUAUGUCUCUGAACAUUGGUCCAUCGGCAUUUAGGUUCAAUAAGCAUGGCACUGAUUUUCCCCCUUAUUAUUAUUUUCCUCCACAGAUUAUCCCCUUUGAGUAUUUGAAUUUUGAAUAUAUUAUUCUGAAUCAAAACUCUAUCUGUCCGUGUAGCAUUUUUUAUAUGCUUUACGAUGUUUACCAAUAAUUACCCACUAUGGGGUAUUUGAAUUUUGAAUAUAUUAUUCUGAAUCAAAACUCUAUCUGUCCGUGUAGCUUUGGCUUCUGAACUUGGUUGAGAAGGCUCUUGUGGAAGAUGUAAUCCCAAUUCUCGUGGCUGCCUUGCAUUGCCAACUGAACCACCUCCGUUCUUUCUGCAUCCAGAGAAUUGCAAAGUCAAAUCUUGACAAUGUUUGUCUCGAGAAAGAGCUUCCUGAUGAAGUUUCAAGUGAAAUCAAAUCACUCCGUGUCAAAUCUAACCAGGAGUCUGAAGCUAAUAUAGCAGAAGUGGACCCUAUGCAUGCAAAAAUAGUCAGAAGAAUCCACAAGGCGCUGGACUCUGAUGACGUUGAACUGUUGAAGCUUCUUCUGGAUGUAUCUAAUGUCACUCUGGAUGAUGCUUACGCCCUGCACUAUGCUGCUGCCUACUGCAGCCCUAAGGUUUUCAAGGAAGUGCUCAAUAUGGACUUGGCUUGUCUCAAUCUUAAGGAUGCAAGAGGACGUACGGUGCUUCAUGUGGCUGCAAGGCGUAAUGAGCCAGAAGUGAUGGUGACUCUGCUGAGCAAGGGAGCAUGCGCAUCAGAAACUACAUCAGAUGGGCAAACAGCUGUAGCAAUCUGUCGGAGAAUGACAAGGCUAAAGGAUUAUCUUGAAGCUACAAAGCAGGGGCAGGGAACUAACAAAGACCGGUUAUGCAUUGAUGUCCUUGAGAGAGAGAUGAGAAGGAACUCCAUGUCUGAGAACUUGGCAAUGCCAUCAGAGGUGAUGGAUGAUGAUUUCCAAGCAAAGCUGGACUAUCUAGAAAAUACAGGUGAUAUUUCUUUACUGGUAUUAGUUCAUCACCUUCUCAGAGUUUGUGCAUAGCACACUUCUUUCUACUGUUUGUUUGUCCCUUCAUAUGGAAAAUAGAGGUGAUAUUCCUUUACUGGUAUUAGUAAAUCAUCUUCUCAAGAGUUUGUGAGUCCCUUCAUUUUAGCAUCUCAAACACACAUGGGCUCAUUGCUUGGGGCACACUGUUGGCCAGUCAUGUGAUUUGAUCCCCUUUUUUGGAAUGGAGAAUUCUGAAUCCAUCUGAUCUAGGCUUUGUGGUUUGCACUGAACUGGUUUUUGAUGAAUAAUUGUACAAGACUUUGUAAUAAAAAACUUUUUUUUUUUUCCCAAAAAGUAAUGAGGUACCAAAAAAUUUAUGCCUAUCCUGGAUGACUGCCAUAACAGCUUCUUAAUAUUUUGCAGUGGCUUUUGUACGGUUGUUUCCUUCUGAAGCGAGAGUAGCUAUGGAAAUAGCAGGUGCAGAUACCGCCACUGGCCUUUCAGCAUUAGGUCAGAAAGGACUAAGUGGGAACUUAAAGGAGAUUGAUUUGAAUGAAACGCCCUCUAUGCAAGCCAAGAGCCGCCAAUUGAGACUGCUAACUCUGCUUAAAACAGGUAUUUAUAUACUUUAUUAACUUUUGCACCUUUCUAUUUACUGAUUAUCUUUAUAAUUAACUAAUACAUGUAUCCAGGUUUCUCCUUCCAAUUGGAAUUUCUUUAUAAUGCUAUGUUAGGUGUAAUCAGAUGUAUCAAAAGAGAAAGGGUAAUUGUUAGUACAUUGAUAUCUCAACAAAAUGGUAGAACCUUUCUUUAUACCAGUUAAGACAUUUGUUGCAGGUAUGCCUACAUAAUCAGUGUCCUUCAAAACUUUCAAAGAGUUAGCAAUGCCUAACCCCUGAAACACUAAAUCUCACGGGAUCAACUCUUUACCUCUAGACCGAAGGUGUGACACCCAGACCCAAUUAGGGCUUAGAACACAUAUCGAAUCUGAGUGAAACUAAAUGCCUGUAAAUCCAAAUCUCCAAAAUAUCAAAAAGUCAUCUACUUUCUCUUUUCAUGUAUUUCACAAAAUUUUGAAAAAUUCAUUCUCAAUCAUAAACUAUGCACAGCUAAUUAUUCAGCAUAUCAGUAUAGAGCAAUACUUCCUCAUAAGCAAAUAAAUCUUACAAUCCUUCUUACAUGAUUUGAAACAAAUACUAAUAGAAGUCUUCUAGAUACAAACAUAAACAGAAUUCAACUGUUUAAAACUAUGCCAAAACACAAGCUUCAAUCAGUAAUACAUACGACUAAUUAUUAAAAACAUCUAGCCAGAAACCUUACGAAAGCUCAAUCCUUCCGAAGCAUUCUUCAAAUUAAUAAUUGCUACCAUCUGUGAAAAAUAAUUGAUAAGGAGUCAACUGUGAACUCAAUCAGUAGAAACAUUCGUAACGAACAAAAAGAAUUCUUUGUGCAAUAUUUUCAGAAAAUUCAUUUAACCUUUCAAAUGAAACAAAGUAAUUUUUCUAACGCAGUCAGGAUUUAUAUAAAACACAAACGUUUCAGACAGAAGCUGUGUGGAACGUAAAUUUUGCUUCUUUAAACAGAAAGUUAUAUAUUAGUUUGAUUCUAAAGGGAGGUUAUUGGGAAGUUAAAAUUGGCAGUUGUGGGAAAAGGGUAAUAGCAGUUAUAAAAUCUCUUUUAAAGCAAAUUCAAAUCAAGUUUCAAAUUUUAGGAGUACUUAAUUCAAUAAAAUAAGGAAUAAAUAAAGCUUUCAUUGAAACAAAACUAAGUAUAUUCAUUAAAGCAAAAAAGGAUGGGAGCAUUACAUAAGGGUUCUUAUGUUUACCCGCAGUCAGACAUCUGGGACCUUGUUAUUUGGAGACAGGACUUGAUUGUGCCAUGUUUUCCGCAGCUAGACAUCUGUGGAUAAGAGAACCCUAAGCCUAUUGAGAAUAAAUUCCGUAAUCCAAGACUCUUCAGUUCUUUCAUUUUUGGCUAAUUAGUUAUAAAAUUUGUGAAUUUCAUGCUCCAUGCCCGUUGCAAAAUGUAUUUUAUAUCCUUAAGUUGCCAGUUGUUGAACUGAAAUAACAAAAAAUGGAAAACUGACUUAAUGCCGAUAGCAUUUCUUAAGAAAAACUUGGGAUGUUUAUAAUUUUCUUAGAGCAUUUGCUGAACUUUCUGUGAUCGCAGUCGAGACAGGUCACCUCUACUUCCCUCAUUGCUCAGAAGUGGUUGUUAAGUUUAUUGAUUGCUACUCCCCUCAUUGCUCAGAAGUGGUUGAUGAGUUUUUGGAUUGUGAUUGGUCCGAUGCUUCCCUCCUAGAAAAGGGUACUCCUGAAGAGCAGAUACUCAGAAGGGCAUACUUCAUGAAACUUAAAGAAGACAUGCAGGAGGCACUCUGCAAGGACGUGGCUUAUCACCGUCAUUCAGGGCUGCCAUCAUCCUGGUCGGCAUUUUACAAGUACUUGGCGGCUGAGAGCAAUCGUUCAGGUAUGUCGAUUGGUAUAUUUGGCACCUGGGAAACUAAAAGAAUUUAGUGAGCUCGAUUGGUAUUUGUAGUUCUUUUUCCUCUAGUGAUUGGCAUGUAUCAAUUAGUUAAAUUAUUGUAUUGUCUCAUGUCCAGUGGGACACGCAAACGUUAGUAUGGAUCAAAAACUCAUUUCAUAUAAUAUUAGAGAAAAAGAAUUGUAUUACAAUUGGUAUGAGGCAUGCAUGUGUAUGUCAAUAUCAGCUGCUGAACAAACUUUGCCUUUUAAUUUUGUAGGCAUUACUAUCUCAAAUUUUCUAUUAUCAUAAAUGAGUUUUUUUUUCUUUUUUUUAAGAAAAUCAUAAAUGAGAUUAAGAUAAUCUUUUUAAAAAAAAAAAAAAAAAAGAAAACUGGAGAUUUUUUUUUCCUUAAAAAAAUGAAGAAAAGUUUAGAAAGUAUUGAGAGAUGGAGAAAUAAAGCAAUUAUAUUCAUAAAUAUAAUGUGUUUGGUGCAGUAACAGAAACUAAUAAAUUAUAAUUUAUGAGAUUAGUUUACAGACUCUUACAUAUGAAAUUAUAUCCCUUAAUUAAAAAUCUUCACACCUCUUUUUGCUUCUCAUUUAGAUGCCCUUUCUAGAACUUCUCCAACGGUAAACACAUUUUUAUUAAACAAAACAGAAAAAAUUAUAUAUAAUUGUUCAUAAGGACCAUUUCUUUUGUACAUAAUACAUAAUUGGCCAUUAAAGUUAUUUGAGAAGAAAAUUUACAUGAGAUGGGUACAUCACAUUAUCAGUAUUUUUGUCUAAUUUUGAACAUACGUUCCUUGUACGAGUUUUCCUAGAAUGGUCUCUCAUAAAUUUUUCUCCAAUUUGAGAGAUAGUGGGAAUUGGGUUAAAGUGCAUUUACAUAGAAUUAAUUUAAAAUAAAAUUUAUUUUUUAACUAUUUUAACUAAAAGUAGCUGUUAUUCUUUUUAUUAGUGUUAUUCCAAUUAUAUCAAAAUCAAGUGACUGGUGAUCAAAUUAAGUAGUUCAUUAAUUUUUUUAAGCGACGUAUGGUAUGGAGUUUUUAUAAAUCUAUUUAAAUAGUAUAAUAUUUAAUUUUGCUUGUCCUAAAAUUUUAGUUUACGUGGGUUAAAAAAGAAAAAAAGAAAAAAGAAAUUGACUUAUUAAUUAAUUAACAAUUAUACAAAGAAUAAAUAGAAAGUUAUAGUUGGCAAUGGCAUUAUUUUUCUCCUUGUUAAGUUUUUCUUUCCCACAUUAUCCCCCUUGAAGCAGCAUAUUGAAGGAAAGGAGCAUUCUUAUAUAUGCUUUAUGAUGUUCUUAAUGUAUUCUAACUCAAAACUCUUAUCUAUCCGUGCAGCGUCGCCUUCUGAACUUUGUUGAGAAGGCCCUUGUGGAAGAUGAAAUUCCAAUUCUUGUGGCUGCCUUCCAUUGCCAACUCAACCCGCUCCGCUCUCACCGUGUCCAGAGAGUAGUAAGGUCAAAUCUUGAUGAUGUCUGUCUCCUGAAAGAGCUUCCUGAUGAAGUUUCAUGUGAAAUCAAGUCACUCAGUGUCAAAUCUAGCCAGGAGUGUGAAGCUAAUAUAGCAGAAGUGGAUCCUAUGCAUGCAAAAAAGAGUCAGAAGAAUCCACAAGGCACUGGACUCUGAUGACGUUGAACUGUUGAAGCUUCUUCUGGAUGAAUCUAAUGUCACUUUAGAUGAUGCCUACGCUCUGCACUAUGCUGCUGCCUACUGAAACCCUAAGGUUUUUAAGGAAGUGCUCAAUAUGGGCUUGGCUGAUCUCAAUCUUAAGGAUGCAAGAGGUCAUACGGUGCUUCAUGUGGCUGCAAGGCGUAAGGAGCCAGGAGUGCUGGUGACUCUGCUAAGCAAGGGAGCAUGCGCCUCAGAAACUACAUCAGAUGGGCAAACAGCUGUAGCAAUCUGUCGGAGAAUGACAAGGCGAAAGGAUUAUAUUGAAGCUACAAAGCAGAGGCAGGAAACUAACAAAGACCGGUUAUGCAUUGAUGUCCUUGAGAGAGAGAUGAGAAGGAACCCCAUGUCUUGGAACGUGGCACUGUCACCAGAGGUGAUGGCUGAUGAUUUCCAAAUGAAGCUGAACUAUCUAGAAAAUAGAGGUGAUAUUUCUUUACUGGUAUUAGUUCAUCACCUUCUCAGAGUUCCUGCAUAGCACACUUCUUUCUACCGUUUGUUUGUCCCUUCAUCUUAGCAUCUCAGACAUUGCUGUAAACGGGAUAACCACACAGUCUACACUUGUGCUAUCAUCAAAGAAUUUUUCAUGAACUGUUAUUUUUGUUAUUUGGAAGUGAAUAUUUUCAGCAACUAGAACUCGGAAGCAUCCGGAAUGAUCCAUUUUUUUUUUUUUUUUAUGUCAAAACAUGAAGUAAUUAAAGGAGGUCAAACAACAAUAAACUCAUUCAUCUUGUCCAAAAUUGAAAAAGACUACAUAGUAAUCAUAAUUGAAAACAACUAAGCACAAAAACAAAUAACAUCCUUUUUCAAAAUUAUGUUCCCAUGAAUCUUGUCUCCACACAUUAAAGAAGACUAAAUCUAUAAUGAGGUGCUGAUUCACGCCCAAAAUUACCCUUCAACUCCUUAAGCAGAGGCAGCUGCUCCCUUCUUCCUUGGUGCUGCCUGAGUACCUUCUCUGAAGCCGCUCUUGAACCUGCGAGGGACAUGGCGCAGAUACCUCAUCCUGCCGGUUCCAGUGGUCUUUCUUCGGAUUGCCUUCACACUCCAGUUAUACGACUCUUCUGAAGAUGGAAGCUGCGACGGCCACAUCGCACACACAAAGUGUGCGUCUUGUUUCUCCUCUUACCAAAACUCCCUGUGCCCUUACCCAUUGAAGCGUAUGCGAAGUAGAGGAAAGCCUUCUGAUGAGUUCCGGAAUGAUCCAUUUUAUCAUUCUCAAUUCCUAUAAAAGAAUGUCAUAGAAAACAGUUUCCAAAGCAAGUUGCAUGUGUUUUGAAUUUGUCUUUGGAAGCCACUAAUUGCUUGGAGCACACUGUUAGCCAAUCGUGAUUCCAUCCACUUUCUUGGAUGGACAAUUGUGCAUCCAUAUGAUCUAGGCAUGUUGGUUUGGACUGAACUAGUUUUAAUAAAUAAUUGCCUUCAGGAUUUAGUCUGUGUGUUACAGUCCAGUCUUUGUUGUGAGUAGUUCUUUUUUCCCCCUCCCGAGGAAAGAAUUGAGAUAAAAAAUAAUUUAUUCCUGCCACGGAUGAGUGCCAUAACAGCUUCUUAAUGCUUUGCGGUGGCUUUUGCGCGGUUGUUGUUGCCUUCUGAAGCUAGAGUAGCUAUGGCUAUAGCAGAUGCAGAUGCCACCAAUUUUUAUGAUGGCCUUUCAGCAUCAAAAUCAAAAGGAUCAAUUGGGAACUUAAAGGAGGUUGAUUUGAAUGAAACACCCUCUAUGCAAGCCAAGAGACUCCAAUUAAGACUGCAAGCUUUGCUUAAAACAGGUAUUUAUAUACCUUAUUAGUUUUUGUAUGUUUAUAAUUACUGAUUUUUAUAUCAAAAGAGAGAGGUUAAUUUUUAGUACAUUGAUAUCUCAACAAAAUGGUAGAUCCUUUAUACCACUAAAGACAUUUUCUUAGUGCACUUACUGAGCUUUCUAUGAUUGCAGUUGAGACGGGCCGACGCUACUUCCCUCAUUGCUCAGAAGUGGUUGAUAAGUUUUUGGACUGUGAUUGGUCUGAUGCUUCCCUCCUAGAAAAUGGUACUCCUGAAGAGCAGAGACUCAAAAGGGCACGCUUCAUGGAACUUAAAGAAGACGUACAGAAGGCAUUUUACAAGGACAUGGCUGAGAAAAAUCGUUUAGGUUUGUCGUCAUCCUCGUCGUCGUCAUCUUCUCCAAAGGAAGGAGUAAAGUGUAAGGGUAGGAAAAGGUGAUGCUUAGCUACUUGUCUUUUAUUAUUCAUUGCUAGGAGACUAAGAGAGUUUUACUGAGUUUGAUUGUUACUUGUAGAGAGAUACUCUUAGAGCCUAUGUUAUGGCUUAUGUUGUAUAAUAGCAGAGGAACUUCAAGCUUGCAUUGUUGUAUUUUCCCAGGUAUUUGGCAUGUAAUAUAUACUAAAUGACAAAGAAUUUUCUAAUUUUAGAGGGAAAAAAUAUGUCAGUUAAUUAUUUUUUUAUUUUAUCUGUUUAAUUCAGUUUAUAAUAUAGCUUUUUUUAUAUAUAAAAAAAAAUCUCCAUAUCUUCAUCUGCAAACUCAGUCAUGUGCAACUUCUUUCGGGGAGAAAAGAAGGGGAAAAAAAAAGGGCAUUUGUACCUGUAUUUUACGGUACUGACCCUCAUACAGAAAUUGGUUAAGAUGACAUUAAUGCUCUUCGAAAUAAAUAGAUAUGCAGAAUUUUCAUCGAAAUUGAAAUUAGAAAUGGAUGGACACGAAUGAUAUAUAUGCAGAACUUUUUAACAGAAUUUUUAUGUAAAAAUUUGUAGCUAAUUACUCCCCCGAAGUAAAAUAAAUUUUCAAUUGUAGAUAAUUAAAUUUUAAAUUUAUAAUAUAAUAAAUGUGACUUAAGUCGCACAGCACCCAUAUAAUAAUAAUAAUUAAGAAAAGAAAAUUUAAAUUUUGUAAAUUAUCAAUUUUUUAAAAUUAAUUAUUUUUAUACCCAAAUUCUCAUGCUCGACGGCCGCUGGAAUUGGCUAUUGUAAUUUUGUCAUCCUCAUUAUUCACUAGCCAUUUUUGGACCACGACAUAAUAGAAAUAGCAUAGAUUAUACUAAUAAAUUUCCUUUAAUUAUUUUGUAGUGUGAUGAUCUAGUGAGUACCAGUGGCCAUCAUAGCACCUGAACAUGUAAAUUUCUGAUAUUUUUUGUAAAAUAGUAUUUAAAUUGUGUAUUAACUAGACAGCUCUAUGUAGACCACAACUCAUUAAAUCAUUACUUUACUUUGUAUAUAUUUAUGACAAUUGAUGAAGAAAAAUAUAAAGUGAGAUUAAUGAACAUUCAUGAAUGUGGGAAAUUAACACAACUAGGAUUUAUGAUGAAAUAAUUUUAAGUCAAACGAGUGUAAGUUUGUAUAUAUAUUUUUUGAAUUGUCAUAUAUGUACAAGUUUGUCACUAACAGUAAAUUAAAUUAUGAAUAUUUUAAUAAUUCAAAAUCUCAUUUAACCAUAAGUGUUUAUAUGGUGCGUUUGGCACAUUGUAUUGUAUUAUAUUAUUUUAAUGCAUGUGUAUUAUAUUAUAUUGUAUUAUAUUAAUAUUGUAUUAUAAUAAUACUAUACAAUGUUUGGUACUACAUUGUAUUAAUUUUUAAUAAAGAUAUAAUAUUACACUGUAUUAUAUUAAUUUUUUAAUAAGUACUUUAAAUUAUAAAUUUAGAAAAUAACAUUUAUUAGUCGUUAAAAAAUACUAAAUAUAAAAAACCAAGACACAGUGGCUCAUAAAUUGUUGUUGGUGAUUGAUCCCAGCCAUUCGGGUGCUCGCCAGUCCUAGAUGAGAAAACUUUCAACGCGGCGCAUAAAUUGCUGUUGAUCUGCUUUAUAUAUUUUGACGUUUGUGAUUUGUGAAUACAUGGUCUGAUUCCAGUGUUUACAAUUUUGAAAUUCAAUUAAAAGUUGAGCUGUGAAAUAGUGUGUUGUAUAACUUGAGAAGCAAAUGAAACAAACAGGAAAUGUGUUUUUUUGUUUUUUUAAUCUAUCUAUGUAACAAUUUAUAGCUGGCAAAGUAAUAGAGUUGUAUACUUCUACUAUUUAAUUAUUUAUUAUUAUUAUUAUUAAUUUUUUUGUAUCCAUGGUGUUUUGUCAUUUCGAAAGUACUUGACCCUUUCACGCUAAGGCACACUCCAGCAGCCGAAACUCUGAGCUUUCAGUUCUUGAUUUUAGCGUGAGGGGUAUCUUUGUCUUUUCAGUAGUCAACACACGGUCAACACACGGUCAACAAAACAGUCUACAAACAAUCGACCUGUGAACUUGGGUCAAAGCUUUCAUCUUUAAAUCACAUAGGUAGAUCAUGAUUCAAGCUUCAGUUAUAAGCCUUUCAUUGUGAUUGAUAGUAUUCUUUCUUUGAUAUAUAUAUAUAUAUAGAUUCAGUUUGAAUAUGGUUCUUGAUGGUAUCAUGGAAAAUGCGAACGAAAAGUCAGCAUCUUUGAGUUUUGUCUCAUCAUAUCUGACUUGUUGGUCCACUAAUCAAUCAACAGACACUUGUGAUCUUGAUAAUUUGAACUUAAGGGGGCAAAGCAGCAAUCCUGAAGAGACAUGGCAUGACGCUGAGAUUGUUGUUGAGGGCAAAUCAGUGGCGGUUAAUCGCAGCGUAUUGUCUGAGCUCAGUCAAUUUUUUCGUCGGCUUUUUAAUUUGAGAAAUGAUGGUUCUGUCAGUGGGGGGAAACCCAAGUAUCUUUUGACUGAUUUGGUGCCUCAUGGGAAGGUUGGAUAUGAAGCUUUCAAUGAUACCUUGCAUUAUAUUUACACUGGGAAGACAAAGGCACCUCCUCCAGAAGUGUCCACGUGUGUUGAUGAUGCUUGUGUUCAUGUUUCUUGCCCUCCUACUAUUAAUUAUGUUAUUGAGUUGAUGUAUGCUUCUGCUGCUCUUCAGAUGAAAAAACUCGUUAUUCGUUUAGAGGUAAUUGUGUUUCACUGCUAUUUGUAUUGCUUAAAUUUAUGCUUCUUGGUAUAGUUUUAACAUAUAUGGGAUUGAAAUCAAUUUCAGUUGUGAAGCAACUCCGGUGGUUCCCAAUAUUAGGCAUUGUAGUAGAUCCAAAAUUAGCUUGUUAAGAAGUGUAGAUACCGUAGAGCCCAAAACUUCAUCUUAUCUUGCAAGAGUCUGUUGUUUUAUUUUGAAAGAGACAAAAGUGAUGAUGAUGGGCAGCAAACUCUAGGAAUCAAUGCUUGCUGACACUGACCCCCAAGAAUCAAUGAGUCUGAAUUUGAUAAGUGCACCUAUCCUAUCACAAAAGCUUUUGCGUUGAGUUUCUAACCAAUUUUCAUUUGGGUAGGUGUCAGUUCAUGCUCUGGCUUGACUGUUCUGUUAUUUAGGUUGUUUUAUCCGUAUUUUCUUCACUCACUUGAUGGUUAGUUCUCUCAUGCUUUCAAGCUCUCAACAGUGAAUGCGAGAGAUUCUAUUUUUCCCGUCCAGUCUAUAACCUAGCAAAUCAUUAAUGCUGUAGAAUAACAUCUUGUGUAGCCGAGUUUAUGUCUCUGAACAUUGGUCCAUCGGCAUUUAGGUUCAAUAAGCAUGGCACUGAUUUUCCCCCUUAUUAUUAUUUUCCUCCACAGAUUAUCCCCUUUGAGUAUUUGAAUUUUGAAUAUAUUAUUCUGAAUCAAAACUCUAUCUGUCCGUGUAGCAUUUUUUAUAUGCUUUACGAUGUUUACCAAUAAUUACCCACUAUGGGGUAUUUGAAUUUUGAAUAUAUUAUUCUGAAUCAAAACUCUAUCUGUCCGUGUAGCUUUGGCUUCUGAACUUGGUUGAGAAGGCUCUUGUGGAAGAUGUAAUCCCAAUUCUCGUGGCUGCCUUGCAUUGCCAACUGAACCACCUCCGUUCUUUCUGCAUCCAGAGAAUUGCAAAGUCAAAUCUUGACAAUGUUUGUCUCGAGAAAGAGCUUCCUGAUGAAGUUUCAAGUGAAAUCAAAUCACUCCGUGUCAAAUCUAACCAGGAGUCUGAAGCUAAUAUAGCAGAAGUGGACCCUAUGCAUGCAAAAAUAGUCAGAAGAAUCCACAAGGCGCUGGACUCUGAUGACGUUGAACUGUUGAAGCUUCUUCUGGAUGUAUCUAAUGUCACUCUGGAUGAUGCUUACGCCCUGCACUAUGCUGCUGCCUACUGCAGCCCUAAGGUUUUCAAGGAAGUGCUCAAUAUGGACUUGGCUUGUCUCAAUCUUAAGGAUGCAAGAGGACGUACGGUGCUUCAUGUGGCUGCAAGGCGUAAUGAGCCAGAAGUGAUGGUGACUCUGCUGAGCAAGGGAGCAUGCGCAUCAGAAACUACAUCAGAUGGGCAAACAGCUGUAGCAAUCUGUCGGAGAAUGACAAGGCGAAAGGAUUAUCUUGAAGCUACAAAGCAGGGGCAGGGAACUAACAAAGACCGGUUAUGCAUUGAUGUCCUUGAGAGAGAGAUGAGAAGGAACUCCAUGUCUGAGAACUUGGCAAUGCCAACAGAGGUGAUGGAUGAUCAUUUCCAAGCGGAGCUGGACUAUCUAGAAAAUAGAGGUGAUAUUUCUUUACUGGUAUUAGUUCAUCACCUUCUCAGAGUUUGUGCAUAGCACACUUCUUUCUACUGUUUGUUUGUCCCUUCAUAUGGAAAAUAGAGGUGAUAUUCCUUUACUGGUAUUAGUAAAUCAUCUUCUCAAGAGUUUGUGAGUCCCUUCAUUUUAGCAUCUCAAACACACAUGGGCUCAUUGCUUGGGGCACACUGUUGGCCAGUCAUGUGAUUUGAUCCCCUUUUUUGGAAUAGAGAAUUAUGAAUCCAUCUGAUCUAGGCUUGUUGGUUUGCACCGAACUGGUUUUUGAUAAAUAAUUGUACAAGACUUUGUCAUCAAAAACUUUUUUUUUUGUUUUUUUGUUUUUUGUUUUCCAAAAGUAAUGAGGUACAAAAAUAUUUAUGCCUAUCCUGGAUGAGUGCCAUAACAGCUUCUUAAUAUUUUGCAGUGGCUUUUGUACGGUUUUUUCCUUCUGAAGCUAGAGUAGCUAUGGAAAUAGCAGGUGCAGAUACCGCCACUGGCCUUUCAGCAUUAGGUCAGAAAGGACUAAGUGGGAACUUAAAGGAGAUUGAUUUGAAUGAAACGCCCUCUAUGCAAGCCAAGAGACGCCAAUUGAGACUGCUAACUCUGCUCAAAACAGGUAUUUAUAUACUUUAUUAACUUUUGCACCCUUCUAUUUACUGAUUAUCUUUAUGAUUAACUAAUACAUGUAUCCAGGUUUCUCCUUCCAAUUGGAAUUUCUUUAUAGUGCUAUGUUAGGUGUAAUCAGAUGUAUCAAAAGAGAAAGGGUAAUUAUUAGUACAUUGAUAUCUCAACAAAAUGGCAGAACCUUUCUUUAUACCACAAAGACAUUUGUCGCAGGUAUGCCUACAUAAUCAGUGUCCUUCAAAACUUUCAAGGAGUUAGCAAUGCCUAACCCCUGAAACACUAAAUCUCACGGGAUCAACUCUUUACCUCUAGACCGAAGGUGUGACACCCAGACCCAAUUAGGGCUUAGAAAACAUAUCGAAUCUGAGUGAAACUAAAUGCCUAUAAAUCCAAAUCUCCAAAAUAUCAAAAAGUCAUCUAAUUUCUCUUUUCAUGUAUUUUACAAAAUUUUGAAAAAUUCAUUCUCAAUCAUAAACUAUGCACAACUAAUUAUUCAGCAUAUCAGCAUAGAGCAAUACUUCCUCAUAAGCAAAUAAAUCUUACAAUUCUUCUUGCAUGAUUUAAAAAAAAUACUAAUAGAGUCUUCUAGAUACAAACAUAAACAUAAUUCAACUGUUUAAAACUAUGCCAAAACACAAGCUUCAAUCAGUAAUACAUACGACUAAUUAUUAAAAACAUCUAGGCAGAAACCUUACGAAAGCUCAAUCCUUCCGAAGCAUUCUUCAAAUUAAUAAUUGCAACCAUCUGUGAAAAAUAAUUGACAAGGAGUCAGCUGUGAAUUCAAUCAGUAGAAACAUUCGUAACGAACAAAAAGAAUUCUUUGUGCAAUAUUUUCAGAAAAUUCAUUUAACCUUUCAAAUGAAACAGAGUAAUUUUUCUAACGCAUCAGGAUUUAUAUAAAACACAAACGUUUCAGACAGAAGCUGUGUGGAAUGUAAAUUUUGCUUCUUUAAACAGAAAGUUAUAUAUUAGUUUGAUUUUAAAGGGAGGUUAUUGGGAAGUUAAAAUUGGCAGUUGUGGGAAAAGGGUAAUAGCAGUUAUAAAAUCUGUUUUAAAGCAAAUUCAAAUCAAGUUUCAAAUUUUAGGAGUACUUAAUUCAAUAAAAUAAGGAAUAAAUAAAGCUUUCAUUGAAACAAAACUAAGUAAAUUCAUUUAAAGCAAAACAGGAUGCGAGCAUUACAUAAGGGUUCUUGGCCAUACCAUGGUUACCCGCAGUCAGACAUCUGGGACCUUGUUAUUUGGAGACAAGACUUGAUUGUGCCAUGUUUUCCGCAGCUAGACACCUAUGGAUAAGAGAAGCCUAAGCCUAUUGAGAAUAAAUUCUGUAAUCCAAGACUCUUCAGUUCUUUCAUUUGUGGCUAAUUAGUUAUAAAAUUUGUGAAUUACAUGCCCCAUGCCCCUUGCAAAAUGUUGUUUAUAUCCUUAAGAUGCCCGUGGAUGAACUGAAAUAAUAAAAUAUAGAAGACAGACUUAAUGCCGAUAGCAUUUCUUAAGAAAAACUUGGGAUGUUUAUAAUUUUCUUAGAGCAUUUGCUGAACUUUCUGUGAUUGCAGUCGAGACGGGUGACCGCUACUUCCCUCAUUGCUCACAAGUGGUUAAUGACUUUUUGGAUGCUUCCCUCCUAGAAAAGAGUACUCUUGAAGAGGAGAAACUUAAAUUAUACGUGCAGGAGGCACUCCGCAAGGACGUGGCUUAUCACCGUCGUUCAGGGCUGCCAUCAUCCUGGUCGGCAUUUUACAAGUACAUGGCUGAGAGCAAUCAGUCGGCAUUUUACAAGUACCUGGCUGAGAGCAAUCGUUCAGGAAUGUCGACAUCCUCGGCAGCGGAAAACUAAAGGAGUUGAGUGAGCUCUGCUCGAUUGGUUUUUGUAGUUUCUUUUUUUUUUUUCCUCAAGUGAUCUGGCAUGUAUCAAUUAGUUUGUAAAGUUAUUGUAUUGUCUCAAGUCCGGUAAGAUGCGCGAACGUAUAGCAUGGAUCACAAACUCAUUUCAUAGAUUAUUUUUUUGUAUAAUUAUAUAAUUUAUAGGCUUUGCUUAAAAAAUUAAAAAAGAAAAAAAGAAUUGUAUUACAAUUGGUAUGAGGCAUGCUUGUGUGUGUCAUAUCAGUUGCUGAACAAACUUUGCCUUUUAGUUUUGUAGGCACUACCAUCUCAAAUUCUUUGUUAUCAUGAAUGAGUAUUUUUUUUCUUUUUUUUCUUUUUUAACAAAUCAUAAAUGAGAUUAAGAUAAUCUUUUUUUAAAAAAGAAAAAAAAUGGAGAUUUCUUUUAUUUUUCCUUAAAAAACUGAAGACAAAUUUAGAAGGAAGUGAGAGACGGAGAAUUAAAGCAAUUUUAUUCACAAAUGUAAUGUAUUUGGUGCAGCAAUACAAACUAAUAAAUUAUAAUUUAUGAGACUAGUUUACAGAAUCUUAUAUAUAAAAUUAUAUCCUCUGAAUAAAAAUCUUCUCACCUCUUUUGACUUCUCAUCUAAUUUACAGAAUCUUAUAUAUAUAACACAUUUUUAUAAAACAAAACAGAAAAAAAAAUUAUAUAUAAUUGUCACAAGGACUAUUUCAUUUGCACAUAGUACGCAAUUGGUCACUAAAGUUAUUUGAGGAGAAAAUUUACAUGAGAUGGGUACAUCAUAUUAUCAGUAUUUUAGUUUAAAUUUGAACAUACUAGAAUGGUCUCUCAUAAAUUUUUCUCCAAUUUGAGAGAUGGUGGGGGAGUGGGGUUAAAGUGCAUCUACAUAGAAUAGAAUUAAUUAUAAUUAAAUUUACUUUUUAAAACUAUUUUAACUAGAAGUAGUAGUAAUUCUUUUUAUUAUUGUUAUUCCAAUUAUAUCAAAAUCUCGUGACUCGUGAUCAAAUUAAGUGCUUCAUUAAAUUGUUUUAGGUGACGUACGGUAUGGAGUUGUUAUAAAUCUAUAUAGAUAGUAAAAUAUUUAAUUUUGCUUGUCGUAAACUUUUAAUUUGCAUGGGUUAAAAAAGAAAAAAAGAAAAAAGAAAUUGACUUAUUAAUUAAUUAACAAUUAUAGAAAGACUAAAUAGAAAAUUAUUGAAGUUGCGUGAGAAAGCUCUCGGGAAAAGGGGCUCCAGAUUUCCUUUCCCUGGCUUCGUGCGUUUCCUGUUUGCCCUUUCGAGCACGACAUUCGAAUCCAAUACUUAAUAAUAAAGAUAUAAUAUUAUUAUAAUACUAAUAAUUAACAUUAAAAUAUUAAAAAUAGGGAAAAAAAAAUCCAAAUUUUUACUGGUAUGUAACGCAGGGCCAAAACGAUAGCGAAACAUCAAAUUGUUUUUAUUUCAACCUUCGCGCAACUUCCGGUGACAUAAUUUUUCUCUGUUUCAGGUACAUACAUACCCAAAACUAGACUUUGCAUGUAUCAUUCUUGUAUUUUUGUAAUUCAUUCACAUAUUCUUCUUUUCUUUUCUUUUUCUUUUCUUUUUUGCUGUAUUUUUUUUAUGAAACACUCUGUUUCAGUUCUGUUUCUGGUUUUGUUUCAGUUUGAUAUUAUUGGUUCCGUUCGGUUCUACUCUGUUCUCUGUUGUAUGUAUAUAUGUAUGUAUUUUUGGCCUUGAAUUGCUUUGAUCACCGGUUUUGUUAUUCUUUUAUCGUGAAUUUUAGACACCCGUUAAACUUGUUUGGCCAUGUAUUCACUUGAUUGUUACAUUCAGCUGCCAUCUUCAUGGUGGGUUUGUAAGAUAGUCUCUGACUAACAUAUGGCAUUGAUUAUGAAUGAUGGUUUUGUGAGAUACAUCAUACAGACGUUAACUUGUAUUAACAUGUACUUCCUUUAUUUAAAAGAUUAUUGUUUUUCUGGCUUUUUUUUUUUUGUUUGAAAUGCCCCUUUUUGCAUUUUAUAGGUGAAAGGAAAAAAACAUAAUAUCGCAGCACUAGAACAAAGGAGCCUAUUCUGGUACCUAUUGUCCAAGGAAGCUUCUGUAUAUUCGGUAGGCACUACCAUGGAAGUGAAAUCUUACCAGAGCCAGGUGGAGUCAUUGCUGAAGGAAUAUAUAUUAGCAGAUCCAUUUAUCCCGUACACUUCAAUUGUUGGUAGCAUUUUUGCUUGCAAGAUGGUAUGUUUUUCAUCGUUACUGCAUGGUGGUAUUUACUAGAAAAUAUUUUGAAUGCAUAGUUUUUAUUUAAUUAGUUAUAAAUUUUUAUACCCUUUUUUUCAUAAGAAUGCGUUCCUUUUCAGGUGUAUGAUCUUGCCCAAUUGAUUAGUGCUGUUCACUUUAAAAGUUAUUCCAGUUUCUCUAACGUACAGCGGGUUGAGUGGAGUAACAGGUGAUUGAAUAUUUUCAUUUAGUUCAAUUGACAUUUCUUUUUCAAUCGGUAAAGUUUAAUCAUUUCUCUUAAAUUGACAACUUAAGCAGGGCCAUAGCAACCGUCCAUGCCAUUUUUAUUACAGCUAUGUCUUUGUACUUCGUGUUUUGGUCGGAUCUCUUUUCGGACAACCAACUUGCUAGCCUUAUUACAUUCCGUAGCUCUUUUCUGUCUACAUUCACAUUGGGGGUGAGUUCACCAUUUCCUGUUAGUUUUUAGUUAAAUUACAAAUUUUACCAGGUUUUAAGUUCUGGCAUUCCCAUCUGUUAUCUUGCCCUGAGAAUAUAUAUAGGAUAUUGUCUUAUUGAAGCCUGAAUCUUCCCAGUAGUGGAAAGUAUAAAUAACAAUUUGAAAUUAUUUUAGCCAUCAAUGUAACAGCUGGCAAAUUUCUUCUAGCUUGUUUCUUAAAUCUAAGGUUAAUUUUCCCGUGGUGACAGACAAACCAGUCAUGGUUUAUCUAGAUAUUUUAAUACAUGAUUUCAGUAUCAGGUAAAGAAGGAAUCCGUAUCUAUUUCUUUCCAGUUGGUGUUGAUAAAAAGGAAAAGUCAUAGUACUCUCCUUUUCAUUCCUUGUGAUUCCAUUUUACUUAGUAAUAUGAUUAGAAAUGAGUGGAAAUAGGUUGUGGAGGGCUGCAUUAUUAUGGCUUCUUUCAAUAGAACACUAAAUAUUCCCUAUUCAAGGGAAACUUUUUGCAAGGGAAAUUUUCUAAAGGAUAAUAAACUUUUUUUCUUUUCAAAAGAGAAAGGGUAAUUAUUAGUACAUUGAUAUCUCAACAAAAUGGUAGAACCUUUCUUUAUACCACUAAGACAUUUGUCGCAGGUAUGCCUACAUAAUCAGUGUCCUUCAAAACUUUCAAGGAGUUAGCAAUGCCGAACCCCUGAAACACUAAGGUGGCGUUUGUUUUUUAACUUAAUGACUUAAAGUGAAUUAACUUAAUUAAUUAAGUUAAUUAGAGGUGUUUGUUUUUAUAACUUAAUGAGACUUUUUAGAUGAUUUUGACUUAAGAAAAUAAGCCAAUUUUUUUAGCUUUUUACUUAAUGGAGAAAUCUGAAUUAAGUCAAUUACUUGCUAAUGUCAAAACUAUCCAUGUUUUAUAAUUUAUUUUUCAUGUCUAUCCCAAAAUUCACCCAUAGACAUUUAUCCCACAUAAAAAUAUCCAUAUUUUUUAUUUCUUAUAUUAUAUACGAUAAAAUUUAAAAUUUAUGGUAUUUUAUAUAUUAAAAUUUCAAAAUAAUUAUGUAUUCACUUGAAUAUAGUUUUACUUAUAAAUGUUAAAAUAUUGUGGUAUUUAAUAUAUUAUUUAUUUGGCAUUCAAAUUUAAUAAGGAUACAAAUGUAAAAGUACAUAUUUUCAACUUUUUAAGUUGAAAAAAACAAACAACUUAAUACUUAUUUUCCGAGAUUCAGACGAAAAAAACAAACAUAUUAUUCAGAUUCAGACAUUCAGAUCUAUUAAAAAUUCAGUCUAAUUUAAGUCUAUUUAGAUUUUAGAUAAAAAAACAAACGCCACCUAAAUCUCAUAGGAUCAACUCUUUACCUCUAGACCGAAGGUGUGACACCCAGACCCAAUUAGGGCUUAGAAAACAUAUCGAAUCUGAGUGAAACUAAAUGCCUGUAAAUCCAAAUCUCCAAAAUAUCAAAAAGUCAUCUAAUUUCUCUUUUCAUGUAUUUCACAAAAUUUUGAAAAAUUCAUUCUCAAUCAUAAACUAUGCACAACUAAUUAUUCAGCAUAUCAGCAUAGAGCAAUACUUCCUCAUAAGCAAAUAAAUCUUACAAUCCUUCUUCCAUGAUUUAAAAAAAAUACUAAUAGAAGUCUUCUAGAUACAAACAUAAACAUAAUUCAACUGUUUAAAACUAUGCCAAAACACAAGCUUCAAUCAGUAAUACAUACGACUAAUUAUUAAAAACAUCUAGGCAGAAACCUUACGAAAGCUCAAUCCUUCCGAAGCAUUCUUCAAAUUAAUAAUUGCAACCAUCUGUGAAAAAUAAUUGACAAGGAGUCAGCUGUGAAUUCAAUCAGUAGAAACAUUCGUAACGAACAAAAAGAAUUCUUUGUGCAAUAUUUUCAGAAAAUUCAUUUAACCUUUCAAAUGAAACAGAGUAAUUUUUCUAACGCAUCAGGAUUUAUAUAAAACACAAACGUUUCAGACAGAAGCUGUGUGGAAUGUAAAUUUUGCUUCUUUAAACAGAAAGUUAUAUAUUAGUUUGAUUUUAAAGGGAGGUUAUUGGGAAGUUAAAAUUGGCAGUUGUGGGAAAAGGGUAAUAGCAGUUAUAAAAUCUGUUUUAAAGCAAAUUCAAAUCAAGUUUCAAAUUUUAGGAGUACUUAAUUCAAUAAAAUAAGGAAUAAAUAAAGCUUUCAUUGAAACAAAACUAAGUAAAUUCAUUUAAAGCAAAACAGGAUGCGAGCAUUACAUAAGGGUUCUUGGCCAUACCAUGGUUACCCGCAGUCAGACAUCUGGGACCUUGUUAUUUGGAGACAAGACUUGAUUGUGCCAUGUUUUCCGCAGCUAGACACCUAUGGAUAAGAGAAGCCUAAGCCUAUUGAGAAUAAAUUCUGUAAUCCAAGACUCUUCAGUUCUUUCAUUUGUGGCUAAUUAGUUAUAAAAUUUGUGAAUUACAUGCCCCAUGCCCCUUGCAAAAUGUUGUUUAUAUCCUUAAGAUGCCCGUGGAUGAACUGAAAUAAUAAAAUAUAGAAGACAGACUUAAUGCCGAUAGCAUUUCUUAAGAAAAACUUGGGAUGUUUAUAAUUUUCUUAGAGCAUUUGCUGAACUUUCUGUGAUUGCAGUCGAGACGGGUGACCGCUACUUCCCUCAUUGCUCACAAGUGGUUAAUGACUUUUUGGAUGCUUCCCUCCUAGAAAAGAGUACUCUUGAAGAGCAGAAACUUAAAGUAGACAUGCAAGAGGCACUCCCCAAGGACGUGGCUUAUCACCGUCGUUCAGGGCUGCCAUCAUCCUGGUCGGCAUUUUACAAGUACAUGGCUGAGAGCAAUCAGUCGGCAUUUUACAAGUACCUGGCUGAGAGCAAUCGUUCAGGAAGAUAUUUGACAUUUGGAAAACUAAAGGAGUUGAGUGAGCUCGAUUGGUAUUUGUAGUUUCUUUUUUUUUUUUUUGCCUCAAGUGAUCUGGCAUGUAUCAAUUAGUUUGUAAAGUUAUUGUAUUGUCUCAAGUCCGGUGAGAUGCGCGAACGUAUAGCAUGGAUCACAAACUCAUUUCAUAGAAUAUUUUUGUGUAUAAUUAUAUAAUUUAUAGGCUAUGCUUAAAAAAUUAGAAAAAGGGAAUUGUAUUGCAGUUGGUAUGAGGCAUGCAUGCGUAUGUCAUAUCAGUUGCUGAACAAACUUUGCCUUUUAAUUUUGUAGGCAUUACUAUCUCAAAUUUUCUAUUAUCAUAAAUGAGUUUUUUUUUUUUUUAACAAAUCAUAAACGAGAUUAAGAUAAUCUUUUUUAAAAAAAAAAGAAGACAAAUUUAGAAAGUAGUGAGAGAUGGAGAAAUAAAGUAAUUAUAUUCAUAAAUAUAAUGUUUUUGGUGCAGCGACACAAACUAAUAAAUUAUAGUUUAUGAGAUUAGUUUACAAAAUCUUACACUCUCUAGACUUCUCAUUUAGGUGCCUUUUCUGGAACCUCUCCAGCCAUAAACACAUUUUUAUUAAACAAAACAGAAAAAAAAAAUUAUAUAUAGCUGUUCAUAAGGACUAUUUCUUUUGUACAGAAUACACAAUUGGCCACUAAAAUUAGUUGAGGAGAAAAUUUACACGAGAUGAGUACAUUACAUUAUCAGUAUUUUUGUCUAAUUUGAACGCACGUUUGUUUUAGGAAUCUUACUAGAAUGGUCUCUCAUAAAUUUUUCUCCAAUUUGAGAGAGAGUGGGGACUAGGUUAAAGUGCAUAUACGUAGAAUUAAUUAAAAUUAAAUUUAUUUUUUAAAACUAUUUUAACUAGAAGUAGUAGCAAUUCUUUUUAUUAUUGUUAUUCCAAUUAUAUCAAAAUCUCGUGACUCGUGAUCAAAUUAAGUAGUUCAUUAAAUUUUUUUAGGUGACGUACGGUAUGGAGUUUUUAUAAAGCUAUAUAAAUAGCAAAAUAUUUAAUUUUGUUUGUCGUAAACUUUUAAUUUGCCUGGGUUAAAAAAAAGAAAAAAAAAUGAAAAAAGAAAUUGACUUAUGAAUUAAUUAACAAUUAUAGAAAGAAUAAAUAGAAAACUAUAGUUGCGUGAGAAAACUCUCGCGAAAAGGGGCUCCAGAUUUCCUUUCCCUGGCUUCGUGCGUUUCCUGUUUGCCCUUUCGAGCACGAAUUCGAAUCCAAUACUUAAUAAUAAGGAUAUAAUAUUAUUAUAAUACUAAUAAUUAACAUUAAAAUAUUAAAAAUAAGGAAAAAAAAUCCAAAUUUUUAGUGGUAUAUAAGAUAACGCAGGGCCAAAGCGAUAGCGAAACAUCAAAUUGUUUUUAUUUCAACCUUCGCGCAACUUCCGGUGACAUAAUUUUUCUCUGUUUCAGGUACAUACAUACCCAAAACUAAACUUUGCAUGUAUCAAUCUUGUAUUUUUGUUAUUCAUUCACACAUCCUUCUUUUCUUUCUUUUCUCUUUUGCUGUAAUUUUUUAUGAAACACUCUUCUGUUUCAGUUCUGUUUCUGGUUUUGUUUCAGUUUAAUAUUAUUGGUUCCGUUCGGGUCUGUUCUGCUCUGUUCUCUGUUGUAUGUAUAUGUGUAUAUGUUUUUGGCCUCGAAUUGCUUUGAUCACCGGUUUUGUUAUUCAUUUAUCGUGAAUUUUAGAUACCCGUUAAACUUGUUUGGCCAUGUAUUCACUUGAUUGUUACAUUCAGCUGCCAUUUUCAUGGUGGGUUUGUAAGAUAGUCUCUGACUAGCAUACGGCAUUGAUUAUGAAUGAUGGUUUUGUGAGAUACAUCAUACAGACGUUAACUUGUAUUAACAUUGUUGUGCGCGGAAUGCGGAAUCAAGCGCACCAAAUAAUUAUAGAAAAAUAAAAGACACAAGAAUUACAUGGUUCAGUAAUUAAACCUACAUCCACGGAGGCAAGAAAGAAUAAUUGUAUUAUUAACAAUUAAUAGAGUAUAAAUAUUUGAGUAACGAAUCUCACUUCCCAGAAACUCAAAUAUACCCAGUACUCUCACACUCUGCAGGAAAGAUAAAUUCCCCAGACACACUUCUCUCACUUCUCUCACUUCUCUCAAAAGCUUAAAAACUUAUAAGCUUAACAAUUUUGGGAUGAUAUGGAAUGAAGAAAUGUUCUCUAUUUAUAGGCUUGAAGCUAGUACUAUUCCACCUAACCCAAUCACUAUUCCACCUAACCCAUGCAAAUAUGUCAAUGGUGUCCAUUUGGCAAAUUUGACAAAUUUGCCAACUUUUCAUUUUUUCUUCAAUUGUUUGGUAGCUCUUUGAAAAAUUGCAUGCUUUCUUGAAUUUGCAUGCCACGUGCAUGAUUUUUCAACAAUUCUCCACCUCGGCGAAAAUUUGUCCAAAUCUAAGCCGACUACCAAUGAACCAUCAUCCCUAAGGUGGCUGCAUCUCUGUGACUGCUUACGUACCCAAAAUUUGGGAUCAAGCCAACUGUAGUUCAAAAUUCCCGAAGGACAUAUCUUAACACAAGCGAAGGAUUUGAAUUAGUUUCAAGCAAUGUUGAAACUUAACUCCAGAAACUACCUUCGUCAACAUAUCUUAUGGAUUAUCUUUUGUAUCGAUCUUCUUCAACAACACAUCACCACCUUCGAUAAUCUCCCUCACAUAAUGAUAUUUCACAUCUAUGUGCUUCGUCCGAGCGUGAUAUGUUUGAUUCUUCGCUAGGAAUAUCGCACUUUGGUUAUCACAAAAGACCACAAUGUUUUCUUGGAUUACUCUCAAAUCACCUAACAAGCCUUUCAACCAGAUAGCUUCUUUUACAGCUUCAGUUGCUGCCAUAUACUCUGCUUCCGUAGUGGACAAAGCAAUUGUCGAUUGUAGAAUCGACCUCCAGCUAAUCGAUCCUCCACCCAAUGUGAAUACGUAGCCCAUUGUUGAUCUUCGCUUGUCAAGGUCUCCAGCGAAAUCAGAAUCACAAUACCCAACACAUUGUUGACCACAAUCCUUCUUGAACAAUAACCCAACAUCAAUUGUCCCAUACAGAUAUUGGAGAAUCCACUUUACCGCAAGCCAGUGAUUUUUACCCGGAUUGUGCAUGUAUCUACUAACCAUGCUCACUGCUUGAGAUAUAUCGGGCCUUGUGCAUACCAUAGCAUACAUAAGACUACCCACAACACUAGCAUAUGGAACACGAGCCAUGUAAUCGCACUCCUCUUGAGAUCUAGGACAUGAAGAAGAGCUUAAUUUGAAAUGAGGAGCUAGAGGUGUACAUACCGGUUUAGUUUUGUCAUCCAUACCAAAUCUUUCUAGCACUUUCUUCAAAUAAGACUUUUGAGUCAACCAUACGCUCCCAUUCUUCUUGUCUCUACGAAUCUCCAUCCCAAGUAUUCUCUGUGCAUCACUCAAGUCUUUCAUCUCGAACUCAGAAGCCAACUGCUUUUUUAAUCUUUUGAUCUCAUCUCCAUUCUUUGAAGCUAUAAGCAUAUCGUCGACAUAGAGUAACAAAUAGAUGAAAGCUCCAUCUAGUAGUUUUCUAAAGUAAACACAAUGAUCGUGUUCACUUCUAGUGAAUUCUGCCCUUGUAUAAAUUGAUCAAAUCUUUUGUACCACUGCCUUGGCGAUUGCUUCAGUCCGUACAAAGAUUUAAUCAACCUACAUACAUGAUUCUCCUUUCCAGCAACUCUGAAACCACAAGGCUGAAUCAUAUACAUUUCUUCCUCCAAAUCUCCAUAUAAGAACACCGUCUUAACAUCCAAUUGAGCCAACUCUAACUCAUAUUCUGCAACUAAGGCAAGUAGGAUACGAAUGGAAGUAUGUUUUACAACUGAAGAGAAAACUUCAUUGUAGUCAAUAUCUUCCUUCUGAGCAAAACAUUUUGCCACGAGCUUUGCCUUGUAUCGAGGAGUUGAUUGAUUUAGAGAUCCUUGUUUUUUGGUGUAGACCUAUUUAUUACCAAUAACCUUUUUCCCCUUUGGUAACUUUACAAGUUCCCAAGUCUGGUUUUGAUGGAGAGAUUUCAUCUCUUCCUCCAUGGCUAACUUCCACUGAUCACUUGCACUGAUGCGUAAUGCUUCACCGAAAGUGUUGGGGAUGUCAUCAUCAAUAACUGGAAGUGCAUAGGCUACCACCAUAUCUUUAGUAACCUAUCCGAAUUUCUUUAUCUCUCUUCUUGGCCUCCUUGUUGCUAUAAAAUCAUCAUUAUCUACAUCAUCAAUUGUUUCUUCAUUUUGUGGGACAUCAGAAGAAACAACCUCUUCUUCAACUCUAGGUGUCACCUCCAUAAUUGAACUGAAACAACCCGCCCCGAACCCCCAGGGCGAGUCUAUCUAAACUCGUAUAAUCAAAUCGAUAUUAUUUAUGAUAUCUAAGAAUUCUAUUAAAAAUUCGGCAGAAUCUCCCUUAUAAAUAAAACAUCCCCAAACCUGCAAUUUACAAAACCAUACUCCCAAAAAUAAUUCAAUAUCCAUCCAACUCUCAUAACCAACUUCUCAAGUUAACAUAUCAAAUUUCAUCAAAAUCAUUCUAAUAUUAAAAUACAUGGGUUAUCCUUAAUUACAAAAUAUAAUAAAUCAAAAUUGUUAAAUCUACGACUCUUAGCACCAUCACGUGGCCACAAUUUCAAAACUAACAUUCGUUACUGGGUCAACUGAUGUACCUGCAAAUCUCCUGUGGGGGGAAAAAUAUAAUAAAAACGGGGUGAGUAUAAAACUCAGUGAGCUCAGUGAUUGGAUAAUAGUUUUUGGAAAAAUAAAUAAAUUUAUUUAAAAUGACUUAAUCUUUCCCAAAUCAAUUUCUCAAAUCAAUUUCAUCAAAAUAUCAUAAGAACUUACAUAAACUUAUUUAAUUCAAAUCAAUCACUGAAAUUCUAUAUUACAUAAAUCUACAUAGAAUCGAUGGAAUCAUAAUACUUAUCAUAUCAAAUACUGAAUACCAAAAACUAUCAUCAAACAAGUACCCAGAGGAAUGAUCUCAUCAUAUCCGGACCUCGACGGACGGGCAAUCAGGGAACCAUCAUGCCCCGGAGCUACAACAGAUAGAUGGGGAAAAUCUCAUCUCAUAUCUCAUGUAUCUCAACAUCUGUAUCUUUGUAAUCAUCAUACUGCAUGCAUAAGCCCCCAAAAGGCAAAAGCGCCCAAACACACGGUCCAAAGCCUCUAUGUGUGUUCAGACGGGCCCCAAAGGCGUCUAUCUCAUCUCAUCUGUAUCUCUGUAUUCAUCUCAUAUUAUCUGUAUCUCUGUAUCUAGAGGGGAAGGGUACUGUCCAAUGAUUUUCCAAACAACAUUUAUACUCAUGUACAUAAACAUAUAAUCACAUCUGAAAUCUCAUUUUCUUUCUAUGCAACAUAUCUCAAAUCUGCUCAAUUCUAAUAUCAUGCAUAAAAUCACUAAUCAAACUCAUUCUUAGUAACAAUAAAUAUCAACACAUAGAUAAAAAUCAAUUUUCUAGAAAAUCAUUAAAUCGAAGCAUCAAAUACUUAUUUAUCAAAACAUAAUGCACUGUAUCAUAAAAUCAGCAUAUACUAUGAAAAUAGAUUUUGCAUAUUCCACUCACAGUGAUGAUGUCCAGACUCGGUAUCAACAACGUUUGCGGUUUGAUUCUCGUUCGCAGAUCCUCCUAAUCAAGGAAACGCCAUAAUCAUUCUCCGUAAACUUGAAAUACAACUAAUUUUAUAUAAUAAAUCUGGAAACGAAUAUCUAUCAAAUACCCCCAACAUCAUUAUUUUACCAAAUUAUCCUCAGAAUCUUCAAUUACUAAAUGGUCCUCAAUUUAGAUCACAUAAAUAACCACAAUGUCAGAAAUUACGAAAUUACCCUCGGAGCAUAAAUUUACCAAAAUGUCCUUAACGACUUAAAUUACCGAAUUACCCUCGAAAUCUCAAAUUACCUCACUGCCCUAACUUAAAAUUACCAAAUUAUCCACUGAUUCCAUAAAUUAUAAAUUCACCCUAAAGUUUUAUGAAUUUACCGAAUUGCCCCUGCCGGUAAACGGUGACCGGACUUCAGUCAACGACGACGGGAAGCUUAGGUCUGAUAGUUUAGACCUCGGUGAGUCCAAUGGUGGUGGCCGUGAGUCCCCACGAGCGGUGCCGGCGGCGGAUCAAGCUUCCUAGGCCGUGAGCUUUCAAAGUGGCUGAUCGGCGGUAAUCCGGCCGUUUCGGGUGACGAGGUUGGUCGGAAAAUGAUGCUGGUAACGUGAGGAGUAGAAACCAACUGGAAGUGUGCCCAAACUCUGGCAAAAUCGACGGCGGCGAAAACGGGCCUUGGCCGCGAGUUUUCGAGCUUAAUCGCCAGCGUUUUGGUCGGUUUCCGGUGACGAGGACGGCGGGGUUAUGACGGUCGGCUUCCAAGCUUCAGAUCGGUACCAAGCUCGGCCGGUGAGGUGGCCAGAAUCGGGAGAUCCGUCCGGGUCAAUGUCGCGAGUCGGGUCGGGUUUGCGGGUCAAAAAUCGGGUCAAACACUCACUCUCUCUCUCUCUCGUGCCUCCUCUCUCUCCUUCCUUUCUAAAAAUAGUUUCCCCCCCUUUCCAUAUAAAAAAAAAACCGACUUCUUCUUCCUUUUUUUUUUCUUAAGCUUAAUACAAAUUAAACUAAUACCGGACCCGUGACGAAAAUAAAAUCCAACUAUUCGAACUUUUAAUCGCACUCAAAUUAUCUCGAUUUAAUGUCGUGACAAAUUUUAAAAUUAAUAACGAAGAGGAAAAAUUAAAUCAUACACUUAAUUAAGAAAAAUCAAAGUGCAUAUGUUACAUGAACCCUUAUUUAAUGUAGAACUAACUGGUACAUAUGGAGUUGCAUCAAACUCCACCCACUGUAAUACCUCUUUGGUCUUAUUCUCCACCUGUUGAGAAUUUGAAGCUUUCAUCAUUGAAGCUUCAUCAAAUGUGACAUCUCUUUUACACACAAACUUUUUGUCUUCGAGAUCCCAAAGCUUAAAGCUCUUUACUCCACCUUUGAAUCCUACAAAGAUAGCUUUACUAGCACGAGGAUCCACUUUACCAUCUUUGACAUGAUAAUAAGCUGAACACUCGAAUAUACGAAGGGAAUCAUAGUCUUGUGCAUGCUUUCCAGACCACAUUUUCAUAGGAGUUUUACCUCCAAUUGUAGCAGAAGGCAACCGGUUUACCAAGUGACUUGCGUAACUCACAGCUUCAACCCAAAACUUUUUAUCUAAACCAGCAUUAGAUAACAUACACCGUACUUUCUCCAGUAAAGUACGAUUCAUACGCUCAGCCACACCGUUCUGUUGCGGAGUAUGUCUCACCGUGAAAUAUCUUUUAAUACCCUCGUUCUGGCAUACUUGCAAGAAUGGAUCAGAAGUAUAUUCACCCCUAUUAUCAGAUCGUAAUACUUUGAUCUUUCUGCCAGUUUGAGUCUCCACCAAUUUCUUCCAUUUCACGAAAAUCUCUAGAACUUCAUCCUUUGCUCGCAUGGUGUACACCCACACACGUCUAGAGAAAUCAUCAACAAAUGUAACAAAAUAAUGGCUUCCACCAAUUGAUGCAGUCUUGGUUGGUCCCCAUACAUCACUAUGAACAUAUUCAAGGAUCUCACGAGUAUCGUGAUUAACUGUACCAAACUUGACCCUUGUUUUCUUGCCUACUACACAAUGCUCACAGAAAUUUAAUUUACAGGUUUUGGUACCUUUUAAGAGUCAGUGCCUCAUCAGAGUUUGCAAAGAUUUCUCGCCAGCAUCUCCCGAUCGUAAAUGCCAUAGCUUGGUGGUGUCACUGUGCGCCUCAACAAUAUUUGCUUCAUCAGUUGUACCUCCCUUUAUAUAGUACAAACUGUGACGUCGAACCCCUUGUAGACUCACCAUAGCCCCAUGUGUAAACUUCAUUGUGCCAUCUUCAAUGGUAACCUUGUAGCCUUUAGCUUCCAAAGCACCCACAUAAAUUAGAUUUUUCUUUAAAGCUGGAACAAAUCUAACCUCUUUGAGUUCUCUGACCAUUCCAUCAAACAUUUUGAGCCGAAUUGUUCCUAUCCCCAUUGUGCGACAAGGUUGAUCAUUCCCCAUCACAACUGCACCGGAUUCCAGAUCAUGAAAAUCCGUAAACCAUUCCUUAAUAGGACACAAAUGAUAGGUUGCUCCAAUAUCAAGUAUCCACUCGCUCGAACUAGCCACGUAUGCUGCAGGAGUAAUACUUAGUGAAUAAUCAAAGUCCUCAUCUUUCCGUGCCAUAUUUAUUGCUGCUGGUUUCUUCCCAUCUCUCUUUUGAGCCUUUGGACAAGCUUUCCUCCAAUGGCCCUUUUCAUGACAAAAGGCACACUCGUCUCGAGCUAUAUUUCUACUUCUCGAUUUGGAUCGAGAAUUCUUUCCACCACGCUUUUUCUUUUUCUCCAUCGCCCAAUCUCUGCUCACCAAAGCUUCAGACGAUGCUCGUUCAGAAUUUUUAUUAUUAUUCCGAAUCUCCAAGUUAGUCAAUGCUGUGCAAACAUCUUUGAAGAUGAUCACACUUUUCUCAUAUAUCAAGGUAGUCACAAAAUGGCUAUAUUCCUCUGGUAGUGAGUGUAACAGAAUCAUAGCCUUGACUUCAUCCUUAAUAUCUUCAUCAAGAUUCUUCAAAUCAGCAAGUAACUUUUCAAAUCUUGAGACAUGAUCGUAAAUUGACACCCCAUGCUUCAUUCGAAAGCCAUAUACUUGGCUCAUUGCAUGAAGGCGAUUUUUAGGACUUUUUAGCAAGUACUUCUCCUCCAAUGUACGCCACAAAGUCAUCGCACACUCCUCAUCCUUCACCAAGUAUUUCACCUCCUUAGUCAAACAAGAUCUGAUAUGACCACAUGCUUUUUUAUUCAUACAAUCCCAAAUUUCUUCAUCAUACAAGUGUCUUUUAUUUUUCAGAACAACAUCCAGAUCGAUUUGAAUAAGGGCGUCCAUAACUUCGCGCCUCCACAUGCCGAAGUUGAUUUUCCCAUCAAACUUUUCAACAUCGAUUUUCUGGCCUCCUAUAACAGGCGUUGAAUAGCGAUUUGACAAAUCUCGCCUCCCACCUGAAGUGUCUCCUGAAAUAGUCUCGGUAGAUCUCUCCCCAAUUCUGGAAGUUUCACCUUCUACCAUUUUCUCAACGAACUAUUUCCACUUGAAAAACAGUCUCUAUGAUGUUAAUUUCGCGUGAAUAAAUGCACUAGGAAAGUUCCCAGGAGACUGGACGGGAACUCAGUCCUAAUUAAAAACCAGAAUCCUUAGACUCUUAUCGCCUUUGUUGACAGAACUUUUCUAGACAUGCAAAAAUACACACUACUUACAAUAGACUGUCUCCCAAGUACAAAUGGUCGUCUCCACCGUAUUCGUGAACAGUACCAUAUACGUGAAUAGUACCGUAUACGUAAACAAUACCGUAUCCCCCAAGUACGAACCGUCGGCUCUGAUACCACUUGUUCUACCCGGAAUGCGGAAUCAAGCACACCAAAUAAUUAUAGAAAAAUAAAGGACACAAGAAUUACGUGGUUCAGUAAUUAAACCUACAUCCACGGAGGCAAAAAAUAAUAAUUGUAUUAUUAAUAAUUAAUAUAGUACAAAUAUUUGAGUAACGAAUCUCACUUCCCAGAAACUCAAAUAUACCCAGUACUCUCACACUCUGCAGGAAAGAUAAAUUCCCCAGACAUACUUCUCUCACUUCUCUCAAAAGCUUAGAAACUUAUAAGCUUAACAAUUUUGGGAUGAUAUGGAAUGAAGAAAUGCUCUCUAUUUAUAGGCUUGAAGCUAGUACUAUUCCACCUAACCCAAGUACUAUUUCACCUAACCCAAGCACUAUUCCACCUAACCCAUGCAAAUAUGUCAAUGGUGUCCAUUUGGCAAAUUUGAGAAAUUUACCAACUUUUUAUUUUUUCUUCAAUUGUUUGGUAGCUCUUUGAAAAAUUGCAUGCUUUCUUGAAUUUGCAUGCCACGUGCAUGAUUUUUCAACAAACAUGUACUUCCUUCAUUUAAAAGAUUAGUGUUUCUCUCUCUCUCAAUUUUUUUAAGAAAAAAAAUGAAAUGCCCCUUUUCGCAUUUUCCAGUUUCUCCAACAUACAGCGGGUCGAUGUGGAGUAACAGAUGAUUGAAUAUUUUCAUUUUAGUUCAAUUGUCAUUUCUUUUUUAAUCGGUAAAGUUUAAUCAUUUCUCUUAAAUCGACAACUUAUGCAGGGCCAUAUCAACCGUCCAUGACAUUUUUAUUACAGCGAUGUCUUUGUACUUUGUGUUUUGGUCGGAUCUCAGAGUUUGUGCAUAGCACACUUGGUUCUACUGUUUGUUUGUCCCUUCACAGGCAUUUCGAUAAACUGUUAUUUUUGUUCUUUGGAAGUGAAUAUUUUCAGCAACUAGAACUCCGAAGCAUCUUGAAUGAUCCAUUUUAUGAUUCUCAAUACCUAUAAAAGAAUGUCAUAGAAAACAGUUUCCAAAGCAAGUUGCAUGUGUUUUGAAUUUGUCUUUGCAAGCCACUAGUUGCUUGGAGCACACUGUUAGCCUAUCGUGAUCCCAACCACUUUUUUGGAUAGACAAUUGUGCAUCCAUAUGAUCUGGACUAAACUAGUUUCUAAUAAAUAAUUGCCCAAGGAUUUAGUCUCAGUGUUACAGCCUAGUCUUUGUUGUCAAUACUCUUUCCCCUGUCGUGGAUGAGCGCCAUAACAGCUUCUUAAUGUUUUCCAGUGGCUUUUGCACGGUUGUUGUUUCCUUCUGAAGCUAGAGUAGCUACGGAUAGAGCGGAUGCAGAUGCCACCAAUUUUUAUGAUGGCCUUUCAGCAUCAAAAUCAAAAGGAUCAAGUGGGAACUUAAAGGAGGUUUAUUAGAAUGAAACACCCUCUAUGCAAGCCAAGAGACUCCAAUUAAGACUGCAAGCUCUGCUUAAAACAGGUAUUUAUCUCAACAAAAUGUUAGAACCUUUGCACCACUGGAGACAUUUUCUUCGAGCAUUUACCGGACUUUCUAUGAUUGCAGUGUAGACGG
rnacentral:lncRNA from 1 species